CCAGUAGCCUUGGUGGUUGUGAGAGUUUAGAAGUCCUGCAUUUGCAAGGAAACUUCUUCAACGGGUCCAUUCCUUUGUCUAUGAGUUCAGUGAGAGGGAUUCGAGAUAUAGACCUUUCUCGCAAUAAUUUUUCAGGGGAAAUUCCACAUUUUUUAGAAGGCUUUAGAAUCCUGAAUAUUCUGAACUUAUCAUUCAAUCAAUUUUGGGGAGUGGUACCAACUGGAGGUGUUUUCAAAAAUGCGAGUGCUAUUUCAGUCAUUGGCAACACAAAUUUGUGCAGUCUUGUUGCUAAUUUAAAGCUUCCCAAGUGCAAGUCUAAAGAGACCAAGAAACGAAGAUUGUCUCGUAGCUUGAAACUAAUACUCCCUUUAGUAUUUGGGCUUACUCUUCUAGGAAUAGCCAUGGUGUUCUCCUAUUUCUUUCUUUGUUCAUCAAGGAAGAAAAGGAAAGAAAUUUCAUUGAGCACUUUGGGGGACACUAUUUUGCAAGUGUCAUAUGCUACUCUACUCAAAGCUACUGAUGGGUUCUCAGAGGCUAAUUUAAUUGGUGUUGGUAGUUUUGGGUCUGUGUACAAGGGAGUCUUGAUGAUGAUGAUAAAGCUCAACUUGUUGCCGUGAAGGUGUUUAACUUGUUACGCCUUGGAGCUUCGAAGAGUUUCAUAGCCGAAUGUGAAGCUUUGAGAAAUAUUAGGCAUCGAAAUCUCGUCAAGAUUAUAAUUGUCUGUUCAAGUGUUGAUUUUAAUGGUAAUGAUGUCAAGGCUCUAGUUUAUGAGUUCGUGGACAACGGGAGCUUAGAGGAGUGGCUGCAUCCACCUACUGGAACUGAAGAGUUAGGAGAUCAUGUACCCAAGAAUUUAAGUCUUCUUCAGAGGCUAGAAAUUGCCAUUGGUGUUGCUUGUGCACUAGAUUAUCUUCAUAAUCAUUGUGAAACGCCAAUAGUUCAUUGUGAUCUCAAACCAAGCAACGUUCUCUUAGACAAAGAAUUGACUGGCCAUGUUUCUGACUUUGGAUUAGCAAGGUUUCUCUCAUAAGUAACAAGUAAUGUUUCAGCAAUCCAGAGUCAGACAAGUUCUAUUGGAAUAAGAGGAAUGGUUGGUUAUCCAGCUCCGGGUAUAUAUAUGUUAGAUAUAUACUUCAUUAUUUUUCCUUUCUUAUUUUGGAGUAUUGAAUUUACAAAAUUCAAACUGAUUUAUUUAUACAGAUAUGUGAUGUUUGAAUUGUAGAGUAUGGCAUGGGGAGUGAGGUGUCAAGGAAUGGGGAUGUCUACAGCUUUGGUAUUCUCUUGUUAGAGAUGUUUACAGGGAAGAGACCCACUGACAACAUUUUUGGUGAUAGCUUGAACCUUCAUAAUUUUGUCAAGAUGGCUCUCCUCGGGCGAGUUACGGAGAUUGCAGAUGCACCACUUCUUCAAGGAGGCACAAACGAGAAUUCCAAUCAAUGCAGUGCAAGAAUUCAUAAAGUUGAGGUGUGCUUGAGUUCAAUAUUUAGAAUUGGAAUUGCUUGUUCUGCUGAAUCCACAACAGAUCGACUAAAGAAUAUCAAUGAUGCUGCAUCUGAACUUCAUUCCAUUAGGAAUACUUUUCUUGGAUAGAAACUCUUUUUUAUGUGCUUUUGUGAUAAAGAAAUUUCGUGCUCGUGAAGUCUAGCUUUUAUGUUACUGCAAUAGAUGUGGAAGUUUGCAAUGUAAAUAAUCACCAAAGAGGUUCAUUGUGUGAAGAGUGUAUUACUACUUCUUGUACUUGGUAUUUUUGUGUAAUAUUCACAUCGAUUAAAAUCUAGUUCGUGCCACAAAAUUGUUGAAAAUUCACAUUGACAAAUUCCAAAUUUUUUGAAGAUUCAUAACCUCUAGACCCUCAAGAUUCAAUAAAAUCAACUUGGAAGCUGUAAAGAUAGUGAUUGGAGUUUCCUAUUAGACUUGACCAACAAAAUUGUUGGUUAUGAAGGUGUUUAACAUGUUACGUCACGGAGCAUCAAAGAGUUUCAUAGCCGAAUACGAGGCUUUGAGAAAUAUCAAGCAUCAAAAUCUCUUCAAGGUCAUAUCUGCAUGUUUUCUCGAUGAUGAUUUCAAGGCUCUAGUUUAUGAGUUGAUGCACCAAAGGAGCUUAGAGGAGUGGUUGCAUCCCCCUCCUGUAAUUAAAAUCUUCUUCAAGGGCUAGAUAUUGUUAUUGGUGUUGCUAUUAUGCACUGGAUUAUUUCAUAACCAUAGCGAAACACCCAUAGUUCAUUGUGAUCUAAAGCCAAGCAAUGUUCUUCUAAACACCAAGUUGACAGUGGACUAAUCUCAGACUAUUACUUAUAUGAACUCCUCCAUAUAAGUGGAGAGAAUUUGGUUCAAGUUGGUUGAUAUGGUUAAUAGGGUUUGCAAAUGGCCAUUUUUUGUAGUACUUUAACCCCAACUUUAAAGCCCAUGGGCUGUGACAAAUCAAGGUUUUCUAGCAUUGUUGUUAUCAAUAUUCUCCUAUGUGCAUUCUAAAUUCUAAUCCAAUGGUUUUAGCAGUCGUUCUACCAAUCUUGACAAUGAAAGAGUUUUUAUUUUAUUUUUUCGAACAAAUGAUAUUAUCUACACUAAGGGGAAGGGGAUAGGCUUAGCCUCGUAAUGAGCUAACAAUAAUGUGGUUCAAUUUCGUAUUUGACGAUAAUCGAACUUAAAACAUAUCACUUACAAGUGAAGAGAAUAUCACUGGAUCGUAGUACUAAGUAGCAUGAAAGAGUUUCUAUUAAACCAACAAAAAUGAAAAUUCUCAACCGUUCAUAAAUGGAUUUGAAUUUAGAUUUAUUACAAUUGAUAGAUUUUUUUUUUUUGGGUAAUCAAUAGGAUACUAACAAAUUUGUUUUUAGAACAUACGUCACAAUAAUGUGACUUGUAGCUGUGUCACUGGCCUUUUAACUUAUUGCCCUAUCUUUAACACACUUCAAUUAAUAUCAUCCACUAAUUGUUAGUAUUUAAUGAAUCUCAUCAUAAAUUGUUACCCAAAAUAUUACUUAUCAAAGCAAAUAAACUUGAUUGAGUUAUAAAUUUAUUGGCAUGGUUAGGAGAAAAAUCAAUUUUGUUCAUAAUUUUCAUGUUUUCCAAGUGAACAUGGGCUAUAAGUGAAGUUCCAAAAGAUACGGUGGUGUAAUUUGGUCCAUGAAUUGUUUCCUCCAAUUUGCAUGCAUGCGGUAGGUGACUAACUCCCAAAUAAUUCUCGUUACCAAGCAAAUUAAAUACCAUUAACUAAGAGCUUAAAAACUCCUGAAUUAUUACCCCUCUAUUUUGCUUUUGCAAUUAGGAAUUUUUCCCCAUUUGCAUAAAAUAUGAUAAGAAUAUUUUUGCUCUCCACACUCAAAUGAUGGUGAUGCUCACUACUUUAUUUAUCACCGUUAUAUGAGUUUAAUACUUUGGAUAGACACAAAUCUCAAAAUUUAAACUCAUACAACGGUAAUAAAUAAGGUAGUAAGCAUUACCACCCCUUGAGGGUGAUGACUAAAAAUCACCCCAAUAAUAUAAGUAGUUAAGUUGGUGUGGUUGUUGGUCUUUAGCAAGCUUCUUAUAUAAAAGAAGAAUCUGGGUACUUUGGCCGUUUUGCAGAAGAAAAAGAAAGGGGCAUUUGAUGUUUGGACAUACAUAGUGAUGGUGCUAGCUACCUGCUUCUUGGUGUUUUUUAAAAGAAAAUAAGAAAAAAAUGAGAAACGGCUAACUUGCACCCUUUGGAUAUUAUGAUGCCAUUUUGCUUGGUUGAGAAACUUGUGGCUUUUCUAAUGGAGAUUGCGUAAAGGUGCAAACAAUUUGUUAGUGGUUGUGCAAAAUAGGUUUCAUAGUAGAAAAAAUGCCCGCGCUCCGCCGCGGGUUUUGAAAUCGUAAACCACAAUUUAACAUACCCAUUUCUAAAUUAUUCAGAAAUCAAUCGGAGAAAACUUCAAAAUAGAAGAAAAAUGAGUUUUCAAUCAAAGAAAACUUCAAUUUCAUGCAAGCUUUUUUGUUCUAAUUUCAGGGCUUAACAAUGCAAGAUUGGAAUUUCCAAUUGGUUCAAGGAAGUAAGAUAAACCAAUAUGCAAAAUGAACUAAAAAAAUAGAAUCUAAUCCAAUUUGAUUUGCCGUUCAGGUUCAAAAAGACAAAACGAAGAAUAUUUGUAAGCAGCCAAACAUCAGUUAAAACUAAUCAAUUAAAGGCAAUAAAACUAAAGCAUUUCAUUGAAGACAUAGAUAACAUAUUUGGUUCUUUGUACCUAAAAUGGAAAACAUUUGCUUUCCUAUAUGCUCUACAGUUUGCGAAAGUGCUGGAAAUUUACAAAAUAUAAAGAGACAAUCUCAAAAUAAAACACAGUUGAAGGAAAAGUAAUAAGAAAAGAAUAGUGUUUUUUACCUAUGAUCCAUGUGAGGAGUAGAAUUUCCAGUCACAAUUGACAACCCAAGAGCUCUGUAAAUCAAAUAUAUAGGAAAGGAUCUAUAAAAAGUGAAUUACAGUUUCUCAAAUCAGAAAGUAACAUUUAUUGGAAAAGAUUCAGACUCAUUUUGGAUAUAGAUAAACAAUGGCAUAUUAAAAACCAAAAUGAUAAGGCAUUCAACUUCAACAUUCAACAUUCAUGUAAAAAAAUAAAAAAGAUAUACAUGUUACCAUCAAUGUUUUGGUAACAAAUUCCCAAAUUGCUCUAUCUACCAAACAUUUUCAGAUAUAUAGUUACAGAUGUUCACUUUUAUGAUAUUCAACGAAAUACCCACAUUAUUGGCAAAACGACAUGGUAUAGAUCUUUUGAGCACCCGAGCCAAUGACAAUAACAUUGAAGGCAACUACAGAAAUUGUACAUUAUAUAAAGAGACAAUCUCAUAAUCAAAAUUGUCAAAAUCAAUAUUUUAUGGCUACAUUUUUUCAUCAGUCGCUCAAUAUACACAAAACACAGAAUCACAUACUCGACAAAAAUUCAAACCCAUAAAUCCGAAAUUAGCAAUGUUAUUUCUUACCCCCCAAAAACAAUCCAAAUCUUAGUGGUUACAUUCAUUAGUCAAGCACUCAACCACUCAAGCACAUCGACUACAACUUGGGAAUGUUAUGCAAAUCUUAGGCAGCUUGAAUAAUUAAAAUUGAGUUGGAAGAAGCUCCGUUACCUGCUCUGCUAGUUGAGGAGUGUCACCAAAUUCGGCACUAUCAUCAGCAUCAACACAUUUCACACACUCCCGCUUCCAGAACAUUUCACAAAAUCGAAAACCAAAUGAGAUUAUGUAGCAGAAACGAUUGACGGAAAAAUAGAUUAAGAAAAGCAAUUAAUAUUAAACAUAGAGGAUGAAUGAUGUUGUCCAAUAAAAAAGACAGCUGUAUAUAUUUCUUGACCAUGAGAAAACAUCAAAUUAAUAGAGGCAUUAAUCCUAAGUUUGCCUGUUCGCUCCCUAAAUUCGCCAUGGGCCUCGCGGGCAUGUCGGGAAUUUAUUCAAACACGAAAUUGGUGGGGUGCGGGCGUGCCACUACUAGAUGCCGCUAGUAGACGGAUUUUGAAUGAUUGAGGUUGCACCUGAGUUCGACUUCUGACCACGAGAUUGUGUCAUUGAGUGGGAGUGACUCAAAUCAAGGUUCUUUGUUUCCCUUAAAAAUAAGGACUUUACUUAUAUGGAGAGGUAGAACAAUAUGUAAAUGACAAAGGAAAACGAAUGACUAAUAUUGUAGAUUGCUUGUAAAUUAAAUGACUGAAGAUAAGUUGUACAUGAAAACUACAAAGGAGAUCGAUACUACAAGUGAGCAGCAGAGCUAAUAAACUAGAUAAAAGAAGGCUUUUGAUUAAGGUUGAUCCUGAAAAAGAUGAAGGCAUGGUGCUGACUACAGCUUCAUAUGCAAAUCUGACUUGAGCAGAGUUUGUGUAUUUGUUUGAUUGAGUGUCCAUAAUCCUUGUGCAUCUGCCCCUUUAAAUGGAGAUCUGAAAAGAGACACAUGCUGAGAACCUUGUACUUGCCCGAAAGAAACUUGGGCAGCUUGCAUUGCUUUUGCCAACUUGCAUAUAGAAAUAAUAUUUAAAAGGGAAACUUACAUCUUCACCACAUGUUUUUAGCACAUGUCUCCCCAACUUGUAAUAAGUUGGCUUCUUUCACAUGUUCUCUGCAGGAUGUAUGUAUGCUUUCCAAUCCAUUUGUAAUGGGAAAGCAUGCAAUUGUUGACUUGGCAAAUCUCCACCACCCAAACAAAUUGGAGAAACAAUAUUAUAGUGUAAAAACUCAUCCACUUGCAGCCAAAUAUCUUUCUAAGUUAGCUUUGUUGCAUAUUAAUCCUUCAAAUACCAUAUUUUAUCCCAAUGGCCCAAGUAAAUUGGGCACAUUUUAAGUGCAAACAGAAGCCCCCCAAGUUUUAUAAAUUUGAGCAAAGUUUGUGAAACUUACGACUCCAAUAAGCUCUUCUCGAAAUGGAGGAUAUAGCAGGCAUAAGAGAAUUGAGCAUGAAGAACACUGAUCUCAAAGGGCAAUUGUUUGGGUUAAAACUUGAACUCCUCUAGACGAACAUCAACUUUGUUUGCUCUCCAGUGUUGCCAGGAAUGUCAUUGAAGGAAGAGGCACGUCUACCCCUUCGGUCCUUUUGUCGUUGAUAAACUUGGCAAGAUGAGCAAGGCAAUUGGUAGUACAACUAGCAUUGGAAAGAAUGUUGUAUGACUUGUGCUCCUUCUUGUUGAUACCAAAACAACAUGGAAGCAUCCUCAUUGGUUACAGAGAUAGUAAACUGGAAAAAUGCCCGAAGUCGGGCAAACUGGAAAACACAGAAAAAGAUAGAGAAGAGAGAAACUUGGGCAACUUUUCUUUUUAUUGUUCUUUUUCUUUUUUGCCUCUUUUCAUAUAAUAUAUAAUAUAACUUUCAUAUAUAUAUAUAUAUAAAAACCCAAAGCCCUUUCAGGCAACCCAAAACAGAAAGAGACAGGAAGAAAGAGAAAGGAAGGAAAAGAAAAAAGAAAGAAGAAAGAAGAAGGAAAAGGAAAGAUAGACGACAGCCACUUUGGGUGACUUUUCUUCCCUCUAUAUAUAAUAUAAUAUAAAGACAUAUAAUAUAUAUAUAUAUAUAUAUAUAUAUAUAUAUAUAUAUAUAUAGAAACCUUUGGGCAAAAUGGAAGAAAGAGAGAGAGGGAGAAAGAGAAAGAAAAAGAGAAAGAGGGUGUCCUUUCGGGCAAGAAAGGGACAGAAGAGAUAAGAGGGAAAGAAAAAAUAAAGAGGAAGAGGGAGAAGGAUAUAAAAAAAACGAAAUGGAAAUCAAACAGGUCAGCACUGGAAAUGGCUGCAGGGCUAGAACUUCUGCAAGGAGGUUUGAGCAUCAACAUCAGCAAAUCUGCUUUGGUCACCUAGAAAUUUGUGCGGAAGGGAUAGAUUCUGCAUUUGUGAAUUUCUUUCUUGCUUCAUCAGACUUCUGAUUUUGAACUCCUAAGGUAUUUUGAAAUAGUUCUCUUGGGGAAGUUACUGUCCAUCCCAAAAUUCAAAAAUCGAGAUGCAAAGGAUGAUCAAGCUGUUGGAGUACUGUUAGUUGAGGACGGUGCUGGUAUUAGGACACCUGGAUUUCCGGUUCCUGAUCGUAUAGGUUUUCAUUUGUCUGUGCAGUAAGUUUGCGAGCACCAAGCCCCCCAGUCUUCACAAUUUUCUUGUGCACAGUCGUUUCCCCGAAGCUCAUUAUUCUCAGUUGCUUAAGAGUCCACGAGUCUCAAUUUGUAGAUCUAACAAAGCUUGAUAUGAACGCCGAGAUUGCAAUGAACGGCCGAAUCAAUCGAUGCAGAGAAAGAUCCCAUAUGUAAUUGAUGCCCAAGUCUGGUUCUUUGCAUUAUAAUCGAAACACAUCUUGUUUUCUGACUUUGCCUCUGAGCCCAGGCCGGGCAUUUGGGUGAGCUGCAAAAGUAAAUUUCUGCACACCUCCUCCAACUAGUGGUGAGUUGAAGAUGACGGCUGAAGUGUAAUGGCUGGCUUUGAAGCUGCAGCUGCUAUGUUGGCUGCAUGUUGGGAGGUAACGACAGGCGGCUGUGAGCUGCUGGUUGGAUGUUGCAAGUUGCAACCAAUGGAGCCAAUGGGAGAGCAGAAGCAGAAUGACUACCUUCUAACAUUUGUAAUUUGUUUUGUCUUGUGAGAGUAGAAUUCAAAACUUGUAAAUCUGAUGCAGAUCCUUCUUAACCAGCCAAGACAUAAAGGAACAUGAGAUCAAAUGCGCAAGCAGCCAUAACAUUUUUUUUUAAAGUAAGCCACUCUUGUUACGGGAAGGUCCUUGCUCACUUUGAGAUGAUUUUUCUUUCUAGGAAUUGGUCAUCCUCUCUUGCAUCCUUCUCCAUAUUUUGACCAAGAUUACUUCACGAUAACUGGGAAAAUUAGAUCUCAUGACUGCAUGCUGUGGUAACCCAUGGUGAAGUUUUGAGGGAUCGAGAUGGCUUGUGUCUCCUUCCACUGUUUUAGACACCUCAAGCAGUACAAAGUGAGGAGAAUGGGCAGCAAAGUCAGAUGCUCUUGUUGUGGUUGCUGCUGUAGUUGUUGGUAUAUCAACAAUCUUCUGCUUUUCAGGGUCUGUUUUGAUCGGGGAUGGAUCUGCUGAAGCUUCCACUGAUGAUGCGGCAACAGCAAGAGCAUGAGAAGAGUUUAUUGCAAACGCACUACCCGCAGAGAAACUGAGUCCUGAUCCACGAAUGAAACUCAGAUAAAUGGCAUUUGGAGGGGGAUGACCAGCAGUUAUCAAGGGACCAUAACAAAGAGGGUAGGCAAGAAACAGAGCAACCAGCGUAGUAUGUAACAAGAACACUUCAUGUUUGCCAGAUCGAAUGUGGGGCCCCCACAUUUGAUUGACAAUAUCUAAAUCAAUUGUAGUGGAGAAUAUAUCAUGUCCCUUGGGCAAAAUUGUAGUUCCGUCGGGCAACCACUCAUUGGGUAAGAUAACCCAGUCGGGCAAGACAACAUCUACCCAAGUCGGGCAAGUAAGCAAAACAGAGGAGUAGAAAGAAAAAGAAAAGGAAAGGAAAAGAGAAAGAAAGAAAGGAAACAAAAGGGAAAAGACCGAGAGAGAGAGCCCUUUCGGACAAAUCAAAACAACAAAAAGAAAGCCCUUGUCGGGCAAUAGAAACAUAAACUACAGCCUUUUCGGGCAGAGUAUAAGAAAAGGUUAUAUAUAUAUAUAUAUAUAUUCUUGUUUUUUGUUGCCUGAUAACUCAAAAAGCCAAAGAAAGGCCUUUUCAGACAAAAAGGGAAGAAAGAGAAAAUGAGAAAAUGAGAAAGAAAGGAACUAAGAAAAAAUGUACAGGAGGAUAAUAGAAGGGAAAGCCAUUCGGGCAAGUUGUAGGAGCCUAUUGGCUACCCAUGUGUUAUUUUUCUCUUAACACUCAAAUCUUUUUCUCUUCUUAAAAUUAAGUAUAGAAAGAUCAGAUCCACCUUUUAAAUUGGCCAUACUAUGUAGCUUGGGAAUCAAAGGAGGUGGUCAUUCAAGUUUGAUCCUAAGCUUUGUCCUUCUCGAGAUCUCGAUGCGAGCAACAUGCUUGUGUUGGUGGGGAGGAGUGUACGAGCUUUUUUUUUCUUCUUCGGGCUCCACAUGAGGUGUGAGUUCGAGCCCCCCAAGAGUUGGUGUUUGGCCUACAACGGCUUGGUCUUCUACAACCAUAUCCAUUUUCAUGGAUUUUUCAUUAGGUGGGGCCAUUGUUUGGCCUUCAUCAAUGUGUAUGAUUUGUUCUUCCUUGGUUGUAGUAGGGUGAGUGAGCUUUGUAGAGCGGAUUUGACAUAUUUGAUCUAUCAACUUUCUCAAAGUUUCUCCAAAAGUUGUAUAGCCUUCCUCCACCCUUUUAAAACACUUAGUCACCUCUUCACCAUACUCGAUGCUUGCCACAUGGAGUUUGGACACCUUCUCUAAUUUGCCCACAUCCUCUUUGUAAAGCUUUUCAUUCGGAUGAUCAUGAGUUGACAUCUCAUAUAUUGGCUCUUUUGAAGCAUUUUGAUACUCAAAGCCAUUUGUUGGCCUAUCAUAGUAUUCAUGAAUGUGAUUGUCUUUAAAAGAAUAAUAAUCUUCAUCAUAGCCAUAAGUUGGCCAAUCUUCAAGAUUAUUAUUUAUUUGAUGGCCAUUAGUUGGCCGACAAUCAUGUUCCAUGGGACUUAAGUACUCUUCAGCCAUGUACCCAUAAGUUGGCAACUCAUAGGUUGGCUCUAUGUGAUAGCCAUAGCUUGGGCGCUCUUCAACACCGUCAUCCUCCUCAUACUCCGAAAAAGCAUAUUGAGAAAAAUCAUGAACAUAAGGAUUGUUCAUAAUCUAACUCUAUAUAAGGGUCCCACUGGGCGUGCCAAAAUAUAUUUGCUCCCUAAAUUCGCAAUAGGCCUCGCGGGCAUACCAGAAAUUUAUUCAAACACGAGAUUGGUGGGGUCCGGGCGUGCCACUACUAGAUGCCGCUAGUAGACGGAUUUUGAAUGAUUGAGGUUGCACCUGAGUUCGACUUCUGACCAAGAGAUUGUGCCAUUGAAUGGGAGUGACUCAAAUCAAGGUUCUUUAUUUGCCUUAAAAAUAAGGACUUUACUUAUAUGGAGAGGUAGAACAAUAUGUAAAUGACAAAGGAAAGUGAAUGACUAAUAUUGUAGAUUGCUUGUAAAUUAAAUGACUGAAGAUGAGUUGUACAUGAAAACUACAAAGGAGAUCGAUACUGCAAGUGAGUAGCAGAGCUAAUAAACUAGAUAAAAGAAGGCUUUUGAUGAAGGUUGAUCCUGAAAAAGAUGAAGGCUUGGUGUUGACUACAGCUUUGUAUGCAAAUCUGGCUUGAGCAGAGUUUGUGUAUUUGUUUGUUUGAUUGAAUGUCAUAUGAUCUCUUGGGGAGAGAAACGAGGAUGGGGAAGCUAUCUUGGAUUUUGCAAUGGCAUAUGAUCUCUUCUUAGCCAACACCUUCUUUAAGAAGAGAGAAGAACAUGUGAUCACCUACAAGAGUGGGUCGUCAAAAACACAAAUAGAUUUUCUUCUAAUGAGGAAAGAUGAUCGUAUAACUUGUAAGGAUUGCAAAGUUAUACCAGGAGAGAGCGUGGCUAAUCAACAUCGCUUGUUGGUGAAGGAUGUACAUAUCAAAAGAGUGAGAAAAAAGAACAAGACUUGGAAGUGCCCAAAGACUAGAUGGUGGAAUCUAAAAGAAGAAAAACAGGCCAUUUUCAAAGAGAAAAUAAUCACCCAGUGUGUGUGGGAUAGAGAGAGGGAAGCUAACCAAAUGUGGGAUUCCAUGACUAGUUGUAUCCGAAAAGUAGCAAAAGAGGUAUUAGGAGAGUCCAAGGGCUUUGCCCCGCACCAAAAGGAAUCUUGGUGGUGGAAUGAGGAGGUACAAACAAAGGUGAAGGCUAAGAAGGAAUGUUGUAAAGCCUUAUACAAGGAUAGGACCGAUGAAAAUGGUGAAAGGUAUAGAAAAGCGAAGCAAGAGGCGAAGAAAGCUGUGAGAGAAGCUAAGUUAGCAACUUAUGACGAUAUGUAUAAGCGACUAGAUACCAAAGAAGGAGAGUUGGAUAUCUAUAAACUAGCUAGAGCAAGGGAAAAGAAGACAAGGGACCUAAACCAAGUGAGGUGCAUCAAGGAUGAGGAUGGAAAGGUUCUUGCUACAGAGAACGCGGUUAAAGACAGAUGGAAAUGUUAUUUUCAUAAUCUUUUCAAUGAAGGAAAUGAAAGGAGUGCUUCUUUAGGGGAGUUGAGUAACUCAGAAGAGUGUAGAAACUACUCUUUUUAUCGUAGAAUCCGGAAGGAAGAAGUGGUUGUAGCUUUGAAGAAGAUGAAGCAUAGAAAAGCAGUAGGCCCAGACGAUAUACCAAUCGAAGUGUGGAAAGUUUUGGGAGAGACAGGUAUAACAUGGCUCACUGAUCUUUUCAAUAGGAUUUUGAAAACGAAGAAGAUGCCAAAUGAGUGGCGAAUGAGCACUUUGGUGCCUAUCUACAAGAAUAAGGGCGAUGUACAAAAUUGCAUGAACUAUAGGGGUAUUAAGUUAAUGAGUCAUACAAUGAAGCUCUGGGAGAGAGUCAUUGAGCAUAGAUUGAGGCAAGAGACACGGGUUUCGGACAACCAAUUCGGGUUCAUGCCAGGGCGCUCAACCAUGGAGGCAAUCUAUCUCUUACGAAGAUUGAUGGAAAGAUAUAGAGAUGAGAAAAAGGAUUUACACAUGGUCUUUAUAGAUUUGGAAAAAGCGUAUGAUAAGGUCCCAAGAGACAUUCUUUGGAGGAUUUUAGAGAAGAAAGGAGUACGAGUAGCAUAUAUCCAAGCUAUACAGGAUAUGUAUGAAGGAGCAAAGACUGCCGUAAGAACUCAUGAAGGACAAACCGAAAGCUUUCCCAUAACUGUAGGAUUACAUCAAGGCUCAUCCUUAAGUCCUUACCUUUUUGCGUUGGUAAUGGAUGAGUUAACAGGACAUAUUCAAGAUGAUAUUCCUUGGUGUAUGCUUUUCGCAGACGAUAUAGUGUUGAUAGAUGAAACUUAGGAAGGGGUAAAUGCAAAGCUUAACCUUUGGAGAAAAGUGUUGGAAUCUAAAGGUCUUCGCCUAAGCCGAUCAAAAACAGAAUAUAUGGAGUGCAAAUUCAGUGCAAAUGGAGGCCAAAACGAGUUAGGGGUGAGGAUCGGAGAUCAAGAAAUACCAAAGAGCGACCGUUUUCGUUACCUAGGAUCUAUCUUGCAAAAGAACGGAGAAUUAAAUGGAGAUCUCAACCAUAGAAUACAAGCUGGAUGGAUGAAGUGGAAGAGUGCAUCCGGCGUGUUGUGACCGCCGUAUGCCACUGAAGUUCAAGGGAAAAUUUUAUAGGACGGCAAUAAGGCCGGCGAUGCUGUAUGGCACAGAAUGUUGGGCGGUGAAGCAUCAACACGUACACAAAAUGGGUGUAGCGGAGAUGAGGAUGCUUCGUUGGAUGUGUGGGCACACGAGAAAGGAUAAGAUUAGGAAUGAGGAUAUCCGGGGUAAAGUAGGAGUAGCCGAAAUUGAAGGAAAGAUGAGAGAAAAUCGGUUACGGUGGUUUGGACAUGUGCAAAGAAGGCCUACUGACGCUCCGAUUAGAAGAUGAGACUAUGGGACAGAGGUUCAGGGCCGAAGGGGUAGAGGAAGACCUAGGAAAACUUUGAGAUAGACCCUAAGAAAAGACUUAGAGUACUUGGAUCUAACGGAGGACAUGACAUAGGACAGAACACAAUGGCGUUCUAAGAUUCAUAUAGCCGAUCCCACUCAGUGACUUGGAUUUUCCAAGUCUCCAACCGAGAAGUUGUCAUCGCUCGGGAAAUUAAGGGAACACUACCUCAACCUACAUGCUCCACUCACAAAGCUUCAACAUACAAGCUUUAACAAAAGAAAAUUCAAAGAACUUAGCGAAUAAGGCUUUGGUGAUUUAACACAAUACGUUGAAAUGAAGGAAAGCUUAUUUAUUGAUAUCCCCGAUAAGUUACAAAUAUGUACAUAUACUUGAGUCAAAAUAAACAAACAAGAGGGAGCCUUCACAAAGGUUGCUUAGGAGAAGUCUCAGCAGUCGGUAGAGCCCCAGAAAGAGAAGGCACCGGAGGGGGAUCAUUCGGAGCCUCAGUACUGGACAGAACCCUAGAAGGAGGAGGCAUCAGAGGUUGAUCAUUUGGAGCUUCAUUACGCGGUAUAGCCCCAGAAGACGAAGGCAAUAAAUGCCUUUGGAACAAACCCACAAAUCUCUGAUGAUCAAGUAAAACCUGACCAUCAGAUUCCUUCAUCUGGUCAAGCUUCCUCUUCAUGUUUGUAGCAUAGUCAUGUGCGAGCCGGUGCAACUGUUUAUUCUCAUGCUUGAGCCCUCUAAUCUCCUGUUUGAGACUCAUCACUUCAGCCGCCAAUGAUUCAACUUGGCGGGUUCGAGCAAAUAGGCGUUGGGCCAUAUUAGACACAGAACCUGCACACUGAACACUAAGAGCCAGAGAAUCCUUAACAGCCAACUCAUCAGACCGUUUGGAAAGUAGUCUGUUAUCUUUGGGAGUGAGAAGGUUCCUGGCCACUACCGCAGCGGUCAUAUCAUUCUUCAUCACGGAAUCCCCAACGGUAAGAGGACCAGUAGGGGAGACGAAGGAUGGGCGCCAUAUGUUGUCUGGAGAAGGCGGGGCUGCCUCUUCAACAAGGUUCAAGUCAAAACGACGGUCGGAGGGGCCAGACAUUUUCAAAGGUGUUGAAGAGAGAAGAGGUCGGACAAAUCAAGAUCUUAGAAGUGCAAGAAUGGAGCUUCUACUGGUGGAUAUUCAAGUGUGCUUUGGAACUUAAUGUCAGCCCCUAUAAAAAUCUGCACUCGACGAAGCUUCAGAAAUCGAAGAGGCGCCUGCUCAGAAAUCGAAGAGGCGUUUGCUUUCUCAAAAGCUGGGCUGCUCAGAGACCACGAGGGUCGAUCUCAGAAAUCGAAGAGGCGUUUGAUUUCUCAAAAGCUGGGCUGCUCAAAGACCACGAAGGCCGAUCUCAGAAAUCGAAGAGGUUUUCUUUCUCAAAAGCUGGGCUGCUUAGAGACCACGAGGGCCGAUCUCAGAAAUCGAAGAGGUUUGCUUUCUCAAAACCUGGGCUGCUCAGAGACCACGAGGGCCGAUCUCAGAAAUCGAAGAGGCACAUACUUUUCCAGCCUUGUCAGCACCUGUCACACGCACACUCAACUUUGCGAAAAUUAUGGGCAUGCUGUCGAAGAUUUCUGGCGAAGUAGAAAGCACAUGAAUCGUACUGUUCAAUCACCCACUUCCCACACGCAACAGUAGCUCAUGGGUACCAUAUAUAACUUUGCCAAAGUUCUCUGACAAAGUUGAGACUACUUUUCCAGCCUUGUCAGCACCUGUCACACGCACACUCAGCUUUGCGGAAAUUAUGGGCAUUCUGUCGAAGAUUUCUGGCGAAGUAGAAAGCACAUGAAUCGUACUGUUCAAUCACCCACUUCCCACACGCAACAGUAGCUCAUGGGUACCACAUAUAACUUUGCCAAAGUUCUCUGACAAAGUUGAGACACGUGAAGCUUGCAAGCUCUCACUACAUCGCUCUGACCAAGAAGGGUAAAAGAAUAGCAAAGAAACAACACUAACAAAGUUUAGACACAUAAAUUUUGAAGGCCUAGCUACCAUAUUAUUACCCACAAGGGUAAAGGAACAGUACCACUGCUGGAUAAUUGGAAAGUCCCGGUGUGUCAACCUCUGUGCUUCGUGGCAAGGUAGACUAGCAAACAUGCCCAACCUUUACUCACAUUCGAGAAAACACUCCCAACAAGAUUGCUUGCACCAAAAUCGAAAGAGGCAUCGCCCUCCGAAUCUCGAGAGCCAGACUCCCAACAUGAUUACUUUCUCAAAAAUCGAAGAGAGGGUAAAGGAACAGUACCACUGCUGGAUAAUUGGAAAGUCCCUGUGUGUCAACCUCUGUGCUUCGUGGCAAGGUAGACUAGCAAACAUGCCCAACCUUUACUCACAUUCGAGAAAACACCCCCAACAAGAUUGCUUGCUCCAAAAUCGAAGAGGCACCGCCCUCCGAAUCUCGAGAGCCAGACUCCUAACAUGAUUACUUUCUCAAAAAUCGAAGAGAGGGUAAAGGAACAGUACCACUGCUGGAUAAUUGGAAAGUCCCUGUGUGUCAACCUCUGUGCUUCGUGGCAAGGUAGACUAGCAAACAUGCCCAACCUUUACUUACAUUCGAGAAAACACUCCCAACAAGAUUGCUUGCUCCAAAAUCGAAGAGGCACUGCCCUCCGAAUCUCGAGAGCCAGACUCCCAACAUGAUUACUUUCUCAAAAAUCGAAGAGACACCGCUCUCCGAAUCUCGAGAGCCAGACCCCCAGCAUGAUUGCUUUCUCAAAAAUCGAAGAGGCAUCGUUCUCCGAAUCUCGAGAGCCAGAUCCCCGACAGGAUUGCUUGUUCGAAAACCGAAGAGGCACCACUUUCCCAACUUCAAGAGCCGGAUCUCCUUGGAUAAAGCUUGUCUGUAAUCUUCACACGCAACAUCAGCUUUCCAGAUACCACAGACCACUUUUUCAAAGUGCUCUGACAGAGUUAAAACUUGUGAAGCUGGCAGCUCCCACUACCGUGCUAUGACCAAGCAGGGUAAAGGAAUAGCAUUAUUACUUGAUGUUAGGGAGACUCCUAUAUAUGUCGACCUCCAUCCCCAACGGACAGGCAGACCUGCAAAAAUGCUCAACCCUUCCUCUUAUCUGAGAGGGCACUCCCAACGAAGCCUUUCGAAAUAUUCAGCUUUCUUUCCCCCGAUAAUACCUCUGUAAACAAGCUAUACUAGAGCAAGAAUAUCUCAUAUCAUCAGGGUUAAAAGCAAGAGUAUCCCAUAUCAUGCUUUUUUCCCUGUCUUUUCCUUUGGCCUUGUUCUUACCUGCAAGACAAGGAGAAAGAGAGCAAUCAGUCAGCACUUGGAAUCAAGCUUCCAGCCAGGAACUGACUGCCUGGAACCCCUUACCUGAUUACUUACCUGGCAUUGCUCUCGAGUACUCAUCUUCAACAUCUUAUGCUUCCAGGAAGAUACCGCAUCUGCCUGAGGAACAGAUAGGGCAAGUGAGAAGGAUACAAGGAAGCAUGUGGAGACAAGCGUAACAGCACACGUGCCGAUACAUCCACUACUCUGUCAAAAGCAAAAGUAUCCCAUAUCAGCAGGGUCGAACGUACUCUAGAUUUGAUGGACUUGUUUUGACCCUCAAAUUCUUCAGUCGGCCUUAUACUCUGGAGGAAACCAGAAAACCCUCCAGCCCAGUUCAAGAAUAAGCCUGUGGAAAGUUACUUCUUCAAAAGCAAAAGUAUCCCAUAUCAUCUCUUCUCAUUUUUCUUCUCUUUAUCCUUCAUGCUGCCUGCAAGAUAGGGAGAAUGUGAACAAUCAGCCGGAGCUCUGAUUGCUUACCUUGUCUGUUACCUCUUUCAGCAGAUCCCCUAGCUCGGCGACUUGGGGGACUCCUACUACAUGGUUUGUAUCGCGCUUGACCAAGCCUGAAACUACAAGUAAGCUUCAAGUGACAUUGAUACAUUACCUUGUGCAUCUCCACCAGUUACAGAUACCACCCCUGGAUGGAAGAAGAGUACUUCCAGAGAAGAUGCCACAUCUACCUAUGAGACAGAUAAGGAAAGUCAAGACGAUACCACACUCCGGUACUUAGAAGUUUCGUGGUUACGAGAUCAUUCUCCCACAAUAUUUCCUAAUGUCAUUUGUACUAAAUCAUUCACUUGUACUCCCUAAAGGAGAGCUUGAACCUAUGUACUUGUGUAAACCCUUCACAAUUAAUGAGAACUCCUCUAUUCCGUGGACGUAGCCAAUCUAGGUGAACCACGUACAUUUUGUGUUUGCUUUCCUAUCUCUAUCCAUUUAUAUACUUAUCCACACUAAUGACCGGAGCAAUCUAGCGAAGAUCACAAAAAAGUGACCGUUUUCGCUACCUAGGAUCUAUCUUGCAAGAGAACGGAGAAUUAGAUGGAGAUCUCAACCAUAGAAUACAAGCUGGAUGGAUGAAGUGUAAGAGUGUAUCCGGCGUGUUGUGUGACCGUCGUAGGCCACUGAAGCUCAAGGGAAAAUUUUAUAGGACGGCAAUAAGGCCAGCGAUGUUGUAUGGCACAGAAUGUUGGGCGGUGAAGCAUCAACACGUACACAAAAUGGGUGUAGCGGAGAUGAGGAUGCUUCGUGGGAUGUAUGGGCACACGAGAAAGGAUAAGAUUGGGAAUGAGGAUAUCCGAGGUAAAGGAGGAGUAGCCAAAAUUGAAGGAAAUAUGAGAGAAAAUCGGUUCCGGUGGUUUGGACAUGUGCAAAGAAGGCCUACUGACGCUCCGGUUCAAAAAUGUGACUACAGGACAGAGGUUCAGGGCCGAAGGGGUAGAGGAAGACCUAGGAAAACUUUGGAAGAGACCCUAAGAAAAGACUUGAGUACUUGAAUCUAACGGAGGACAUGACACAAAACCGAGCGCAAUGCCGUUCUAGGAUUCAUAUAGCCGACCCCACUUAGUGGGAAAAUGCUUUGUUGUUGUUGUUGUUGUUGUUGAUUGAAUGUCCAUAAUCCUUGUGCAUCUGCCCCUUUAAAUAAAGAUCUGAAAAGAGCCACAUGCUGAGAACCUUGUACUUGCCCGAAAGAAACUUGGGCAGCUUGCAUUGCUUUUGCCAACUUGCAUUGCUUUUGCCAACUUGCAUGUAGAAAUAAUAUUUAAAAGGGAAACUUACAUCUCCACCACAUGUUUUUAGCACAUGUCUCCCCAACUUGUAAUAAACUAACAAUUAAAAUAAACAAGUUGGCUUCUUUCACAUGUUCUCUGCAGUAUGUCUGUAUGCUUUCCAAUCCAUUUGUAAUGGGAAAGCAUGCAAUUGUUGACUUGGCAAAUCUCCACCACCCAAACAAAUUGGAGAAACAAUAUUAUAGUGUAAAAACUCAUCCACUUGCAGCCAAAUAUCUUUCUAAGUUAGCUUUCUUGCAUAUUAAUCCUUCAAAUACCAUAUUUUACCCCCAAUGGCCCAAAUAAGUAAAAACGGGCACAUUUUAAGUGCAAACAUUGCCAUUUAUUGUUGUCUGUCUAAACUUGAUGACAUAGUGUUCUCUUACAUACAGAUUAAUGAAAUAUUAAUUUAUUUCCAUGGGUUAUUUGAUUUUGCAAAUUCAUAAUAAUUGAAGAAUACUGAAAAUUACUAAACCCCAUCACAACAUCCCAUCAGUGAAAAAUCAAAGACAAAAGUAAAUUACUAUCUUUCUAAGCAUCCAAAGAUAGCAUACCCAAAAUACCAAAUUCAACUCCAAUAUAAUAAAAAAAUUAAAAAACAAAUUAGCCAAAUUGAAAUAGUUAGAUCAAAUAAAGAUUUAAGUCAACCAAUUACACAAAAUAAUUCAUGCAAAGUAGGCUCCUAAGAAAAUAUACCACUAUGGUGGUGGAGGAGGCCCAGGCUCAAACAGUGGAGGGCAGCAACAUUUAAAUAUACCGCAGCAGCACGGAAUCCACGAACUGCAUAAUCAAAACCAAAAUUUUAAAAUUUAUAUUUAAAUUUAAAUUUGAAAAAAAAAUGCAAUAGCAUUGUAUAAUGAGAAAUUCUCCAAUGUGGAUAAAUUAAUCUUGUGGGAUGCGAUCAGUUGUAUUGGGCUGGCAACCGGCUUAUGCUUAAAUCCCACUCAAUUUAUCAUACACCCUUCCAACUACAAUUCAAAGGAAGAAGUUCCAAGUGCAUGCAUAAUGUUUGCUCAACUAAAAUAAAUUGCUUUUCAUGAUUAAAAUAGCCAACCAACCAACACUCAUUUGAUAAAAUUGAACAUUUAGAGUUACAUAUCCACAUAUUCCACAUAUUUAAGAUCGAACAAACCUUCAAAUGAAGACCACCCAAAGGUCCAUUAGUGAGUUGUGUGACCAGAGGAUUUACUGCACUUGAGUUUCCUCGUGCAGCUGCAAGAGCUAUGAGCUUACGUUGACCGUCAGCUACUUCUCCGCUUAAGGUUUGAGUCACAGAUUAUGUAGAAUUAAUAGCUUCCUGCAAAGAAGUGAAAUAAGAAACCUUAAUUUGUUAAAAUGUGAGUAAUUCUCAAUUGAUUAAAACAUCAUCCGAUGGUGUUUUCUAGGCUUUUUUUUUUCCUUCCUUUCGCAUGCCAUUAUUUCAUUAGCCAUCUGCAGAAUUGCAAUUGAUAGAAUCGGUGUUCUUUGAAAUAAUCAUAACAUUUCACAACACAAUGGCAUCAAUUUAUACAAAUUCUAACAACAAAUUGUCAAAAAACAAUGAGAACAAUUACCAGAAAUUUCAAAUCUUUUGGGGGUUCAGAGUAAAUACCAGAGAGACGAAAGCUAAAAUCAACAUUAGUCCAUUUUUUUCAAAAUAAGAACAGCUCCGAUCUGGGAAAUACAUUGCAAUUUCUGAAGAAAAAAAAAAGCGAGAAAACCCUAAAAUCCCUAAGAACCCUAAUUUAUAAACUAUAAACAAACGCAAAAGGAGAGAGGAGACUCAAAUAAAAGGAAAAUCGAGAAAUUCAACAUACCAUAAUCGGAGGGAGGACGCUUUCCGACGGCCAAAUUCAUCGACACCGGAGGCGGUUGUUGACCGUCACUGUACCUCCAUUUCGCCUCCGCCAUGUUUGAGGCUUUCGACCGUCACUAGUUGGUUUGUGUGCUUCAUGUCGAGAGAUAUGGGGAGCAGGAAAAGCAGAGGAAGAUGAAAGAUUGUGGGUUUUCCAGUAACAGGAAGAGUGAGAGAUGAGAAGAGAGCGCACGCGUGUAACCCAUCGCAAUCCGUUCUAAACCAUACGGAUAAAAUUACCCUCUCAACUUUUGAGAAUUACCCUCCCAAGUUCCCAACCCAUCUCCCUUUGGCUGGCAUUGUUGUAAACAGCGUGAAAUUGAGUAGCAAAGAUUUGACUGUAGCUAAGCUACAGUCAAUUGCUCCUUAACUUUAGAAUAGACUAGAAAUUACGUUUGCACAUUGCUGCGGGAACCAGCUGUUUCACGCGGAAUCAGAUGAAUAAAACAUAUUUAAGUUGAAUAAAUUCAACAUAAUUAUGAACAGACAAAGGGAUACAUGAGUGAAUGAGGUCGAUAAGAUAAACAGUUUUGCUUUUAUAUACAUUCAAAUGAGCUGGCAUAUAAACACAUUGUACAAUGAGUAGGAAGAAACUGAACGUCUUUGAUUAGAAAGAUAUGGCUUCCAAAAAAGUUAUGUUUCCUUGAGAAAUAGAAGAAACAUAUAGUUCACACAUAAUAUGUGUCCUGCAGUGAAGGCAGCCAUUUCAACAAGUAAUGCCAAGAAAAUAAAUUAAAAUAUUAUGCAUAUGAGUGCAAGCUUACAGAAACGUUGUUUUUGUACACUUUCUUCUCCCUUCAAUGAUAGUUUGUUUCUUAUCCAGAAAAAUAAAAUGAUCAGGUCAAUGAUACUCACAUGUGCAAAAUGCUAAUCCUAUGGUCUAAAGCUAAUUGAGUUUUUAAGUGUAAAAUCCCUAAUUUCACUACAUUUGGAUUGAUCACAGUUCGUGACUUGUUAAACUUGAUAUCCCCUUGUACAUUUUGGGAACUUGACAGCUUAAAGAAGUGCUCAUAAAAGCAAAUUACACAAUAUCUACUAAAAAACUUAGAGAAGUGACUCAAUUAGUCAACAAACAGAUGCCUCACACUUGAAUAUCAAAGACCAAAGAGAGAAAACCAAGCCGAACUCUUCAAAAUUCGUUGGCACACAUGCUUCGUUGACCCAAUUGAAUGUAUAAUGCAUACUUAGAUACAACAAUUCGAACAAUAGCUCAUAAACAGUGCUGAAAUUCCAUUAGCACUAAUCACACACUACAAGAACAGAGAUCCUAGCAAAGCUACAUCAAUUAAAUGACAAAGACUAAAAACCACAAACAAGAAAAAAAGAAAAACAGAGUUAUCAGACAGCAUGAUUCAAAUAUAAUUUUAUUGGGGUUGGUAAAAGCACAACCCAUCCAGCACUUUAAAAGCAGGUCUUUCUUGAUUAGAAGCUCAUAUGUCUUGCACCUAAUUUUCAAACACUCAAACGUCAGUGUCUUAAUACUUCUAACCCACAGUUCAAAACAGAAAGAACCUCAUUUGAUGAAAAUGCCAAAAUUUUCUAAGAAUGGAGUCCAAAAAUUUAUUUUUAAGCAUCCAAAAAGCCAUUAAACUAAAAAUAGUUAGUUCUUCGUACCUUUGUAUGAAGAUCACACAGGAAAACAUUAGCAUUCCUAAAUGCUAUCUUGGAAUUUCGGGGGUUAGAUUAGAGCCACACUUGAGUUCGACAUUGAAAGUGAGGCCUCGCUGGUGUGUUUCCACACCACAUGCUCUGCAAAAGAGACACAAUCUUAGAAUCAGAAACACAUAAAUAAGAAAUAUACACACUACAUAUAUAGCAAGAGAAACUUAAGAAAACGAAAAGUUCAAUCAAAGUUAGUGAAGUGAACCUUUUUUCUUUUUUUUUAACCCAAAGCAUUGAAAGUAGCACAAACCAUUCUUUGGUCCUCUUUCUCCCCUCUUCCCGUGUCCCUCACUCUUUUUCACCCCUUGAAACAAUAACUGAUAAGGAAAAAUAAAAAAUUACUAUUGAAUAAUCUAACAAAUCAUUUAGCACCAUCGGUUGCCAACCUGCAAUCUUGAGUCUGCUAACAUUCCAAAAUUAUUAUCAGUAAGUCUCCAUAUAUCCUUUUUGAUUCGCUUCUUUUCCUCCUAUUUCCCAACCAACAACACAUUUCUUAUCAUCUUUCUUAGUAUCAUAUGGGCACACACAAAGUGUGUGAGAAAUUUUUUUUUAUUUUUGUUUUUGAAAUCGAAGGAGAGAGGAAGAGAGUGAUAGAGAAUGUGGGAGUGGGAAGGUUUUUUUAAUUUUUUUUUAAUUAGAGAUAUGUUAGGAUUACAUGUAGGUGAGAUUUUGAAAAAAAACAACAAAAUUUGAUUGUGUGAAAUUACAUUUCUGCCCCAUAUUUUUUAUUCAUGUUCUGUUUUAAUUAGAAGGUAAAAUGGUAAUUUCAUAGGGUUUUGAUUGAAAAUGAGUGUUUUAUUAAUUAGUACAGAUUCAUAUAUAUGACAAUAAACAAAAAAAAAUGUGCAAAAGAUUCAAAAAGUAACAAUAGCACCUUCAUAUUUACCGUUUACAUUAUAGUAAAAUCUCAAAAUAUUUCAGAAAUAUCAUAUGAAAUGCACAAUGUUACAAAUAAAAUUGAUUAAUUAGCACACAAAAAAAAUUGAUAAUGGAGAACAGGAAAUAACUAUAAAAAAUUAAAAAUAUCAGUAGACCAAGAGAAAACUACUUUAAACAAAAUGAAAACUCAGAAUUUAGGAUAAAAAGAAGGAAAGAAAUCAAACAGAAAAGAAGACAAAAGAGAAGAAAAAAAUUAAAGCAAAAUACCUGGAGCUCGGUGAGAUUCAAGCUUCGAACUGAAAAAAGAAACAUUCGGUGGUCAACACCCAAUCACUAAUUAACUAAGUGGUGACCAUGAACACGUGAAUAAAAUUGUAGAGGUUAAUUAUACGGAAUUUUACCGCACCAAAAAAAAAAAAAAAAAAACACUAAUUGAUAUUUGGGGUGGGUUCGAAUUCUUUUGGUUUGGUUCAGUUUUAGUGGUCUAGAAACCGAACCGAAUUAAUUAAAUUAAUAUUUUUUUUAUUUAUUUAAUUAUUUGUUUUGGGUAUUAUUUUUUAAACCCAAUUUGUAAGCUCAAUGUGUUGCCCAAAAUCAGAAAUUCCAAAUGCAUCUGCUACUUUUCCUAUAACUACAAGGAAGAAGUCGUAUAAAAAAGCAGGACCUUCAAUAGUGUGGUGCUAACUCUUGACACGGUACUAUUAGUUCCUUAUUGUUGUUUAAUCUGGCUUCUUGCUUCAAGUAUUUGUAUGCUUAUUCAGUAUUUCAUUGCUUAUUGUUAUAUGCAGUGAUCAGGUAUUGGUUUUGAUCAAGUGUAUUCCCUUUUGCUACUAAAUAGGAAAUCAUAUUACUAAAUGAUCGAUAAUACAUACAAAGAGAGCAUAAUCGAUAUAUGAUCCUCGUUGGUUCAAAGUGGGUUAUAGUAUGAUAAUGCUCUCAUUGUACUUACUAUCGUGAUAAAAUAAUUCAGCUCAUGUCCACCAACCUAUACCAGCUCUUUAUAUUAUUCAUAGUUAAGAGUUGAGGUGUGAAGAAAAUGGUAGAAAAUUUUACUUUUCUAAAAAGAAAUCUAUUUACAGUUAAAUUUUAAACACAAAAUAUUAAAAAAAAAACCUUUAUGUUAUAAUUCUACUUGAACUCUAAAUCUUUGUCUUUGAUUCUAAUUGGAAUAUUUAUGUUAUGAUUGUGUUGGAAAUGUUAAAAUUUAAGACUUCAGUUUUUUUCAUUUUUUGAAAAAAAAAACGAAACCGAACCGGAAAAAACCAAAUGGAAAAAAAAUGAACCGAACCGAAAUUUCAGUUUGGUUUCGAUUUUGGCAAAAAACCGAACCGAUUUGAACCGAACCUAGCCCUAAUUGAAAUUAUGUGUUGUGCACAGUGAUAUCGAAGAAGAAUAAUUUCUAUUUAACUGAAAUUAAAUCCGAAUAAAUGAUUCAUAAAAUUACAGAUUUUCAAUCAAAUGCGGAAUAUACACAACAAUUUUAUUUCUGAUUUGAAUAUAACCAACUACAUCCCAAGUUGCAUCAGUAUCAAUGGAUCCAACAUGGUGACCAUCUGCCCCUCAAGUAUUCAUAUCUGCAAACCCUCGUCUAAAGAAAAAUUCAUCCAGAAAUUAAUCACCGAGUAUGCAAGGUUGGCAUGCAUAUUCACGUUUAAUCGUGGCCAUGAUGAUAGGAAUUAAAAAAACACGAAAAUAGGAAUGAUGCACCUUUACUUAGAUCUCAGGGUUCUAAAAUUUGUUGCUGAGAUUUGAGAAACAUAGGAAAUGUGUUUCAUGAUUUCAAAUUAGAUUUGCAUAAGAGUUCAGAAACGCAUACAUCCCUUCUUUUCAUUCCCCUAAACGCUAAAGCCUAGGCUUUCAACACCAAAACACCCAAAUAGUACCAGAACUUUGCAAUGUGCAGGGAAUAUACUAAAAAAAUUUAAACCACAAUCAAGCAUCAUCUAUCUAAACAAAAUCAGAACCCAAACCACAUACAAAAUCUCUAAAUAUAUAAUAAUAAUAAUAAUAAUAAUAAUUCUAGUAGAAAUUCCAAUCCAUUACAACAAAACACAGAAUACCAGGUAUUGCUGGAUGUAGAUAUCCAAAACAGCAGCACCCAUCAAUUGAUCUAAUUACGUAUCCAUUCCCUAUCCAUGGCAUACAAAGUAUGUACUCCCUCUUUACAUGUUAUAAAACAUUUAGUAGACCAGCAAUCAAAAUUAACAACCCUAAUUGCUGUAUACACUAUACACUAUGCUCUCCAACUGAAAAUGUUUAAUUAAAUUUUCCAACUUAAAACCCUAAAUUAAAUCCUACAAAUUGAAAUAGCAGAAACAGAAUUAGAGACAAGGAAGAAAUCACUGACCUUCGAGUUGUUGAAAGCUCUGAUGGGUGUUUCUUUUCAUCCAGCCCUAAAAACAGAACGCACAAUUGUAAUAUAAUAUCCAAUCAUAGGUUAAGAAUCAAAUUAACCCAGCCUGUGUAUAGAAAAAUUGAACAAAUUUAGACAUUUAUAUGUAUGUAUAUUCCAGUAAAAAAGAAUGAAAUGCACUGAACCCUAAAAUGAAAAACUAUGUCAGACUGAUUGAAGAAGAGAAACAGAGAGGGAGAGAGAGUGGGACGGAGAGAAAACCCUAAAAACAGAACCCUCUGGCAACCUAACACAAAAUCAAGCCAACAAAUUCCAUUUCAAUUUUGACAAAACAAAUCGGAAAAAAAUAAUGAAAACCUGAACGAAAUACAGAGGAACUGAUGGGUUUAUGCAUCAACAACUUGAUAAAACCCAGAAACACAAAACCUAAUAUGUAUCAGCUACAAAAACCCAAAUAAAUAAAUAAAACACUCAAAUUUCAAACGAAGAUGUCAUAGAUGGAGGAAGAGAGAAGUGACAGAGAGGGAGAGAUACUUACUCAACCCCACCAUCUCUCCGCAGCCAACACACUGAUUCCCUCAACCCUACCCUCAAAUCUUGUACCCAAUCAACUCUCUUUCUGUCCCCCUAAUCGUGCACCCGCCGUCACCUUCUCUCUGCAACCAAACCCCUCUCCUCCCCCAUAUCACACCCCCACCUGUGAAGGCAGUGACAGCAGACCACCUCCCUAGAAACCGGCCCUAAAAACCCAUACCCAUACCUCCCUUACCCGUUCCCUUUAACCCUCGCAUAAAAUCCUCCCAUCUCUCUCUCACCCUUGUCCCAUCUCUCUGUCUCUGCAAAUCGCAGAAAACAAACCCUAAACCAAAUCCCUAAAAUCCUGCCUCAAUCCCCCCACACUUCUAUUGGACACUCCCUAUCUCUCUCUGCAAUGCGUAAAACAAAUCUCCUAAAUCCUAUCUCGGACAUUGUAACCUGAAUCAAGCUGGUUUCACACAUACCAAUAGAAAACCAAAAUAUCAAUGUUGGGGAAGUUACCUUAUUUGAAAUACCACCAAAAAACAGAGUAUACUUUUAGGCAAAUAUUGUUUAAACACCCAAACAUAAUUCAUGAUAUGUGCCAAAAAGAAAAUACCUCUCGAUUAGAUUUCCUUCGUUCACAAGCUUUCUCCCUGACAAACUCUUGAGAUAGAACCAAAAAAGAAAAUAAGUCACAAUUGAUGCAAGUAGAGGGGAAUGCAGCAGAGAAAAGUAGGAAUUUAUGAGUACACCACUCCUGUUUUAGGUUCCCAACUUAUAAGGAUGCUAACUUCAUUAUAUAGGACUACCGUUAAACUCAUUUCUUUCCGAAAUUAAAUUAAGAAAAAAGUUCGACACUCGCAUGCCACAAUACAAUGUUACAUAAAGUAAUCUUACCAUCACAACCAAAUUGACACCAAACUUCUAACAGUCCUUUUGAAGGAGAAAAUCAAGCGAUUAAUCAAAUACUCAUUUUCCAAAAAAGAAAAAACCCAACAAAAAUAUAUAAAAAGUAAAAGUACCUAAGUUCCCAAUAGUCCAAUCCAUCAGAAAAAUACAAACUUGCACAUGUUUGAGUAUAAGGACCAUAAGAAAGAAGCAGGGGAUGCAAAAUUUUGAGAAUGGGUCUAAUAAUACUCAUCAAGUAAAGAUAAUCAAAGUUAAAAGGAGGUAAUAAAGGUAUAGAAAAAAAGAAGAAUAUAUUCUACAAAUGAAUGAAACAAAAGAUUGUGACACUGGAAUGGAAACACUUCAGGAGGCCAGAGGAAGAGGGACAAUACUAUAGCAAAUAAAUUGAUAAUGCUUGUGCUCUCCUCUGUUCUUUCCCAAGUUGAUCCUACAAACAAAAGCACAGACAAAACUUAAUAAACGAUGCCAAUCAAUGAAAGCUAAAUUAUCCCCAUCCUGAAUCUUUUAUAAAACAAUGCACCAAGAAAAUUUCAACAAUAAAUAUUUCAUACGAAAAACAAAACACGAUGAAAUAAAUUUCAACAUAGGCUUGUUUCAGUUAACAUCUUACUUUGAAAACCUUAACCUCCCACUCCCUGUAAGCUGUAGGUACAACAUUCUCGGGAAGUUCUAUUGGGCACCCUUCCCUUGUGAAGUUUGCUCCAUGGCCAUCCCAUUCACCGGAUACAUUCCUGGCAAAUUCGGACCACGCACGAACACAUAAAAGAGAAAUUGAAUUAUAGCAGCACGUCAAAUAUAUUAACUUAUAGAUUCUAGACUUCAAAUACUUAACAUAACAAAUACAAAUUUAACCAUCAUCUCUCUUAUCCAUUGCCUUUUCUACUAUAAAUGAAACCGUAUAUUAAAUAACUGACCGUUUUAGAUUGGCAGAUUGCAAUUUCUUUGGAAAUUAGUCAUAAAAGUUAAUACAUUUCAUCACUCCAUUUCUGACUUAUCCUCUUAUCAACUGUUGUGCACCCUAAUCCAAAGAAUGGAAAUUUAACCGCCAAAUAUCAAACGAGAUAUCUAAUAACUGGAAAUUUUCCUUUGGAUAUCUAAUAAAUUUCAAUUACUCAAUUUCUACACAACCCCAAAUCCAAAUACCGUAUGUUGCUCAAAUAUCAACGCAAAGAUGCAAACUUUUUUACGCUACAACAACAACCAUACGAUUUUAAUAAAACCCACAAAAACCAAGUAAAUAAGCAGAUUUUUGGCAACAUCGCUUAAAAUACACUCACCAUAAACAAAAGUGGAAAUGGGAUUGAAGCCAUUGCUGCGGUCCUCCUCCUGGAGUUGCAGCUUAACAUCUGACACAGCGGUGUUGGCGGAGGAAGAGGCAGCGCUCUAGACAAUCUGACCUCUCUGGCGGCAGUUGUGAGGCAGUUGGAAUCUAUAGGCCUCGGUUGAUCCGUUGCUGUUUUUUUUUUUCAUUGGAUCUCCCAUUUGGUCUCACUGUUGUUAUAUUUGUUUUUGUUCUUCCUUGUCAAUCAGGAUCUGCACCUCUGAAAACCCACAAAGACAUUAGAAAUGGAACCCUCUGCAUAUCUUAUGAAAAUAGCGUUGAGCCUUGAGGUGUCCUCGCAACCCUAAGGUAUGGCGCAGUUGGAGUUUUCAACUACAUGAGCGCAACCUUCUCCGGAUCUCUGUGUACGAACCCGACAAACACAGAUCCACACAACUCAUUUUAAAUCAUAUGAUUCUCAUUAGCCCAUUCUACUCACCUUCUUAACACAAACCACGAGUUCAGAUCUUACUCUUUUUAACUACUAAAUAUCCGAGUUCUUGAACUUCGAAAACAAAAAUCCAAAGAGUAUCUCGACUCCAAAUAAGGUAGCUUUUUUACUGUGCAUGUAGCUACCCCAAAAAUGAGGGAAACCCAACCCCACCCCCCAAAAAAAAAACCACCCACAACAAAGUACAACUAUAAGAAAAGCUUUAUGAGGGGUCACUCUAAAAUUGAUCUUAAAAUUAUCUAGUCCGUCAUUCCAAAAAUUGUUGUGACAAUGUUGCAUUUAAAAUUGUCUGACAAUAAAACAUUAUUCUGGGCAAAAUUUUUGUAUAAAUUAUAAGUUCAGCCAAAAGACAUUAUACAGCUUCUUCCUGACUAUUUUAGGUCUAUACUCCAUUGCUGAAAAUUCUAUUAUGCUCAUCAUAAAUCUUGCCAAUCCACCAAGCAAUUGGGUUAAAUUACCCUUGACCUAAAAAAUGAUGGUCCAUCGAUGCCAACUUGGCCAGGCAAUUGGUGGGCUCCAAUAAGCUCGUUGAACUACCAUUGCAGCCCGUUGGCAAUAAGUAACGACGGACUUGAUGUCAAGUAACAGAAGGCUGGCCCCAAUCCCGUGCACCAAAUCGAACGAAACAGCUCCAAUUUGGGUGCCCCAUAGCUGUUGGAUUUUCAACAAUUUGUUGAUAUGAACCAUUAAAUUUCAAACGAUAAAAAAAAUUUAAAAAGAUGAUGUUGUGUAAUGUGGCACUUUGUGGCGCAUUUGAUAUUAAAAUUUUGAAAAUUUCAACAGACAGAUUAAGCUGAUGGUAAAAAAAAUCCAAAAAAAUAAGAAAAAACUUGCAACAAAAAAUAUCUAAAAAAACUUACAAAGUUCAUACUUAAACAAAAAUCUAAACUGAUAUUACUAAUAGAUAAUGACUUAAUGAAAAUGAAAGGAAUCACUCCGGCUCUCUUUCACCAAAUCCAUAGGAACCAUUGAAAUUUGGUUGUUACAAACAGAACCCACUGUAAAAGUUAUAAUAGGAUAGAUCAAAUUUGAAUGGCCCGAUCCCGGUCUUAUAGAUUUGGUGAAAGGGAUGGAUCCUUUCCGUUGAAAAUUUCAUCGCCUCUCCUUUCAACCCUUCAAGGAAAACCCACUUCUUGGGCGUCUUCAACCACGUAAAGCUUCACUUGGGGUUUGCGGUCUUGGAUUGAAAUUUGUGUUUUGGGAUUUGUUGGGUGCUCGCAUGUGGAAUUUUGGAAAAUUUUAGUUGUGGAUUGUGGGGAACUGACGCCCAUUUCAUGUAGGUUGCUUUUGUUUGUGUGUUUUUGGUGAAAUAAUGAUGAGGAGGGUUGGAUAGUUGGACUGGUUUUAUUUUUUUUGUGAAAUUAGAGUGGGAUCAAUCAAGGUUGAGACAUGCCCCAUAAGGGUCAAUAGGUCUCAGUUGCAUAUCUAACUUGUUUCUCAUGUGUUUUCAUCCUGAAGGUUAGAAAAGAUGGGUGCUCUAGACGCGCAGAAAGUGGUUCAUCAACACUAGGGAUGGCGGCUGAUCUCAUGUAUGUGGUUACAUGCUGGAGUUUUCCAUGUGCUUGCCAAUAUGCUGAGUCUUGUAUUCAUUGGAAUUCGGCUUGAGCAAGAAUUUGGAUUUGGUAUGCAUCUGGAUUUUAGUUCAUGUAUGUUAUCAUGCAUGUAUGGCCACAUCCAUAAGUGUUUGUAGUAAAAGAUAAAGCACACGACAUAAGUUGUAGAAUAAUAAAUUAGUUACCAAGUGCAAAACUUCUUUCAUAAAUCUAGAAGAGAAACACUUUCCGGAUGGCUUUAGCUACCUUGUGAUUAAUCUACAGAGGAUUUCUAUGCAUUUGUUUAUUGAAUUGUAAUCCUAGAGUAGUGGUCAUGUAGUGCGGGUUGCAUUAUAACUUACACCAGUAUGUUGUUUGGUUUGAUGGAAACAAGAGGAUGUUUUAUUUAGCGGUGAGCAAAGAAAAGAGUUUAUAGACCGAAGAUGGGGUUCAAACUUUAGUUUUAGACAUAGUAUUCCAUUUUACAGAAUAAAAUUGCUUGAAACAAAAGCUGAGAGAUUAUUUCAGUUUUCUAUCACAUCUGUGGGAACAAAGAUUGUUUUGGAUAUUCUGCAGUUCGAAUUGGUUUCUAUAUCUCAUGUCUGGUUUUGGUGGGAGUUUUCUUUCAACUCUUUUUAUUCAGUAUGGUAUUUCUGUUGGUGCUUCUGGUGCACUUUUUGGACAAUGUAUGUAAAUAAGGUAAAUAAAAUUCUGUAUACUUAAUGAUGCACCUCUUUAUAGUAUGUGCCCGACCCUUUGAUCUUACAGUUUCAGAUUUUGAUCCACAGUUAGCAACAUUGCUUACUCUCCUUUUCAUCAUCAUAAUAAACUUAGCAGUGGGAAUUCUACCACACGUGGACAACUUUGCUCGUAUUGGAGAAUUUUUCUUUGGAUUUCUUCUUGGAUUUUUGUUUUUGAUCCAUCCCCAGUUUAAAUGGCUUACCCAACGGAAUGCUCCCCCUGGACGUGUUACUACUCCAGUUAAAUCUAAACACAAGACGUAUCAAUAUGAGUAUUGUGGGUCCUCUCUUUGAUACUAUUGAUUGUUGGGUAAGCUCCUCCUCGAUCUCUGAUUUAACUAUUUGACUUCAUGAACCUAAUCGACUCCCUGCAUGAGAAUCUGGUAGCCACAGUUGACGUGUGCACAUUUUUUUUUAUCAAAUCAGAGAACUGGAUUUUGUGUAGAUAUGUAGAUAUCAUGUGUCCUGUAAUAUUUUCAUUGCGAAUAGGCUCUGUAUCUGCUUGUUUCUCAUCAUAAUGGUUUGGAGAAGGCAUUGUGUUAUCGCUAUUCUCUGUGUAAUACUAAUUUAUCACUUUGUUGAUAGCGGCUUCUACUUUGCUAUUUUGGAUUGCAUGUGUUGGCAAUACUGUAGACAUCGAAAUUUCGGUAAAUAAAUGUUGACCGAUAAAUCAAAGUGUCAACGCUCAUGUAUUACAUAAAUUUUACACGUAGCGUGUGACUCAACGAAAAUUGAAAUGAGUUGGAAAAGUCAUCAAAAACAGGACACGUGUCAACACCUGGCAGAAACAACUUAUUUCAUCUGGAAUAUUAUAUUCAAAAUUAGGCUAUAGAAAUUUCUAUAAAUAGAAGGCCAAUUCAUUCAUUUAAAGGGACCAAUUCAAAUUACACCUUGAAGCUCUGAAGCUCUGAAGCUCUGAAACUCCGAAGCUCUCAAGCAAAUCCCGAAGGAUCAAGAAAGCCCUUUUCGUUCUUCAUCAAAUCCUCCUUCAAGAUCAAGCCCCGACGGCCCUUGAAGAAAGUGUUCUUCGUUCAUCGUUCUUCCAAGAUCAAGCCCCGACGGCCCUUGGAUCAACAAUCCACCAAUUCAAGAUCACGCCCUAAAGGCCCUUGAAGAACUUCCACCAAUUCAAGAUCAAGCCCCGACGGCCCUUGAAGAAGGCACCAUCAUUCAUCAUCUGUUCAUCCGAGAUCAAGCCCCAACGGCCAUUUGGACCAACAACGUCGACAAAUCCACACAUUCCAACCGUUCUUCAAGAUUAAGCCCAAAAGUCCUUGAAGAGCCGUUCAUCACUGUUCUUCAAGAAUAAGCCCAAAAGCCCUUGAAGAUCCGUUCAUCACUGUUCUUCAAGAUCAAGCCCAAAAGCCCUUGGAGAUCCGUUCGUCACUGUUCUUCAAAGAUCAAGCCCAAAAGCCCCUUUGAAGAUCCGCUCAAAUCCACCUUCAAGAUCAAGUCCACGGCCCCUUGAAGAAACUUCCAACAGUUCAUCCAAGAUCAAGCUUUGACGGCCCUUAGAUCAACGAAACAUCCACAAAUACACACCUUACGAAGAUCGAAUCAGAGGAUCAAAAUUUAAGAGAGAUUGUAACCCAAAACCAUCAAAAAUACAAAUAUUUGUUUGUGCACGUUGUUCUUAUCUCUUUCGUUUCAGGAAUUUUCCGUGUUCACAAAUACUUUGUUGUUUUGUUAUUGGAAAUAAAGGUUCAUUUUCCUUGUAUUGUGUAGUAUCAAUAUAUGCAGGCAUUUUCUGAAAGAAGUCAUGUUUUUUACAAGUAUACUCUUGGCUUGGUUACUCUUUUUCGAGGGGUCAAUCUAAACAACCAUUGUUCCUGGUGUCAUUAUUUGAGUUGUGUCCCUACAUCAAAAUGGAAUUGCAAGUCAAAAUAUUUAUUGUCUGAUAAUAUGUUGUACUUUUCUGCGCAUAUUAGCUUCUACCUUAAUAUUUGAUAGACAGAAGUGCUUGCUUAUUAAAAUGAUCAUGGUUGCAUUCAGUCGUUCUAGUUUGGCAUGCCGUUUAGUCUAAUGCCUUAAAGAAAAGUAAUUUAAGAAAUGACUCGCGAAAUUCUGUGUCAGGAAAUUGUUUUUGCAACGUACUUUGUUAGUACUAUAAAUUGGUUUUGUACUGACAUAUUGUUCUUUAUAUGCAUAUAUGCACCAAUCUUGCAGUCGAGCCAGAUAGGGAAUCAGCUGAACUUAACGUGCGUAAGCAAUGGUAGAAAUGGGACAUAUUCAUUGUCGGAUCCCAGCCCCUCCCGGACUCAGCAGCUAUAUGCUGCUCUUUGUAGUUGACCAUACAUGUACAGAUUUCAGAGUUGAUAGAAUGUUGAUUGAUAUGCUUCAUUCUUGUAGUAAGUAUUCUUUCUCUUUCUUUUGUUUUUUGUUGGGUAAAAUAGUCAUUUGUAUUCACCAAGCAAUGGUUCUCAUUGUCAUUAUUCUUUUCAUUCUUUUACUGCCCUUGUACCUCUUUUCUACUAUUCAUAACAGUUGAAACCCAUACCGAUAAUUAUGAAAUUUACUUGCCAUGUAAAACUACUCAAACAUGCAAUUUACCCAUACCUAAGUUUGUUGAAUGUGGGAUGUUAUGGAUCCUCUCAAUCGGACCUUUGUUCUGUACCUUCUCGUCUCUCUCUCAUUCUGCAAUGUUGCAAGAUGAUCGGACAUAUGUAUACUUUGUAGUUCAUCCUCUAGAGACCAGCUUUGAAAAAAAAAUCAACUAAAUAAAAAAUCAUUUAACCAUUUAAUUAACAUUGUCAAAAUUUCAGUAUUUAAUUGAAAAACAUAGUUCAUUUAUUUAUUGGAUAACAAUUAGAUGACAAAACAAGUAUGAAUUACUUUGGUUUUUGGCGAAGUUGGACUUUAAAGUGAGGCAUUAAUAACUGGAUAUGUCUACAGUGGUGGAAUUCUCUUGCUAGAGACUUGAGCCCCCAUGAAGAAUAAAAAUUAAGAAAGCUUGAUCUCACUAGUAACUGAUACAAUUUUUAGAAAGGUUGCAUCCACAACAGGCUUUCUUGCAAUGGUACUUUAGGGGAACUAUGAGAAAAUCAGCAAUCUCACAAUCCAGCCCCUCAAAAAACAUAGAGACUUCAAAAUUUCCUUUCAUAGCCAGGGUCGCCUAGCAAGGUUACUUUCAUAUUAAAUGACACCAGCGUGACGUUUGAUGUGACCAAAAUAUAGGAUUCCUUGUAUUUGUUUUUUCAUUUUGAAUGGUUGCCAAAUGUUUCGAGUCAGCUUCUGGAAUCAAGGUGCAUUAAUGGUCUUUGUCCUCGGCGUACCGAAAGUGCCGGACAAUAGGUGGUUGCCAAAUGUUUCCAGUCAGCUUCUGGAAUCAAGGUGCUUUAAUGGUCUUCGUCCUUGGCGUACCGAAAGUGCCAGACAAUAGGUGGUUGCCAAAUGUUUCCAGUUAGCUUUUGGAAUCAAGGUGCUUUAAUGGUCUUGCUCCUUGGCGUUCACCGAAAGUGCCAAACAACAGUUCCCAGUAGUGGAAGUAAGCUAGUGAAGUCGUCUAAAAAAACAAGCCAAAGUUGUUGUCAUUUACUUGGACUUCUUCCUUUUCAUAUUUGAAUUUCAAGAACCAGAAAUUGUGGUGUAAGUUCCUCCUAUGAUCCUAUCCUUCUAUAAAUUUCCUUGUCAAGCAACAAUGGAACUCACCAAAUUCACAACUCAACAGCCAUCUCUCUAUUUCUUUCUGCUUCUCUUUCUAAUUAUAUAGUUAACCAGAUCAGGAAUGGGGGUUUUGGUUUUGAAAUUGAUCUUAAUAUACUAGCUUAUCAGUGCAGUGUUCGUUUGCUGUUGGAGCUCCCUGCAAUCGGGACUCGGAAGGAAUGCGACGGAUAGGUUGGCGCUGCUAGCCAUCAAAGCUCAAAUAAAGCAAGAUCUCCAUAAUUACAAUGUGAUGAGCUCCUGGAACGAAUCCAUGCACUUUUGCAUGUGGCAUGGUGUGACGUGCAGUCGACGACAUCGCCAAAGGGUCACUAACCUGGACCUGCAAUCUCAAAAUCUGGUAGGAAAACUAUCCCCAAACAUUGGAAAUCUAAGCUUGCUAAGGGAGCUGUGGCUGCAAAACAACAGCUUCAGUCAUGAAAUUCCUCCACAAAUUGGGAAUUUGCGUAGAUUGCAGGUAUUACGAUUAGACAUGAACUCAUUUAGUGGCAGUAUUCCACACAAUAUAUCAUAUUGCUUCAACCUUAUCUUUAUGAAUUUCACUUACAACAAGUUGGUGGGUAAAAUUCCUUCAAAAAUUGGAUUGUUGUCGAAGCUGCAACAUUUUGCAUUAGAAUAUAAUAAUGUAACGGGACAGGUCCCUCCUUCCUUAGGGAACCUUUCGUCUCUCCGGGGACUAAGUCUUCUUAGUAAUAACUUGAUGGGAAACAUCCCCAGUUCUCUCGGCCAAUUGAAAAAAUUAACCUUCUUGGGAUUGGGGUUCAAUCAGUUGUCUGGUAGCAUUCCUUCCUCCAUUUAUAACCUCUCUUCUCUUGUUACAUUUUCCAUAGUAAUCAACCAAAUUGAAGGGAGUAUUCCAUCAGAUAUUGACAAAAGUUUUCCUAAUCUCGAAAAAUUCAACGUCGGCUCUAACCAACUUACUGGGUCCAUUCCUCCCUCAAUAUUCAAUGUCACAAGUGUUGGGAGAUUUGACGUUGGGAGUAACAACCUAAUCGGACAGGUACCGAGUCUCCAAAAGCUUCACAACCUCCUUUUUUUCAACAUUCAAUUUAAUAAUAUUGGAAGCGGUAAAGAUGGUGACUUAAGUUUUCUCUCGGACUUGACCAAUGCCACCCAGUUACGAGUGCUGCUUAUUGACAACAACAAUUUUGGAGGGACAUUGCCCAUGUCAAUAUCCAAUCUCUCAAACAAACUGGAAAUGUUUUGGGUUGGCGAUGACCAAAUAUAUGGAAGUAUCCCAUCUGGGAUAGGGAAUCUGGUGAGCUUGGAAUCGUUGCUUUUGGAGAAUAGUAGCUUCACAGGUAACAUCCCCUUUGACAUGGGUAAGCUUUCAAACCUUGGAGAAUUAGAUAUUUCCAUGAACAAAUUAUCAGGAAAUAUUCCGUCUUCCUUAAGAAAUUUAACCAAGUUAUUCCAUCUUGCGUUGCAUAGAAAUCAUCUUGAGGGCAGAUUCCUUGAAGCCUAGGGGAAUGCCAGGGGUUGCAGUUGUUGAAUCUUUCUUAUAACCUUCUAAAUGGCACAAUACCCAAACAAGUUUUUAGACUCUCCUCCUUAUCGAUUUCUUUGGACUUGUCUAAUAACCUCUUUACAGGUUCCCUUCCCCCGGAGGUUGGGAAUUUACAAAGUCUAAGUGAACUGGACAUUUCUGAUAACAUGUUAUCUGGAGAACUCCCCAGUAGCCUUGGUGGUUGUGAAAGUUUAGAAGUCCUGCAUUUGCAAGGAAACUUCUUCAACGGGUCCAUUCCUUUGUCUAUGAGUUCAGUGAGAGGGAUUCAAGAUCUAGAUCUUUCUCGCAAUAAUUUUUCAGGUGAAAUUCCACAUUUUUUAGAAGGCUUUAGAAUCCUAAAUAAUCUGAACUUAUCAUUCAAUCAAUUUUGGGGAGAGGUACCAACUGGAGGUGUUUUCAAAAAUGCAAAUGCUAUUUCAGUUGUUGGCAACACUAAUUUGUGCAGCCCUGUUGCUAAUUUAAAGCUUCCCAAGUGCAAGUCUAAAGAGACCAACAAACGAAGAUUGUCUCUUAGCUUGAAACUAAUACUCCCUUUACUAUUUGGACUUGCUCUUCUUGGAAUAGCCAUGGUGUUCUCCUAUUUCUUUCUUUGUUCGUCAAGGAAGAAAAGGAAAGAAAUUUCAUUGAGCACUUUGGGGAACACUAUUUUGCAAGUUUCAUAUGCUACUCUACUCAAAGCUACUAACGCGUUCUCAGAGGCUAAUUUAAUUGGUGUUGGUAGUUUUGGGUCUGUGUACAAGGGAGUUCUUGAUGAUGAUGAUAAAGCUCAACUAGUUGCCGUGAAGGUGUUUAACUUGUUACGCCUUGGAGCUUCGAGGAGUUUCAUAGCUGAAUGUGAAGCUUUGAAAAAUAUUAGGCAUCGAAAUCUCGUCAAGAUUAUAACUGUGUGUUCAAGUGUUGAUUUUCAUGGUAAUGAUUUCAAGGCUCUAGUUUAUGAGUUCAUGGACAACGGGAGCUUAGAGGAGUGGCUGCAUCCACCUACUGGAACUGAAGAGUUAAGAGAUCAUGUACCCAAGAAUUUAAGUCUUUUUCAGAGGCUAGAAAUUGCCAUUGGUGUUGCUUGCGCACUGGAUUAUCUUCAUAAUCAUUGUGAAACACCGAUAGUUCAUUGUGAUCUCAAGCCAAGCAAUGUUCUCUUGGACAACGAAUUGACCGGCCAUGUUUCUGACUUUGGAUUAGCAAGGUUUCUCUCACAAGUAACGAGUAAUGUUUCAGCAAUUCAGAGUCAAACAAGUUCCGUUGGAAUAAGGGGAACAAUUGGUUAUGUAGCUCCAGGUAUAUAUAUGUUAGAUAUAUACUUCAUUAUGUUUCCUUUUUUAUUUUGGAGUAUUUAAUUUACAAAAUUAAAAAAUGUGAUGUUUGAAUUGCAGAGUAUGGCAUGGGGAGUGAGGUGUCAACGAAUGGUGAUGUUUACAGCUUUGGCAUUCUCUUGUUGGAGAUGUUUACAGGGAAAAGACCCACUGACAACAUGUUUGGUGAUAGCUUGGACCUUCAUAAUUUGUCAAGAUGGCUCUCCCCAUGCAAGUUACUGAGAUUGCAGACGCACCACUUCUUCAAGGACGCACGAACGAGAAUCUCAAUCAAUGCACUACAAGAAUUCAUAGAGUUGAGGUGUGCUUGAGUUCAAUAUUUAGAAUUGGAAUUGCUUGUUCUGCUGAAUCCGCAACAGAUCGACUAAAGAAUAUCAAUGAUGCUGCAUCUAAACUUCAUUCCAUUAGGAAUACUUUUCUUGGAUAGAAACUAUUUCUUAUGUGCUUUUGUGAUUGAGAAAUUUCGUGUACUGCCUGUGAAGUCUAGCUUUUAUGUUACCACAGUAGAUGUGAAAGUUUGCAACGUAAAUAAUCACCAAUGAGGUUCAUUGUGUGAAGAGUGUUUUACUACUUCUUGUACUUGGUAUUUUUGUGUAAUAUUCACAUCUAUUAAAGUCUAGUACGUGCCACGAAAUUCUUGAAUAUACACAUUGACAGAUUCCAAAUUUUCGAAAGAUUCAUCACCUCAAGAUCCUCAACUUAUAUUCAACAAAAUCAUCUUGGAAGCGGUAAAGAUGGUGAUUUGAGUUUCCUAUCAGACAUGACCACUAUCAAUGUAAGGUGCUUUCGAAAAUCAAAGUGCUAUUUCAAUUGUUAACAACACUAGAUUCUGCAAGGGAAUUUCUAAUCUCAAGCUGCCUAAUUGCUGCUAGAGUUUGAAUAGAAAAUGUGGGGUAUUGUUGGAACUUUUGUGAAUAUGUGGGAUUGGGAGUCCCGCAUCGCCCAUUUCCCAUCUUAAAGUUAUCUUUAUAAGUGUGUCCUCACACUUAUGGUUUGAAAACAAUUGGGCCUAGGCCAUGGACCUUGGGCCUUAGGCUUGGAAGGUUUAGGUGUAUAUUAAAUGUCAAAGAUGGGCCUUGGGCCAUGGUGCUCGGAUGGACGAAAACACAAGUUACGUUUUUUAUUUUUGGGAUUUAGUUUUUUUUCUGAAAGGAUAAAACUGAUUGAACAGUUAUGUCAGUUUUAUAACUGAUAAGAAUGAACAGUUAUGUCUGUUCAAUUUAUGCCAUUAUAUAUAUGGCAAUAAGAUCAGAAACUUAACAUAGAAUUUCCAACGCUUCCUUUUCAUCUUACACAGAGAAACGCACAACCAAUUCGCCAAGAAUCCAAGUUCGAGUGCAAGAACUUGGAUUAGAUAGUUGUAUCCUGCAAGAUAGAUGUCCGUUGAACUAUUGCAUGGGUGUAGGGGUGAAUUUCUGUCUUAGGUGAUUGCAUUUGCAAGCCUUUAUCUUCAAGAACAAGUCAAUGAUUUGUGAUUUUAUAUGCAAUUUACUUAAGUGUUUGUAUUUUGAUAUUUAUAGUAUUUGUUGUUGAAUUUAGCAUUCGAAAUAAACUGUGCAAAAUAUAUAUUGUGUCAGUGACAUUUGAUUGGUUUCCAACAUUCUAAGACAGAAAUUUUCAUUAUGAAACCAUGGAUCAAUCAAAUGUUGGUGUCGUCAAGCAACACGUUGAGAAACCUGAGAAAUUCAAGGUUGUUGAUUUCAAACGUUGACAACAUAAAAUGUUGUUCUAUUUGACAACUCUGAACUUGCGUCAUGUGAUUACUUCUGAGGCCCCUUGGAGAAUUAGAUAUUUCCAUGAACAAAUUAUCAGGAAAUAUUCCGUCUUCCUUAAGAAAUUUAACCAAGUUAUUCCAUCUUGCGUUGCAUAGAAAUCAUCUUGAGGGCAGCAUUCCUUCAAGCCUAGGGGAAUGCCAGGGGUUGCAGUUGUUGAAUCUUUCUUAUAACCUUCUAAAUGGAACAAUACCCAAACAAGUUUUUAGACUCUCCUCCUUAUCGAUUUCUUUGGACUUGUCUAAUAACCUCUUCACAGGUUCCCUUCCCCCGGAGGUUGGGAAUUUACAAAGUCUAAGUGAACUGGACAUUUCUGAUAACAUGUUAUCUGGAGAACUCCCCAGUAGCCUUGGUGGUUGUGAGAGUUUAGAAGUCCUGCACUUGCAAGGAAACUUCUUCAACGGGUCCAUUCCUUUGUCUAUGAGUUCAGUGAGAGGGAUUCAAGAUCUAGAUCUUUCUCGCAAUAAUUUUUCAGGUGAAAUUCCACAUUUUUUAGAAGGCUUUAGAAUCCUAAAUAAUCUGAACUUAUCAUUCAAUCAAUUUUGGGGAGAGGUACCAACUGGAGGUGUUUUCAAAAAUGCGAAUGCUAUUUCAGUUGUUGGCAACACUAAUCUGUGCAGCCCUGUUGCUAAUUUAAAGCUUCCCAAAUGCAAAUCUAAAGAGACCAAGAAACGAAAAUUGUCUCGUAGCUUGAAACUAAUACUCCCUUUAGUAUUUGGACUUACUCUUCUAGGAAUAGCCAUGGUGUUCUCCUAUUUCUUUCUUUGUUCGCCAAUGAAGAAAAGGAAAGAAAUUUCGUUGAGCACUUUGGGGAACAAUAUUCUGCAAGUGUCAUAUGCUACUCUACUCAAAGCUACUGACAGGUUCUCAGAGGCUAAUUUAAUUGGUGCUGGUAGUUUUGGGUAUGUGUACAAAGGAGUUCUUGAUGAGGAUGAUAAAGCUCAACUUGUUGCCGUGAAGGUGUUUAACUUGUUACGCCGUGGAGCUUCGAAGAGUUUCAUAGCCGAAUGUGAAGCUUUGAGAAAUAUUAGGCACCGAAAUCUCGUCAAGAUUAUAACCGUGUGUUCAAGUGUUGAUUUUCAUGGUAAUGAUUUCAAGGCUCUAGUUUUUGAGUACAUGGACAACGGGAGCUUAGAGGAGUGGCUGCAUCCACCUACUGGAACUGAAGACUUAAGAGAUCAUGUACCCAAGAAGUUCAGUCUUCUUCAGAGGCUAGAAAUUUCCAUUGGUGUUGCUUGUGCACUAGAUUAUCUUCAUAAUCAUUGUGAAACGCCAAUAGGUCAUUGUGAUCUCAAGCCAAGAAACGUUCUCUUGGACAACGAAUUGAUUGGCCAUGUUUCUGACUUUAGAUUAACAAGGUUUCUUUCACAAGUAAAGAGUAAUGUUUCAACAAUUCAAAGUCAGACAAGUUCCGUUGGAAUAAGAGGAACGGUUGGUUAUGUAGCUCCAGGUAUAUAUAUGUUAGAUAUACACUUCAUUAGAUUUCCUUUUUUAUUUUUGAGUAUUUAAUUUACAAAAUUCAAACUGAACUAUUUAUACACAAAUGUGAUGUUUGAAUUGUAGAGUAUGGCAUGGGAAGUGAGGUGUCAACGAAUGGUGAUGUCUACAGCUUUGGCAUUCUCUUGUUGGAGAUGUUUACAAGGAAAAGACCCACUGACAACAUGUUUGAUGAUAGCUUGAACCUUCAUAAUUUUGUCAAGAUGGCUAUCCCUUAGCGAGUUAGUAAGAUUGCAGAUGCACCACUUCUUCAAGGAUGCACGAACGAGAAUCCCAAUCAAUGUAGUGCGAGAAUUCAUAAAGUUGAGGUGUGCUUGAGUUCAAUAUUUAGAAUUGGAAUUGCUUGUUCUGCUGAAUCCACAACAGAUCGACUAAAGAAUAUCAAUGAUGCUGCAUCUGAACUUCAUUCCAUUAGGAAUACUUUUCUUGGAUAGAAACUUUUUUUUAUGUGCGUUUGUGAUAGAGAAAUUUCAUGUACUGCCUGUGAAGUCUAGCUUUUAUGUUACCACAGUAGAUGUGGAAGUUUGCAAUGUAAAUAAUCACCAAUGAGGUUCAUUGUGUGAAGAGUGUAUUACUACUUCUUGUACUUGGUAUUUUUGUGUAAUAUUCACAUUGAUGAAAGUCUAGUUCGUGCCACGAAAUUGUUGAAUAUUCACAUUGACAGAUUCCAAAUUUUUUAAAGAUUCAUAAUCUCAAGACCCUCAAGAUUCAAUAAAAUCAUCUUGGAAGCUGUAAAGAUGGUGAUUUGAGUUUCCUAUUAGACUUGACCACUAUCAGUGUAAGGUGUUUUCGAAAAUCAAAGUGCUAUUUCAAUUGUUGACAACACUAGAUUCUGCAAGGGAAUUCCUAAUCUCAAGCUGCCCAGCUGCAAUCUAAAGAGCUCCAAGAAUAGAAGAUUAGCUUAUAGCUUGAAAUUAAUAAUCCCUUUUGUAUUCAUACUUGCUCUACUUUGCAAGUGUCAUAGGCUACUUUCUCAAACGCCACUGAUUGGUUUUCUUCAGCUAAUUUGACAGUUUUGAGUUUGUAUACUGACAAUAGAGCUCGGCUUGUACUUGUAGAUAUGAAGGUGUUUAACAAUAUCAAGCAUCAAAGAGUUUCAUAGCCGAAUGUGAGGCUUUGAGAAAUAUCAAGCAUCAAAAUCUCGUCAAGGUCAUAUCUGCAUGUUUUCUCGAUGAUUAUUUCUAGGCUCUAGUUUAUGAGUUGAUGCACCAAAGGAGCUUAGAGGAGUGGUUGCAUCGCCUCCUGUAAUUGAAGAGGUAAGAGAUCAAUACAUCCAACAAUUUAAAAUCUUCUUCAAGGGCUAGAUAUUGUUAUUGGUGUUGCCAUUAUGCACUGGAUUAUUUUCAUAACCAGAGUGAAACACGGAUAGUUCAUUGUGAUCUAAAGCCAAGCAAUGUUCUUCAAAACACCAAGUUGACUGGACAUGUUUAUUGAAAGUAGACUAAUCUCAUACUGUUAAUUAUAUGAACUCCUCCAUAGAGGUGAAGGUAAUUGGGUUCAAGUUGGUUGGUAUGGUUAAUAGGGUUUGCAAAUGACCAUUUUUUAAAGAAUUUUAACCCCGACUUUAAAGCCCAUGGGCUAUGACAAAUCAAGGUUUUCUAGCAUUGUUGCUAUCAAUAUUCUCUCAUGUGCAUUCUGAAUUCCAAUCCAAUGGUUUUAGCAAUCUUUCGACUAAUCUUGACAAUGAAAGAGUUUUUUUUUUUUUUGUUCGAACAAAUGAUAUUAUCUAUACUAAGAGGAAGGGGAUAGGUUUAGCUUCAUAAUGGACUAACAAUAAUGUGGUUCAAAUUCGUCUUUGGCAAGAAUCCAACUCAAGACUUCUCACUUACAAGUGAAAAGAAUAGUACUAAGUGACAUGAAAGGGUUUCUAUUAAACCCACAAAAAUGAAAACUCUCAGCAGUUUAUUAAUGGAUUUGAAUUUAGAUUUAUUACAAUUGAUAAGAGAUUUUUUUUUUCAGCAAUCAAUAGGAUACUAACAAAUUUGUUUUUAGUACAAAGAUAUGUCACGAUAAUGUGACUUAUAGCUAUGUCAUUGGCCUUUUAACUUAUUGUCCUAUCUUUGACGCACUCCAAUUAAUGUCGUCCUCUAAUUGUUAGUAUUUAAUGAAUCUCAUCCUAAAUUGUUACCCAAAAUAUUAAUUAUCAAAGCAAAUAAACUUGAUUGAGUUAUAAAUUUAUCAUGAUCCAGUUGGCAUGGUUCGGAGAAAAAUCAAUUUUGUUCAUAAUUUUCAUGUCUUCCUAGUGAACAUGGGGCUAUAAGUGAAGUUCCAAAGGAUACGGUGGUGUAAUUUGCCCCAUGAAUUGUCUCCUCCAAUUUGCAUGCAUACGGUAGGUGACUGACUCCCAAAUAAUUCUCGUUACCAAGCAAAUUAAAUAUCAUUAAUUAAGAGCUUAAAACUCUUUAAUUAUUACCUCUCUAUUUUGCUUUUGCAAUUAGGAUAUUUUCCCCUUUUGCGUAAAAUAUUAUAAGAAUAUUUUUGUUCUCCACACUCAAAUGAUGGUGAUACUCACUACUUUAUUUAUCACCGUUAUGAGUUUAAUACCCUGGAUAAACACAAAUCUCAAAAUUUAAACCCAUACAACGGUAAUAAAUAAGGUUAUAAGCAUUACCACCACUUGAGGGUGAUGACUAAAAAUCACCCCAAUAAUAUAAGAGGUAGUUAAGUUAGUUGGUGUGGUAGUUGGUCUUUAGCAAGCUUCUUAUAGAAAAGAAGAAUCUGGGUACUUUGGCCGUUUUGCAAAAGAAAAAGAAAGAAAGGGGCAUUUGAUGUUGCAACAGGCAUAGUGAUGGUGCUAGCCGCCUGCUUCUUGGUGUUUUUUUUAAAAGAAAAUAUAAAAAAAUAAGAAAAGGCUAAUUUGCACCCUUCGGAUAUUAUGAUGCCAAUUUGCUUGGUUGAGAAACUUGUGGCUUUUCUAAUGGAGAUUACGUAAAGGUGCAAACAAUUUGUUAAUGGUUGUGCAAAAUAGGUUUCAUCCUAGAAAAUAUGUUCGCGCUCCGCUGCGGGUUUUGAAAUCAUAACCCACAAUUUAACAUGCCCAUUUUUAAAUUAUUCAGAAAUCAAUCAGAGAAAACUUCAAGUAGAAGAAAAAUGAGUUCUCAAUCAGAGGAAACUUCAAUUUCAUGCAAGUUUUUUUGUUCUAAUUUCAGGGCUUAACAAUGCAAGAUUGGAAUUUGCCUUUGGUUCAAAGAAGUAAGAUAAACUGAUAAGCAACAACAACAACAACAACAAAGCCUUUUCCCACUAAGUGGGGUCGGCUAUAUGAAUCUUAGAACGCCAUUGCGCUCGGUUUUGUGUCAUGUCCUCCGUUAGAUCCAAGUACUCUAAGUCUUUUCUUAGAGUCUCUUCCAAAGUUUUCUUAGGUCUUCCUCUACCCCUUCGGCCCUGAACCUCUGUCCCGUAGUCACAUCUUCGAACCGGAGCGUCAUUCGGCCUUCUUUGCACAUGUCCAAAUCACCGGAGCCGAUUUUCUCUCAUCUUUCCUACAAUUUCGGCUACUCCUACUUUACCUCGGAUAUCCUCAUUCCCAAUCUUAUCCUUUCUCGUGUGCCCACACAUCCCACGAAGCAUCCUCAUCUCCGCUACACCCAUUUUGUGUACGUGUUGAUGCUUCACCGCCCAACAUUCUGUGCCAUACAACAUCGCUGGCCUUAUUGCCGUCCUAUAAAAUUUUCCCUUGAGCUUCAGUGGCCUACGACGGUCACACAACACGUCGGAUGCAUUCUUACACUUCAUGCAUCCAGCUCGUAUUCUAUGGUUGAGAUCUCCAUCUAAUUCUCCGUUCUCUUGCAAGAUAGAUCCUAGGUAGCGAAAACGGUCGCUUUUUGUGAUCUUCGCUAGAUUGCUCCGGUCAUUAGUGUGGAUAAGUAUAUAAAUGGAUAGAGAUAGGAAAGCAAACACAAGAUGUACGUGGUUCACCCAGAUUGGCUACGUCCACGGAAUAGAAGAGUUCUCAUUAAUUGUGAAGGGUUUACACAAGUACAUAGGUUCAAGCUCUCCUUUAGUGAGUACAAGUGAAUGAUUUAGUACAAAUGACAUUAGGAAAUAUUGUGGGAGAAUGAUCUCGUAAUCACGAAACUUCUAAGUAUCGGAGUGUGGUGUCGUCUUCUUGACUUGCCUUAUCUGUCUCAUAGGUAGAUGUGGCAUCUUCUCUGGAAGUACUCUUCCUCCAUCCAGGGGUGGUAUCUUUAACUGGUGGAGAUGCACAAGGUAAUGUAUCAAUUUCACUUGAAGCUUACUUGUAGUUUCAGGCUUGGUCAAGCGCGAUACAAACCAUGUAGUAGGAGUCCCCCAAGUCGCCGAGCUAGGGGGUCUGCUGAAAGAGGUGACAGACAAGGUAAGCAAUCAGAGCUCCGACUGAUUGUUCACCUUCUCCCCAUCUUGCAGCAGCAUGAAGGAUAAAGAGAAGAAAAAUGAGAAGAGAUGAUAUGAGAUACUUUUGUUUUUGAAGAAGUAACUUUCCACAGGCUUAUUCUUGAACUGAGCUUGAGGGUUUUCUGGUUUCCUCCAGAGUAUAAGGCCGACUGAAGAAUUUGAGGGUCAAAACAAGUCCAUCAAAUCUAGAGUACGUUCCACCCUGCUGAUAUGGGAUACCUUUGCUUUUGACAGAGUAAUGGAUGUAUCGGCACGUGUGCUGUUACGCUUGUCUCCACAUGCUUCCUUGUAUCCUUCGCACUUGCCCUAUCUGUUCCUCAAACAGAUGCGGAAUCUUCCCUGGAAACAUAAGAUGUUGAAGAUGAGUACUCGACAGCAAUGCCAGGUAAGUAAUCAGGUAAGGGGUUCCAGGCAGUCAGUUCCUGACUGGAAGCUUGAUUCCAAGUGCUGACUGAUUGCUCUCUUUCUCCUUGUCUUGCAAUAAAAACAAGGCCAAAGGAAAAGACAGGGAAAAAGCAUGAUAUGGGAUACUCUUGCUUUUAACCCUGAUGAUAUGAGAUAUUCUUGCUCUAGUAUAGCUUGUUUGCAGAGGUAUUAUCGGGGGGAAAGAAAGCUGAAUAUUUCGAAAGGCUUCGUUGGGAGUGCCCUCUCAGAUAUGAUGAAGGGUUGAGCAUUUUUUCAGGUCUGCCUGUCCGUUGGGGAUGGAAGGUCGACAUAUAUAGGAGUCUCCCUAACAACAAGUAGUAAUGCUAUUCCUUUACCCUGCUUGGUCAUAGCACGGUAGUGGGAGCUGCCAGUUUCACAUGUUUUAACUCUGUCAGAGCACUUUGAAAAAGUGGUCUGUGGUAUCUGGCUCUCGAGAUUCGGAGAACGAUGCCUCUUCAAUUUUUGAGAAAGCAAUCAUGCUGGGGGUCUGGCUCUCGAGAUUCGGAGAGCAGUGUCUCUUCGAUUUUUGAGGAAGUAAUCAUGUUGGGAGUCUGGCUCUCGAGAUUCGGAGGGCGGUGCCUCUUCGAUUUUGGAGCAAGCAAUCUUGUUGGGAGUGUUGUCUCGAAUGUGAGUAAAGGUUGGGCAUGUUUGCUAGUUUACCUUGCCACGAAGCACAAAGGUUGACACACAGGGACUUUCCAAUUAUCCAGCAAUGGUACUGUUCCUUUACCCUCUCUUCGAUUUUGAGAAAGUAGUCAUGUUGGGAGUCUGGCUCUCGAGAUUCGGAGGAUGGUGCCUCUUCGAUUUUGGAGCAAGCAAUCUUGUUGGGAGUGUUUUCUCGAAUGUGAGUAAAGGUUGGGCAUGUUUGCUAGUCUACCUUGCCACGAAGCACAGAGGUUGACACACAGGGACUUUCCAAUUAUCCAGCAGUGGUACUGUUCCUUUACCCUUGUGGGUAAUAAUAUGGUAGCUAGACCUUCAAAAUUUAUGUGUCUAAACUUUGUUAGUGCUGUUUCUUUGCUAUUCUUUUACCUUUCUUGGUCAGAGCGAUGUAGUGGAAGCUGCAAGCUUCACGUGCUCAACUUUGGCAGAGAACUUUGGCAAAGUUAUCUGUGGUACCCAUGAGCUAUUGUUGCGUGUGGGAAGUAGGUGAUUGAACAGUAAGAUUCAUGUGCUUUCUACUUCACCAGAAGUCUUCGACAGAAUGCCCAUAAUUUCCGCAAAGCUGAGUGUGCGUGUGACAGGUGCUGACAAGACUAGAAAAGUAGGUGCCUCUUCGAUUUCUGAGAUCGGCCCUCGUGGUCUCUGAGUAGCCCAGCUUUUGAGAAAGCGAGCGCCUCUUCGAUUGAUUCGGAGAACGAUGCCUCAUCGAUUUUUGAGAAAGCAAUCAUGUUGGGGGUCUGGCUCUCGAAGAUUCGGGGAGCAGUGUUUCUUCGAUUUUUGAGAAAGUAAUCAUGUUGGGAGUCUGGCUCUCGAGAUUCGGAGGGCGGUGCUUCUUCGAUUUUGGAGCAAGCAGUCUUGUUGGGAGUUUUUUCUCGAAUGUGAGUAAAGGUUGGGCAUGUUUGCUAGUCUACCUUGCCACGAAGCACAGAGGUUGACACACAGGGACUUUCCAAUUAUCCAGCAAUGGUACUGUUCCUUUACCCUCUCUUCGAUUUUUAAGAAAGUAGUCAUGUUGGGAGUCUGGCUCUCGAGAUUCGGAGGACGGUGCCUCUUCGAUUUUGGAGCAACCAAUCUUAUUGGAAGUGUUUUCUCGAAUGGGAGUAAAGGUUGGGCAUGUUUGCUAGUCUACCUUGCCACAAAGCACAGAGGUUGACACACAGGGACUUUCCAAUUAUCCAGUAGUGGUACUGUUCCUUUACCCUUGUGGGUAAUAAUAUGGUAGCUAGACCUUCAAAAUUUAUGGGUUUAAACUUUGUUAGUGCUGUUUCUUUGCUAUUAUUUUACCCUUCUUGGUCAGAGCGAUGUAGUGGGAGCUGCAAGCUUCACGUGCUUAACUUUGGCAGAGAACUUUGGCAAAGUUUUCUGUGGUACCCAUGAGCUAUUGUUGCGUGUGGGAAAUGGGUGAUUGAACAGUAAGAUUCAUGUGUUUUCUACUUCCCUAGAAGUCUUCGACAGAAUGCCCAUAAUUUUCGCAAAGCUGAGUGUGCGUGUGACAGGUGCUGACAAGGCUGGAAAAGUAGGUGCCUCUUCGAUUUCUGAGAUCGGCCCUCGUGGUCUCUGGGGAGCCCAGCUUUUGAGAAAGCGAGCGCCUCUUCGAUUUCUGAGAUCAGCCUUCGUGGUCUUUGAGCAGCCCAACUUUUGAGAAAGCAAACACCUCUUCGAUUUCUGAUAUCAACCCUCGUGAUCUCUAAGCAACCCAGCUUUUGAGAAAGCAAACGCCUCUUCGAUUUCUGAGUAGGUGCCUUUUCGAUUUCUGAAGCUCCGUCGAGUGCAGAUUUUUAUAGGGGCUGGCAUUAAGUUCCAAAGCACACUUGAAUCUCCACCAGUAGAAGCUUCAUUCUUGCACUUCUAAGAUCUUGAUUUGUCCGACAACAUAUGGCGCCCAUCUUUUGUCGCCCCUACUGGUCCUCUUACCGUUGGGGAUUCCGUGAUGAAGAAUGAUAUGACCGCUGCGGUGGUGGCCAGGAACCUUCUCACUCCCAAAGAUAACAGACUACUUUCCAAACGGUCUGAUGAGUUAGCUGUUAAGGAUUCGCUGGCUCUCAGUGUUCAGUGUGCAGGUUCUGUGUCUAAUAUGGCCCAACGCCUAUUUGCUCGAACCCGCCAAGUUGAAUCAUUGGCGGCUGAAGUGAUGAGUCUCAAACAGGAGAUUAGAGGGCUCAAGCAUGAGAAUAAACAGUUGCACCGGCUCGCACAUGACUAUGCUACAAACAUGAAAAGGAAGCUUGACCAGAUGAAGGAAACUGAUGGUCAGGUUUUACUUGAUCAUCAGAGAUUUGUGGGUUUGUUCCAAAGGCAUUUAUUGCCUUCGUCUUCUGGGGCUGUACCGCGUAAUGAAGCUCCAAAUGAUCAACCUCUGAUGCCUCCUCCUUCUAGGGUUCUGUCCAGUACUGAGGCUCCAAAUGAUCCCCCUCCGGUGCCUUCUCUUUCUGGGGCUCUACCGACUGCUGAGACUUCUUCUAAGCAACCUUUGUGAAGGCUCCCUCUUGUGUGUUUAUUUUGACUCAUGUAUAUGUACAUAUUUGUAGCUUAUCGGGGAUAUCAAUAAAUAAGCUUUCCUUCAUUUCAACGUAUUGUGUUAAAUACACCAAAGCCUUCUUCGCUAAGUUCUUUGAAUUUUCUUUUGUUGAAGCUUGUAUGUUGAAGCUUUCUGAGUGGAGCAUGUAGGUUGGGGUACUGUUCCUUUAAUUUUCCGAGUGAGGAAAACUUCUCGGUUGGAGACUUGGAAAAUCCAAGUCACUGAGUGGGAUCGGCUAUAUGAAUCUUAGAACGCCAUUGUGCUCGAUCCUGUGUCAUGUCCUUCGUUAGAUCCAAGUACUCUAAGUCUUUUCUUAGAGUCUCUUCCAAGGUUUUCCUAGGUCUUCCUCUACCCCUUCGGCCCUGAACCUCUGUCCCAUAGUCGCAUCUUCUAAUCGGAGCGUCAGUAGGCCUUCUUUGCACAUGUCCAAACCACCGUAACCGAUUUUCUCUCAUCUUUCCUUCAAUUUCGGCUACUCCUACUUUACCCCGGAUAUCCUCAUUCCUAAUCUUAUCCUUUCUCAUGUGCCCACACAUCUAACGAAGCAUCCUCAUCUCCGCUACACCCAUUUUGUGUACGUGUUGAUGUUUCACCGCCCAACAUUCUGUGCCAUACAGCAUCGCCGGCCUUAUUGCCGUCCUAUAAAAUUUUUCCUUGAGCUUCAGUGGCAUACGGCGAUCACAUAACACGCCGGAUGCACUCUUCCACUUCAUCCAUCCAGCUUGUAUUCUAUGAUUGAGAUCUCCAUCUAAUUCUCCGUUCUUUUGCAAGAUAGAUCCUAGGUAACGAAAACGGUCGCUCUUUGGUAUUUCUUGAUCUCCGAUCCUCACCCCUAACUCGUUUUGGCCUCCAUUUGCACUGAACUUGCACUCCAUAUAUUCUGUCUUUGAUCGGCUUAGGCGAAGACCUUUAGAUUCCAACACUUCUCUCCAAAGGUUAAGAUUUGCAUUUACCCCUUCCUGAGUUUCAUCUAUCAACACUAUAUCGUCUGCGAAAAGUAUACACCAAGGAAUAUCAUCUUGAAUAUGUCCUGUUAACUCAUCCAUUACCAACGCAAAAAGGUAAGGACUUAAGGAUGAGCCUUGAUGUAAUCCUACAGUUAUGGGAAAGCUUUCGGUUUGUCCUUCAUGAGUUCUUACGGCAAUCUUUGCUCCUUCAUACAUAUCCUUUAUAGCUUGGAUAUAUGCUACUCGUACUCCUUUCUUCUCUAAAAUCCUCCAAAGAAUGUCUCUUGGGACCCUAUCAUACGUUUUUUCCAAAUCUAUAAAGACCAUGUGUAAAUCCUUUUUCCCAUCUCUAUAUCUUUCCAUCAAUCUUCGUAAGAGAUAGAUUGCCUCCAUGGUUGAGCGCCCUGGCAUGAACCCGAAUUGGUUGUCCGAAACCCGUGUCUCUUGCCUCAAUCUAUGCUCAAUGACUCUCUCCCAGAGCUUCAUUGUAUGACUCAUUAGCUUAAUACCCCUAUAGUUCAUGCAAUUUUGUACGUCGCCCUUAUUCUUGUAGAUAGGCACCAAAGUGCUCGUUCGCCACUCAUUUGGCAUCUUCUUCGUUUUCAAAAUCCUAUUGAAAAGGUCAGUGAGCCAUGUUAUACCUGUCUCUCCCAAAAGUUUCCACACUUCGAUUGGUAUAUCGUCUGGGCCUAUUGCUUUUUUAUGCUUCAUCUUCUUCAAAGCUACAACCAUUUCUUCCUUCCGGAUUCGACGAUAAAAAGAGUAGUUUCUACACUCUUCUGAGUUACUCAACUCCCCUAAAGAAGCACUCAUUUCAUGUCCUUCAUUGAAAAGAUUAUGAAAAUAACCUCUCCAUCUGUCUUUAACCGCGUUCUCUGUAGCAAGAACCUUUCCAUCCUCAUCCUUGAUGCACCUCACUUGGUUUAGGUCGUACCUAAAAUGGAAAAUAUUUGCUUUCCUAUAUGCUCUGAAGUUUGCAUAAGUGCUGGAAAUUUAUAAUAUAUAAAGAGACAAUCUCAAAAUAAAACACAUUUGAAGGAAAAGUAAUAAGAAAAGAAAAUACUAUUUUUUACCUAUGAUUCAUGUGGGGAGUAGAAUUUCCAGUCACAAUUGACAACCCAAGAGCUCUGUAAAUCAAAUAUACUGGAAAAGAUCAAUAAAAAGUGAAUUACAGUUUCUCAAAUCAGAAAGUAACAUUUAUUUGAAAAGAUUCAGACUCAUUUUGGAUAUAGAUAAACAAUGGCAUGUUAAAAACCAAAAUGAUAAGGCAUUCAACAUUCAACAUUCACGUAAAAAAAAAUGAUAUACAUGUUAUCCAUCAAUGUUUUGGUAACAAAUUCCCAAAUUGCUCUAUCUACCAAACAUUUGCAGAUCUAUAGUUACAGAUAUUCACUUUUAUGAUAUUCAACCCAAUACCCAAAUUAUUGGCAAAACGACAUUGUAUAUAGAUCUUUUGAGCACCCGAGCCAAUGACAAUAACAUUGAAGGCAACUACAAAAAUUGUACAUUAUAUAAAGAGGCAAUCUCAUAAUCAAAAUUGUCAAAAUCAAUAUUUUAUGGCUACAUUUUUUCAUCAGUCAAUCAAUACACACAGAACACGGAAUCACAUACUUGACAAAAAUUCAAACCCAUAAAUCCGAAAUUAGCAAUGUUAUUUCUUAACCCCCAAAAACAAUCCAAAUCUUAGUGGUUACAUUCAUUAGUCAAGCACUCAACCACUCAGGCACAUCGACCACAACUUGGGAAUGUUAUGCAAAUCUUAGGCAGCUUGAAUCAUUAAAUUUGAGUUGGAAGAAGCUCUGUUACCUGCUCUGCUAGUUGAGGAGGGUCACCCAAUUCGGCACUAUCAUCAGCAUCAGCACAUUUCACACACUCCCGCUUCCAAAACAUUUCACAAAAUCAAAAACCAAAUGAGAUUACGUAGCAGAAAAGAUUGAUGGAAAAAUAGAUUAAGAAAAGCAAGUAAUAUUAAAUAUAGAGGAUGAAUGAUGUUGUUCUGUCAACUAAAAGCAGCCAUGAGUAUUGGAUGGCUAGUGAAGUUAGGCUAGUCAACUUUCUUUAUGUAAAUUAGGCAAGUUAGGUAAGUUAGGCAAGUUAGGCAAAGUUAGGUUUUAUGUCUUCUUUCUUUCCCUAUAUAUAUGUUCAUCUUGUAAUGAGAAAAUCAUCAAAUAAAUCAAGGAAUUAACUCUAUUUUGGCAUGGUAUCAGAGCCAUUCUGAUCCAAAAAGAGUUUCUAUUCUGAUUCACUUACUGGCACUACUGCCAUCUACCCAAUAAGACCUGCUAUUCUGCAGGUCUUCUACUUUCAUACCAAUACCUGCUAUUCUGCAGGUCUUCUACUUUCAUACCAAUCCAAUCUUACUCUUUUUCAUUUGGCCAUAUCUGCCAACAUUAUUACCCAUAUCCAGCUUGUUAACCAUACAUAUUCCGCUGCAUCUUUUCCCAUAUUCUUCCCAUUUGCAGUAUCUCUGCAAAACCCAGAAAUCUUUCCACACAAAAAAUAUACUACCCAAUACCCCAUAAACCAUACCCGUUGGAAUCACCCAACAAAUUUACCCAUAACCUCUGAGGCAGUAAUAAUGGGUGACUCCAAGACCACUGUUUCAGCUACUGUUACUCAAAGUGAUAUGUCUCUACAUAUCACCCCAGACAAGUUGGAUGGGUCCAACUAUUCCUCAUGGUCCCAAAGUGUCCGCAUCUACAUCACUGGCAGAGGUAAAUGGUCUUAUGUCAGUGGAACAAAAAUGGCACCAGCAGAAGCUGAUGCAUUGUAUGCUAUAUGGGAGGAAGAGAAUGCCAUGGUUCAAUCUUGGUUACUCAACUCCAUGACCAGAGAUGUACGAGCCAUUUUUCUCCGACUCUCUACUGCAAAAGAUGUUUGGGAUGCUGUAACCCAAACUUACUCAAUUGAAAAAGAUGCAUCAAAGUUAUACGAACUUCGCCGUCAAGCACUGGCGACUCGCCAGAAUGGAGAACCUUUAUCUGCAUAUUAUGGUAAACUUCAGCAAACAUGGCAAGAAAUUGAUUUCUUGCGUCCUGGUAAAUUGAAGUGCGCUGAUGAUAUUGCUACCCGAGAGACAGAAAUUUCGGAAGAAAGAUUGUAUGAUUUUCUGGCUGGUCUUGAUCCUCAUUUAGAUCAUGUUCGCAGUCAAGUUUUGACUCAAACAACUCUGCCUUCUGUUCGUGCUACUUAUGCUCUUGUGAAUACUGAAGCAAGUAGGCAAACCAUUAUGUUGGUUGGCCCACAAGUGGAAGGAUCCGCCAUGGUAGCUGCUCCGUCUCGAUUUCCCCGUGGAAUCUCCAAUUCUCGAUUAGGUGGAUCCAAAACUACUGAUACAAGGAAGUGUACUUAUUGUGACAAGGAUAAGCAUACUAGAGACACUUGCUUCAAGCUGCAUGGAUAUCCUGAUUGGUGGGUUCAAAAGAAGGAAAAUAAAAAGAAAGGCAUUGGUGGAUCACAAGCACACUUGACACCAAAGCCUUCCAUACCUCGGGUGGAUCAAUCUGCUCACUUAGUUUCUCCUACUACUGCUUCUACUUCCUUAGUCGAUGCAGGUAACUUUGGUUUUGCCUUGAACACUACAAUUGUUCCUCCCAAUAAACCUUGGAUCAUUGAUUCAGGGGCUUCUGACCACAUGACCAAUGACUCUACAUGGUUUGUUUCUCACACUACUCCACCUUUAAAUACCGUUAAAGUUGCUAAUGGUAUUUCUACUCCAGUGCUUGGAGCAGGCUCCAUCUCAUUAACACCAGGCUUAUCUCUCUCAUCUGUUUUACAUGUUCCUAAUCUUUCUCACAAUUUGCUUUCCAUUGGUAAACUUACAAAUCAACUAAACUGUCUUGCCAUCUUUUCUCCUACCCAUUGUUGGUUUCAGGAUAUUCGAACGAAAGCAUUGAUUGGUCAUGGUAGAGAGAGGGGAGGUCUAUACUACUUGGACUUACCACCAGAUUGUGAGAAGACAAGUUACAGUUGUCAAGUGGAGGCCAAACAAUUUGAAGCUUCUGAAAAAAUUUGGUUAUGGCACAAAAGAUUGGGACACCCUUCCUUUCAGUACCUGCAAUAUCUAUUCCCUUCUUUAUUUUCUAAAGUCAAGGUUUCUGAUUUCCAUUGUGAAACUUGCAUUCUUUCUAAAAAUCAUCGUGUCUCAUUUCCUUUAAGUUCCCAUAAAAGUAAUGUUCCUUUCUCUCUUAUUCAUUCUGAUUUUUGGGGACCAUUUCAUAUUCCUACUUAUACUGGUGCUAAAUACUUUGUCUCUUUCAUUGAUGACUGCACUCGAGUUUCUUGGGUAUACUUACUCAAAAAUAAGAGUGAGGUUAUGACUAUUUUUCCAAUCUUUCAUCAAAUGAUUCAAACCCAAUUUCAUGCUAAAAUUCAAGUUGUUCGAUCUGACAAUGGGAAAGAAUAUUUGAAUUAUGGACUUGGAACAUUUUUUCAACAACACGGUAUCAUUCAUCAAACAUCUUGUCCACAUACUCCUCAACAGAACGGUAUAGCAGAACGUAAAAAUCGUCAUCUCUUGGAUGUGGCUCGCUCUUUAUGUUCUGCUAUGCACGUUCCUAAACGUUUUUGGGGUGAUGCCAUUCACACAGCUGUUUUUCUUAUCAAUCGCAUGCCAUCACGUGUUCUCCAAUUUCAAACACCUAUCCAGACCCUUUCCCAAUAUCAUUCUCUUCCUUCACUCCUUCAUAUUCCUCCAAAAGUGUUUGGUUGUGUCUGCUAUGUUCACGUCCCCAUGCAAAAUCGUGAUAAGUUGGAUCCUAGAGCCAUCAAAUGUGUGUUUAUUGGCUAUUCUGCUACUCAGAAAGGGUAUCGAUGUUACUAUCCUCCCACUGGGAAAUUUUUUGUCUCUAUGGAUGUUACCUUUCGGGAACACGAGGCUUUUUUUUCAAAAGAAGAUUUGGCCACUUCUCUUCAGGGGGAGAUAUGGAGUAAGGAGGAAGAGAAGUUGCCCCUUGGCAUUGGUGGUAUGCAUUUUUUAGAUGAACACUUGUCUGAUGUCGGUGAUUUGCCUAAUGAUGAGGCACAAGGUGAAAAAAUAUUGAAGGUGUAUGAGAGGACAAGAAAAAAGGGAGAUAAAGAAAAAAGGGAUGAUGAGAUAGACCACCCACAGACAGAUCCCCACAUUGACCAACUCUCUGACCAAUCAGCUGCUACUCGUACGAAUUAUCCUGAGGUAACCACUCAUUCUCCCUCUCUUCAGCCUACUAUAUUUGAUGAGUCCAAUCAUGAGAUUUCAUUAAGUGAUGAUCCAAAUGAUUCAAAUGAACCACAUCAUGAGUCUCAGGGUUCUCGUUAUCCUAUUCGAGAAAAUCGAGGGAUACCCCCUGUUCGUUAUGGUCAUUCUUCUACAAAGGGUAUUCAAUAUCCUAUAUCUAAUUUUGUUUCAUCUCAUCGCUUGUCAGACUCUUAUAUAUCUUUUGCAAACCAAUUGUCAUCAGUCUCAGUUCCUAAUAAGUUACAGGAUGCUCUUAAAGAUCCAAAAUGGAAAAAGGCUAUGAUUGAAGAGAUGGAAGCGCUUCGAAAAAACUCCACUUGGGAACUGAUUGCACUUCCUGAAGGCAAGAAACCUGUUGGGUGUAGAUGGGUGUUCACAGUAAAGCAUAAAGCUGAUGGUUCAGUGGAAAGGUACAAGGCUAGACUGGUAGCCAAAGGUUAUACUCAAACCUAUGGCAUUGAUUAUCAGGAGACAUUUGCUCCGGUAGCAAAGAUCAACACUAUCAGGGUUCUUAUGUCAUUGGUAGCAAAUCUAGGGUGGCCUCUACGACAGUUUGAUGUAAAAAAUGCAUUUUUACAUGGAGACUUGGAUGAAGAGGUAUACAUGGAUCUUCCUCCAGGAUUCACUACCACUUGCGAUAUUGGCAAAGUAUGCAGGUUAAGAAAGUCCUUGUAUGGAUUGAAACAAUCACCAAGGGCAUGGUUUGGCAGGUUCGCUCAAUCAAUGAGAAGUUAUGGGUUCAAGCAAACUCAAGCUGACCAUACCUUAUUUCUUAAGCAUGAUAGAGGUAAACUUACAGCCUUAAUUGUUUAUGUGGAUGAUAUGGUGGUUACAGGUAAUGAUGUCGAGGAAAUUCAAAAACUUCAAAAGUAUCUAGCCAAGGAAUUUGAAAUGAAGGACUUGGGUACUCUGAAAUAUUUCUUGGGUAUUGAAGUUGCAAGAUCAAAGCAUGGCAUUUUUCUUUCUCAAAAGAAAUAUGUUUUAGACUUAUUAACUGAGACUGGGAUGUUAGCUUGUAAACCUGCAGACACACCAAUUGAGCAAAACCAUAGAUUGGGAGACUAUCAUGAUCAAGUUCCGGCUAACAAGGAAAGGUACCAAAGAUUAGUUGGGAGGUUGAUUUAUUUGUCUCAUACACGACCUGACAUAGCCUAUGCUGUAAGUGUAGUGAGUCAAUUUAUGCACAGGCCAAGCGAAGCCCACAUAGAUGCUGUACAACGUAUUCUCAGGUAUUUGAAGUCUGCCCCUGGAAAAGGCUUGAUGUUUUCCAAUCAUGGACAUCAAGAAGUUGAAGGGUACACUGAUGCAGAUUGGGCUGGGUCAGUAACUGAUCGCAGAUCGACUUCUGGAUACUUUACAUUUGUUGGAGGAAAUCUAGUUACUUGGCGCAGUAAGAAGCAACAUGUAGUGGCUAGAUCCAGUGCCGAAGCUGAAUUUAGAGGUAUGGCACAUGGUGUGCAAGAAUUGUUAUGGCUCAGGACUUUGUUGAGAGAAUUAGGCUUUAAUUCUGCAAAGCCAUCAAAACUUUAUUGUGAUAACAAAGCUGCCAUUAGCAUUGCUCAUAAUCCAGUUCAACAUGAUCGUACUAAACAUGUUGAAGUGGAUAGGCACUUUAUUAAGGAAAGGUUGGUUGAUGGUACCAUUAACUUGCCUUAUGUGAAGAGUGAUGACCAGCUAGCAGAUAUUUUAACAAAGGCAGUGUCAAGUAGGAUUUUCCAUCUUUCACUCAGCAAGUUGGGCAUUCGAGAUAUUUACGCACCAACUUGAGGGGGAGUGUCAACUAAAAGCAGCCAUGAGUAUUGGAUGGCUAGUGAAGUUAGGCUAGUCAACUUUCUUUAUGUAAAUUAGGCAAGUUAGGUAAGUUAGGCAAGUUAGGCAAGUUAGGCAAAGUUAGGUUUUAUGUCUUCUUUCUUUCCCUAUAUAUAUGUUCAUCUUGUAAUGAGAAAAUCAUCAAAUAAAUCAAGGAAUUAACUCUAUUUUGGCAUGUUCAAUAAAUAAGACAGCUGUAUAUAAUAAAUAUCAAAUUAAUAGAGGCAUUAAUCCUAAGUUUGCUAUUCAUUGUUGUCAGUCUAAACUUGAUGACAUAUUGUAAAGUUCUCUUACAUACAGAUUAAUGAAAUAUUAAUUUAUUUCCAUGAGUUAUUUGAUUUUGCAAAUUCAAAAUAAUUGAAGAAUACUGAAAAUUACUAAACCCCAUCACAACAUGCCAUUAGCCAUUAGUGAAAAAUCAAAGACAAAAGUAAAUUACUAUCUUUCUAAGCAUUCAAAUUAAAAAACAAAUUAGCCAAAUUGGAAUGGUUAGAUCAAAUAAAGAUUUAAGUCAACCAAUUACACAAAUAAUUUAUGCAAAGUAGGCUCCUAAUAAAAUGUACCACUAUGGUGGUGGAGGAGGCCCAGGCUCAAACAGUGGAGGAAAGCAGAAUUUAAAUAUACCGCAGCAGCAUGGAAUCCACAGACUGCAUAAUCAAAACCAAAAUUUUAAAAUUUAAAUUUAAAUUUGAAAAAAAAAUGCAGUAGAAUUGUAUAAUGAGAAAUUCUACAAUGUGGAUAAAUUAAUCCCACUCAAUUUAAAUUUAAAGGAUGCAAUCAGUUGUAUUGGGCUGGCAACCGACUUAUGCUCAAAUCCCACUCAAUUUAUCAUACACCCUUCCAACUACAAUUCAAAGGAAGAAGUUCCAAGUCCAUGCAUAAUGUUUGCUCAAUUAAAAUAAAUUGCUUUUCAUGAUUAAAAUAGCCAACCAACCAACACUCAGUUGAUAAAAUUGAACAUUUGGAGUUACAUAUCCACAUAUUUAAGAUCGGACAAACCUUCUCAUGAAGACCACCCAAAGGUCCAUUAGUAAGUUGUGUGACCACACGAUUUACUGCACUUGAGUUUCCUCGUGCAGCUGCAAGAGCUAUGAGCUUACGUUGACCGUCAGCCACUUCUCCGCUUAAGGAUUGAGUCACCGAUGAUGCAGAAUUAAUAGCUUCCUGCAAAGAAGUGAAAUAAGAAACCUUAAUUUGUUAAAAUGUGAGUAAUUACAGUUUUCUCAAUUGAUUAAAACAUCAUCCGAUGGUGUUUUCUAGGCUUUUUUUUUUCCUUCCUUUUGCAGGCCAUUAUUUCAUUAGCCAUCUGCAGAAUUGCAAUUGAUAGAAUCGGUGUGCUUUGAAAUAAUCACAUAGAAUCGGUGUGCUUUGAAAUAAUCAUAACACUUCACAACACAAUGGCAGCAAUUUAUACAAAUUCUAACAACAAAUUGUCAAAAACAAUGAGAACAAUUACCAGAAAUUUCAGAUCUUUUGGGGGUUCAAAGUAAUUACCAGAGUGACGAAAGCUAAAAUCAACACUAGUCCAAUUUUUUUAAAAUAAGAACAGCUCCGAUCUGAGAAAUACAGUGCAAUUUCUGAAGAAAAAAAAGCGAGAAAACCAUAAAAUCCCUAAGAACCCUAAUUUAUAAACCCUAAACAAAUGCAAAAGGAGAGAGGAGACUCGAAUAAAGGGAAAAUCCAGAAAUUCAACGUACCAUAAUCGGAGCGAGGACGCUUUCCGACGGCCAAAUUCAUCGACACCGGAGGCGGUUGUCGACCGUCACUACUUGGUUUGUGUGCUUCAUGUCGAGAGAUAUGGGCAGCGGAGAGAGAGGAAAAGUAGAGGAAGAUGAAAGCUUGUGGGUUUUCCAGUAGACAAGGACAGAAACAGGAAGAGUGAGAGAUGAGAGGAAAGCACACGCGUCUAACCCAUCGCAAUCCGUUCUAAACAACAAAAUUACCCUCUCAACUUUUGAGAAUUACCCUCCCAACCCAGCCCCAUUUGGCUGGCAUUGUUGUAAAUAGCGUGAAAUUGAGUGGCAAAGAUUUGACUGUAGCUAAGCUACAGUCAAUUGCCCCUCAACUUUAGAAUAGAUAACUAGAAAUUAUUACCCGCACGUUGUUGCGGGAUUAAAAGUCAUAAAAAGCAUUAUGUUUGAAAGAUAUAAAAGUUGUACAAUUCACUGCUAUAUUUAAUUGAUACUCCACUUAAAAAUCGUAGAAGUUUUGGCUAUCUAUGUACAUAAAAUAUUAGAUCAAGACAUUCCACUUGGGUAGUUUAUGUAAUUUUCGGUCGACAACAGUACUUAUAUACAAAAGAUUAUGAAACUUUGGGCUAUUUACAUGCAAAAAUGUUAAGAAAUAUUGUGUCAUUUACAUUGAUAAAAUAUGACAAAAAUUAUUAAAUGGAACACCAAAAAUUCCCUCCAAUACUCUUGAUUGUCAAGAAAGUAGUUUAAACCAAUCCACAGACCGAAACUUCCAUGUGUAUUCAGUUUCUAUAAAUCAACCAACUACUCCAUUCCAAACUAUCCAACAAAUAUUUGAUAGCAAUACAACCAACCACCAACAAACAUUUUAUACCCAUCCAAAGACCAAAACCCUUUCAAAUUUCCAUGAGUAUUAAUGAUUUUCAACUAUAUUAUUUGAAGACGGAGACACACAGAGCUAGCAUAGGAACCAAAGAAGAUCUGCAAAAGCAAGUUAAGAGAUCAUCGUAUUACAGAAGCAAAUACAUAAUAAAAUUAAGAGAGUAUCAUAUUACAAAAGCAUAAUAAUGUUCGUUUCCUAAUGUAUUACAAAAACCUAUGAUUUCAUUCCACUUCACAUAAUUCACAGGGUUUAUUUUUAAAACCCACAAAAUUUACAGCUUAGUUCAAAGAAUUUGGUCUGAUUAUUAAUAUUCACACGGAAAAGAUAAGACUCAAAUAAACUGGGCAUUUGAAGUCACUUUCAUAUUUCUUAUAAUCACAUCAGUAUCAUAUAUAUAUACAAAUGUAGCAAAAGAGAAUAGCGAGUGCAAGCACAAAUCUUGUGAUAGUACACAAAAAAUGACUAAACCCGAAAUUCCCAAAACAUACACCAAUCUUAUACAAAAAUCGAUAUCUUAUCGAGAAGAAAUUAGAAUAUCAAAAUCCUAUAACAAAACAUGAGGCACAAUUAUCACAAUUAGAAAAAUAUUUCAAAUAAGAGCCAAACCAAAAAUGCACAUAAAGGUAAGUUGUGAACUCAAAUAAAACUCACUAUGAUGCUCAUUUCUAAUUAUGAAUGCUCUCGGGACUCCAAUCUUCUCAUCCCAGUCGAAAAUAAUGUCAAAUGCAGACUCCUCUGCUGUUUAGAGGGUGAUUGUGGUAACCCAAUUUUCCAAUUAUGUUGCCUUCCAAUUUUUUCUUGCAACCAAGUUUCUAAAAAAAAAAACAGAUUGAAUUCAAAAGGUAAUUGGACCAAGGCAUCAAAAGACAUAAGAAAAAGUAUAGAAAGAAUAAACCACAUAUAUCACGUAUUAUACUACUUUGUAUUCCAAAUACGUGUAAGAAUAUAUCCAUCAACGGCAUCAUAUUUAAGAGUUAGCUUCCAUCAAACCCUUCAUCUAAUCCCACCCUUACUUUCUUCUUUAACCCUUCAUAAUCCCACUUUUACUCUCUCAAACCCCUCAACUUACCCUGGACUUUGUUUCUGCAGCUUAGUUUCAUUUAAAAGCUUAUUUCUCAACAAAAUCAUCAUUAGUUUCAGUCUUAAAUAAUCAACGCAAGAGAACUUAGGAAAUUAUUCUCCACUCUCUUGGUGACCAAACAGAUGAUAAGUGGAGAAAAGGGGUUGUUAAGAAGAAGAGUACCUCAAAUGUUCAGAAAUUAAGAAAUUGAGAAGCUCAGUUGCAUCAUAUAUAUUUAAUAAAUCUCCAUCUUAAAUUAGCUUAAAUCUCCAUCUCAAAUGUUCAGUUGCAUCAGAAAUUAAGAAAUUGAGAAAAGGGGUUCUUCAUAACAUCAAUUUCCAUCUUAAAUUAGAAUAAUCUCUAACGUUAGAAAUAUGAGUACAAACGAAUGCUUAGUAAAAGAAUCGGCCAAUUCUAAUUAAGAAUUGUUAAUCGAACUGUAAAAGCAACAUAUAUAUUUUCCAACUUCUAACACAGAACCAACAGAGAGAAUCCAAUUGAAAACCAUUAUACAAUCAGAAGAAGAGAUAUUUCGAGAAGAAGAGUUCAUUACUGAAGGCAGGGGAGCAGCAGCAAAAACUGAAAAAAGCGAACUUUGGCCUCAAAUUUUAUCUAGAAUAAUUGAAAACAAUAACAAAAUUAACAGUUAAGGGUGAUAAUGUUAUUAAUAUGUGGGUUGUGUCUUUGAAACACCAAGAGGUCAAAAAAUCGAAACAAAGUGGAAUAUAAAUCUUAAAAAAAUUUAGACAAAAACAUCCUCCCCAGAUAAAAUUGAACGAAAAAUUCAUAAAUAUAAAAUUACAAAAAUUAAAUCAUUGGAAAAACAAAACGUACAUGACAACGAAUAAGGUACUUGCAGGCCUCUUAAGCUUGUUCGGAUCCUUCUCAACCUCCUUGCAUCUCCACGUUUACUCUUCAACCUAUGAAAAUCAGAAACCAACAGACACACAAAUAAAGAUGAGAUAUGUGCAUAAUAUCAAACAAAGCUUGGUGGUGAUCUUUUCAAAAGUCAAGUUCGGAGUACAACUUUAUAUUUUUUUUUCACUUACACUGAUGAUAAGUAUAAUCAAGACAGAGAAACUCAUGAACCAGCCUGUCAAAAUCAUUGACGGAGAAAUGAUAAAUAAACGGAUUCAGAAACCUAUUAAGCACUUGGACAAUGAACAUUCCUAAAAAAGGAAUUUCUUGGACAUGCAACCAACAGGUCUACAGAAAAUUAAACACAAAUACAAAAUCAACGGUUCAUAUCGAGAUCUCCGAUCAAAUCGCAAAAAGUGUAAAUACAUACAAAAUCCUUUGAGCCGCACGAUAUUGGAGAAAAUUCAUCUGGUGGUUCAUCAAUUGAAGGCGAUGAUGAUCCAAAAUCAAGAGCGGGGUAGAAGCCAGGUGGCCUUUCUCGAGGUUUAAUUGACAGCAAUUGGCUAGAGUCACCAACGACAUCUGCCCACCCGUAAUGCGGCUCAGCCCUUCAUCAAAAAGUGAAAGAUCAAAAUUACUUUUACAGUAAGAGCAAUACCAGAAAAUGUAAUCUAAAUUCUUUAUAUUUGGUUCCCCUGAAAUCCUUUUGACUGCUUCAACAUACUAUAUGCAGACAGAACCAGAACCAAGUCCAGACUCUUACUCGUAAUAGGUCUCCUCAUCCACAACAAUAUCCCAGCUUUCCCCUGUCGUGCUUUUCCCAUAUUUGUGCACCUUACUGCAAAGAGAGAGCAAGUUAACUUAUCAAAGAAAAGCCAGAACAAUAGAUGCCAAUGCAGUUCAGCAAGUUUAUUUCCUUUCGUACCCAUUUCCAAAGUGCUCUUCUCCUCAUGUCCUUGACCAACCUAGACAUAAGAGAACAAAAACAGAGUUACAUCAGAUUAAAUUAUUGAAAGAAAAAGUUCACUUAUGUUGUAACGAAUUGACAUUAGAAUCAAGCAACCGAGUUCUGAAAUACGAAUUUAAAAUGUAACUAUUUGCUGUGUCCGAAAUGAAUCUGUGAAAUCAAAUAGUUAAACCCUAAAAAGCACCACUGCAAAUAGCAUAAGAAAAUUGAAAUUAACCCUAAAUAAAUUGGGAGAGAAGAAUAUGAAAAGGGAAUACCUUUCGGCCCUUUGAGUUAUUGGAAAAAAAAAACCCAACAGAGCAAAAGAUAAACAAAAAUACAGGAGGAAAGAAUAUAAAUUUUCAACUUGUAAGAUUCAUACGCGAACAGAUUGGCGGUCAAAAGCAUUUCGGAACUCAGAGCCAUCAAGCUUUUUGAUCUGCAGGAAAUUAUUUAUGAAGUUUGAGAUUCUUAUAGACGCUUCAGACACAUCGACAUAUUGAAAAAGCAAUAUUCAACAACCUAGUACCCAUGCUUCAUAGAAGGUUACAGAAAAUAUGAAUGUCUGGACUCUGGAGUGAGAAAGUAAAAGGACUUACCGCAUACUUCAUAUCUUCUAAGUUUGUGUAGUCCACAAUCCCUGUUGUGCCUACAAAAGAGGCAUAGGUCUUAGGAUUACACUUUUGAAAUAACACUAUAUGAAAUAGUAGUGUAUAUCCCAAAAACAAUCUGAAAUCUGGUUGAUCAUCGAAGAGUUCGAAGGGAUUUACCUUUGGAUUCUUCGGCUUUCAGAUGGAGUUUGCUUGUGUGAGGGAGAGAGAGGUGGAGCUGCUAGGGUUUGAGUAUGGAAGAGAUGAAAAAUGGAGAGAGCACCUGUUUUGGCUGAAGCAGCUCACACGCGCGUGGAUCAAAAGUAGCGGCAUGGCCUCCCAUCCCCGAAACCCACCCGCAUGUCCCUCCCGAAAAUCCUUUCCCCGAAAUCCCGGCCAACGUCUCCCUCUCAACCCUUCUGUCGCCCUUCCCUCUCUCUCCCCGAGUCAAAGCCCAAAUCCAACCCAAAGAGUGAAGACCCGUUCUUAAGCCCAGUGGCAAUCUUGUAAAUGAAGCGAAAUUUGGGCUGAAAUCAGCCCGGUGGCAAACUCGUAAAUAACGUGAAAUUGAGCUAAAAUUGCACAGUGCCGUUUCCCCACCCCACCCUUUAGACUAAAGUAAUAAUUUGGGAAAAGGGAAAAUUUUUGAAAUGUCAUAUAAACUUGUACAUAUUUUUCAAUUUGUCAAAUAAAUUAAAAUUUUCAGCAAUUUAUCAUACCAACUUUCCGAAAUCAUCGAUUUGUCAUCUCAUCCUAAUUCUGUUAAAUUUUCCAUUCAAAGUCACAUAACUUGUGUUCAGGGUUAUUUAUGUCAUUUUAACACCUCAUUUCCUUCUAUUAAGUUGCAUUCGAUCACAAUAAUUAUAGGGUUUCUAAAGCUACAAAAAGGGACUGAUAUACGAUACGUGGUCUAAGAGUUUUCGUUCAAAAGGAGAACGACGACGCUUGUGUGUGUUUCAAAUUGAAGAUGACUAAAGAAUAGAGUCAUUGCGAACCCUUCAAUCUAUAUGAUAAAGUUGGAUGAAAUUAUUUAUUAUGGCUGUUUGGAUGAAAUUAUUUAUUAUGACUAUCUACGACAAUGAGAAAUCUGAUUCUUCUAGUUGUAGCUACUCCCGUUUUCUAUGUUUAUUUGCAUUCUUAUUUGAUGGAAUGGCGUUUUACCAUGACAUUGAAUGGUUUUUUAUUUGGUUCUUUGUUUAGUUUGAACUAGAAAAUUUGCCCGCACUUUGCUGCGGGUUUUGAAACCAUUAUCUACAACAGGCAAGAAUAAUUUCCAUAGAAAGUAACUAAAAAGACGGUCUAGCACCUAAGAACCAAUGAAGUGAAACUUUGCUUGUUAUAUAUGGAUAUACAUGCUAUAAGAAACCAUUCAUAUUCAGUUCCAGCGACAAUAUCGCUUUUCUUUAGUCCAUUUUGAAUGGUAUUUCCUGUGGCUUUGGAUCGACAAUAGUACUUGCAUACAAAAGAUUACGAAACAUUGUUUUAUUUACCUGAAGAAAAAUGACAAAAUAUUGUUUUACUUAGUUACCUUCAAAAAAUUUAGAAUUACACUAAAAAUGCUUUUGCUAUUCAAAUAUCAUAUGCCAGAUUGAAAUCGAAAAACUAGACUUCGAAUUCAAAACUAUUCACAUGUGGAAUAAAUUGAAAUGCCUCAAAAUAUUAUCAUUAUCCAAUUGUAUAUGGAAAAUGCCUGAAAGUAAUCCAUGCCUUUCUCAAAAAUAGGUCAUUCAGCGUAAAGCACCAAGUAAUAGCCUCUAAUAUCAGAGAAAAUACCUGCCAAGAAAAGAAAUUAAAAUAUUAGGCAUACGAGUGCAAGCUUACAGAAACUUUGUUUUUGUACACUUUCUUCUCCCUUCAAUGACAGUUUGUUUCUUAUCCAGAAAAAUAAAAUGAGCAGGUCAAUGAUACUCACAUGUGCAAAAUGCUAAUCCUAUGGUCUAAAGCUAACUGAGUUUUUAAGUGUGAAAUCCCUAAUUUCACUGCAUUUGGAUUGAUCACAGUUCAUGACUUGUUAAACUUGAUAUCUCCUUGUACAUUUUGGGAACUUGACAGCUUAAAGAAGUGCUCAUAAAAGCAAAUUACACAAUAUCUACUAAAAAUUUAGAGAAUGGACUCAAUUAGUCAACAAACAGGUGCCUCACACUUAAAUAUUAAAGACCAAAGAGAGAAAACCAAGCCGAACUCUUCAAAAUUUGUUGGCACACAUGCUUCAUUGGCCCAAUUGAAUGUAUAAUGCAUACUUGAUACAACAAUUCGAACAAUUGUUAGAGAUUCACAUAAGCCUCCAAACUUUAAAAAAUUUGAAACCUUAAGAAAGCAGAACCUGUUUUCCUUCAUAUUUUUGCUGUUUCGAUUAGCUUAUCUCGCUAUCACUUGAUUCAUUAGUUCUGAAGGAAGUUCUAAUCACUACGAAAACAGCUUAAUAACAGUUGAUUAUCUCUAAAACAAAGAGGGAAAACAUAGAAAUACUAUUUGUACUCAAAAUCCCAAAUGUGUAACACAUGGUCGUAAUCUACCUUGAUUUCUAAAUUUAAAAUUCGACACAAAAAUGAAAUUUGGAAUGAUUAGCAGGGAAAUAAGAGAGAGAAGUGUGAGCGAAUAUACCCAUGAGGCCUUUGGAUCCGAGUUCGGAGCUGGAAGCGCAGAGGUUAUGAACCCAAAGCAUGGAAGAAGCGGGAAGGAUUUUCCUCUGUGCUGCCUCAUGCACGUGUCUUGUACCAUUCAUCCAAGCAUUGACUGUGUCAAAUAUUGGGCAGUGGGUAAUCUUAAAACUGAUAUAAUCAUAGAAAUAACUUUGUUCAAUCUUUCAGGAUCUUAGCAACAUGUCUUUUGUUUCAUGACUUCUCAACAAAAGAUGUGGCAUCAACAAUAUUUGUGAUGUUUAUUGAAUUUUGAUGUAUAUUUGCUUUAUGAAACAAUUACAAGAUGAAACAUAUAUAUAGGGAAGAAAAAGAUCAUAAGCCUAAUUUUGCCUAACUUACCUAUCUUGUUUGACUAACCUAACUUGCCUAAUUUUGAACAAGAAAGUUGACUAGCCUAAUUUCACCAUUAUUCCAACAUGUUUAUUUCAUGCAUUUUAACACUCCCCCUCAAGUUGGAGUGUGAAUGUCGAUGACACCCAACUUGCUAAUUAAGACCUCAAAUUGUGCCGAGCUUAGUGGUUUGGUGAACAAGUCUGCAGGUUGAUUCGAGGUCCGUAUGUAAGCUGUUUGCACCAUUCCCAUUUGAAUCUUCUCACGUAUUAGGUGACAAUCUAUCUCUAUAUGCUUCGUUCGUUCAUGAAACACUGGGUUCGAAGCAAUGUGCAUGACAGCUUGAUUAUCACAAAACAUUGUGACUGGUUGUGCAUGAUUUACUUGCAAGUCCUUCAAAAUGUUUCUUAGCCAUAUAACUUCACAACAAGUAGUAGCCAUAAAACGGUAUUCUGCCUCUGCACUAGAACGAGAUAUUGUGCUUUGUUUCUUCGUUUUCCAAGAUAUCGGUGCUUGUCCAAGGAAGAUACAAUAAUCGGUUAUUGACCUUCUAAUGUCUUUACACUGAGCCCAAUCAGCAUCACAAAAGGCUUGUAAUUGUAGUGAACCUGUAGAAGGCAAAAGAAUUCCCUAUCCAGGAGAUUGUUUGAUGUACCUGAGAACCUUAUGCACCGCUUCAAGGUGUGGUUGUCGUGGCUUAUCCAUGAAUUGGCUCAACAUAUUAACCACAUAAGUCAGGUCAGGCCGCGUGAUGGUUAAGUAAAUCAGCCUCCCUACGAGUCGCCUGUAUGAAGAAUGAUCAUGUAGGAGCGUCCCAUCAGUUUGUGUAAGGGACAGGUUUGGUUCCAUUGGUAAUCGUGAGGGCUUCGCACCAAGGAACCCAACAUCUUCUAGUAUCUCCAACGCAUAUUUGCGUUGGCACAAGGCAAUCCCUUGUUUAGAUCUUGCAACUUCUAUCCCCAAAAAGUAUUUGAGUUUUCCCAAAUCCUUUAGUUUAAAAUGUUGGGAAAGGAUGAGUUUAGUCUCUUCAAUCUCUCAAAUUGUUACCUGCAAGUAUCACGUCAUCAACAUACACAAGUAAUGCCAUAAAACUGCCUUGACGGUUUCGGACGAACAAUGAGUAAUCUGACCAUGAUUGAUGAAAACCAGCAGUCUUGAGAGCACUAGACAGCUUGAUAAACCAUUGUCUUGAGGCCUGUUUUAAACCAUAAAUGGAUUUGUGUAAUUUGCAUACUCGUGUCUCCCCCUUUCGUCCGAACCCAGGAGGCAAGGACAUAUAAACCUCCUCGUAUAAGUCACCAUGUAAAAAUGCGUUGUUCACAUUAAGUUGAUGAAGAUGCCAGCCUCGUAUGGAGGCAAUACUCAGGAGGACGCGGACGGUGGUGAGCUUGGCAACUGGAGCAAAAGUUUCCCGAUAAUCAAGCCCCUCAAUUUGACUGUAGCCUUUAGCAACGAGACGAGCUUUGUAGCGUUCAACACUGCCGUCAGGUUUAAGCUUCACCUUAUAGAUCCAUUUGCAACCGAUGGGAUGUUUGUGAGGUGGUAAGGGCACAAGAGUCCAAGUGCGAUUGUCAUGAAGGGCAACAAUCUCUUUUUGCAUGGCGUCACGCCAUUUUGGAUCCUGAACAGCUUGCGAAAAACUGGUGGGUUCUUUGAUAAUGGUGAGGGUGGUGAGAAAGGUUUUGUGAGUGGGGGAUACAUGGUCAUAAGAUAAAUAACGAGAUAUGGGGUGAGAUGUACCUGAUGACUGGACCAUGCUUGUGGAAGAUGUGGGAGCAACACGGGAAGGGAGGGCCACCUCAACAUGAAAGUCCUGCAAAAAUGUGGAAGUUUUGGUCGGUCGAGUGCUACGACGGAGUGGAGGUGGUUGGUCUGGUGAUGGAGUGGUUGGAGGUGGUGAAGAGUGUAGGGUAUGUGAAUGUGUUGAUAAGGUAUCUGGUGGUGGAGUUGUAGUAGGUAAAGGAGAUGAGAGUGGGGUGAUGUCGGCAAGUGUGGGAGAGGUAAUGUUUAUUUCUUCGGGUGCAAGGCUUGAGUGCGACUCAAUGGGAGAGGUCAAGUCAAACGUGAUGGGUGAGGGUGUAAUGUUUGAUGGAGACGGGGCAGCGGAAGUGGUAUGAUUUUGGAAUGGAAAAUGAUCUUAAAAAAAAACAACAUCCCUAGAAACAAAAGUCUUAUUGUGUUUUAUAUCAAACAAUUUAUAACCCUUUUUACCAUAAGGAUACCCAAGAAAAAUGCAUUGGAUUGCACGGGGGUCGAAUUUAGAGGGCCUUUGGGCGUGUGUAGAAGCAAAACAUAAACUACCGAAAACCUUUAAAUGGGAAUAGUUAGGUGCUUUGUGAAACAGUUUUUCGUAAGGUGUUUUACCUUGGAGAAGUGGAGUGGGUGUUCUAUUGAUGAGGUAGGCUGAGGUUAAGAUUGCAUCCCCCCAAAAACGUUUUGGCAACAAGCUUGAAAGAGCAAAGCCCGAGCAACAUUGAGCAAAUGCAUGUGUUUACGUUCGACAACACCAUUUUGUUGUGGUGUGUUGACACAACUAGAUUGAUGUAUGAUGCCUUUGAGAGCAUAAAAUUGCUCAAGCUUAAACUCAGGGCCAUUGUCACUUCGUAUGAUUUAACUAUGGUAUUGAAUUGAGUCUCAAUCAUUUGAAUGAAUCCGACUAAAAUGUCUUUUGUGUCAGAUUUAUGUUUCAUCAAAUAAACCCAAGUGCUUCUAGUGUAGUCAUCUACGAUGGUAAGGAAAUACUUGGCACCUGAAAUAAAAGCAACUUGAUAACCACCCCAAAUAUCAAUAUGCAAUAAUUCAAAACAUGAUUUGGUAGAAAUAGAGCUCAAAGGAAAGGGUGAUCUUGUUUGUUUGGCCAAUGGGCAAAUUAAACAUUUUUCCAAAUCACAAGCCUUAUUGUUAAAUAAAGGUAAUAACGAAGUGACUUUAUGAUGGGUGUCCUAGGCGUUGGUGCCAAAGCUUUGGUGAGACGGUUUGAAUAUUGUUGCAUGUUCCUUUCUUUGAUGGGUCGAGGUAGUAAAGUCCAUCCCUUUCAGUUCCUGUCCCAAUCAUCUUCCCCGAGCGAAGGUCCUAAAUGACACAAAAUUGGGUGAAGAAAAUGGUGACAUAUAAGGAAUCAUAGGCUAGUUUACUGAUAGAUAUUAAAUUCAACCUAAAGAACGGCACACAUAGGACAUUUUCAAGGAUAAGAUUAUGAGAGAAAACAACUUGUCCAAUGUGAGUGACUUUGGCAACUGAACCAUUUGGCAAUUCAACUGUAUGAUUUUCAACAGCUCGUGAGUGUGUAAGGAGACUAGGACUGCAAACUAUAUGAUCUGUGGCACCACUGUCCAGGAUCCAAAUACUUUUGGUUCCUUUACAUGAAAAAUAGAAGGCUUUACCUGAAAGUUCUUCAUGACUAGGAAGAUUACUGACUUGAUUGGCAAAUGAUGAUUUGUUCUUGUUCAACAUCUGAAGAAUUUGCUUGCAGUCCUCCUGAGAGAACGGGAAAUUAGGCACUGUCUCUUGCUUGUUACUUUGUGAAACUUGAUUCCCCUUUGAAGAAAAGAGACGAUUGGAUUCGGUCUCUGUGGCUGCUUUCCGUUUUCGACAGAAAUCGAAGGUGUGGCCUUUCCAUCCGCAAAAAGUGCACUUGAGAUGUGCACGACAAUUUUUGGUGAUGUGAUUGGUUUUAUUGCACUUUCCACAUCGCAUCUCCUUGUCUUCAGGUGUAGGUUCUCGCAACAGAUUCUUCACUGCAAAGACAGCAGUUUCUAGUUGUGUGCUUUUCCCAUUGGAAACCUCUGCCUGGCGUUCAUGUCGAAGGACCAACGCAUAUGCCUUGUUCACCGUAGGCAGUGGUUCGAGAAGAAGAGUAUUGCUUCGAACCGUAGCAUACAAUUCGUUCAGUCCCAUAAGGAACUUCAUGGUUUUCUGAGUUUCAACAUAUGAGUUCAUCUCAUUCUUUGUUCCACAACUGCAUGCUAGAAUGGAACACAAAGUAUCACGUUCAUCCCAUAAACUUUUAAGUUUAGUGAAGUAAGAACUUACACUCAUAUUGCUUUGGACGCAAUCAUGGAUCUCGUUCUCAACAUGGAACAGCUGAACUAUAUUCACAUGUGAGAACCUCUCCUGCAGAUCGGUCCACAUUUGUCGAGCAUCCUUGUAGUUGAUGACACUCCCUGAAAUCUCCUUUGACAUGGAGCCUAGUAGCCAUGUAUUGACCAAGUUGUUGCAGCGAUUCCAUUGCUGCAGCUCCUCAAAAUUAUCCUCACUUGGUUUGUUGAUCGUUCCAUCAACAAAACCAAGUUUGUUCUUGACCGUUAAGGCCAUACUCAUGGAUUGAACCCAAGUGUUGUAGUUGUCUUCCACCAAUGGUUGUGGUACGAGGAUUGCACCAGGUUGAUCCGAGUGGUGGAGAUAGAGCGGGUGGUUGGGAUUUUCCCAUUUUGAAUGAGAGGCCAUGCCUAGAAUGGUUGACCUCGUGGCUGCUUUAGAGCUGUGUUUUGUGAUUUUUCCCAGAUCACAGCUCUGAUACCAUAUUGAAUUUUGAUGUAUAUUUGCUUUAUGAAACAAUUACAAGAUGAAACAUAUAUAUAGGGAAGAAAAAUAUCAUAAGCCUAAUUUUGCCUAACUUACCUAUCUUGCUUGACUAACCUAACUUGCCUAACUUUGAACAAGAAAGUUGACUAGCCUAAUUUCACCAUUAUUCCAACAUGUUUAUUUCAUGCAUUUUAACAAUGUUAAUUCUGAAUCAUGUCUCUAUUUUAGAUUGAGAGAGAGAGAGAGCAUGAUUUAAGAUGACAAAAGUGCCAUGCAUCCCUUUAAUCUCAGCCGCGUGAUCCUAACCCUAGAUAGAUAUUUCCAUCAUUUUAGCACCCUAAGGGCCGACCUUACGAAGAAUCUAAGAAGGCCCAUCAAACACAUGAUGGGCGGCCCAAAACAAAGUAACCCAACCCCUAAAACACACUAACCCACCCAGCCCUAAUUUGAUGGCAAUGGCAUAAAUAAAGUAAAAUCAAGUGGCAAACAAUUGACUGUAGCUAAGCUACAGUCAAUUCAAUCCUCAACUUUAGAAUAGAUAGUGUUUGUGUGUAGAAUGUUGUGCGUAGAAUGUCGACUACUUGUUUUAUAUUGAUGUCUUCCUGUGUUUUGUUUAUUUCUUUUAUGUAGAAAGCUGUAACAAGAAAAUUGAAUUGUAGAAGCCGUAGCUCAUAUUCAUUCCUUGGCAGCGUAUAAAUAUAUUGGAUUACAAAGAGUCCUACUGGAAUAAAAGAUGACAUAAAUCAACAUGAUUUGGUUUGUUUACAGAGGGUGGAUUGGAUUGGGACAAGGUCUCUUGUUUAACAUUUUAUGUAUUGAGUCGAGAAUUUGAGAGUUUUUAUCUUUUUUUUAGACAUAUAAAUGGCGUUCAUUGAAAGUUGGUUAUUGUGGGGCAAGUCAGACUUUAAGUUUGACUUGAACACUCUUAAUCUCAAAAUUUAAAGUACUAAAACCUAUUUUCAUGUCCAUGCACUUUUAUGCUGAUGGUUACUUUGUAUCUAAGUAGGGAAUGUUUAUUUGUUUUGUCAUUUUACCGAUUGCUUAAACUUUGAUCACUUAUUUUGUACAAAUAAAUAUGAAUUAUUUACAAUUGCACCAUGGAGGUCACUUUAUAGAAGCCUGUAAUGGAACAAUGACUUGUGUCGGUGGUCGUGUUGCUUGGUUUGACAAUAUGAACUGCGAUCUAAAUGUCCAAGUGGGAUAUUGAGGAUUGUGCGAAGAAGUUAGGGUAUACUAAGAGAUGGUUUGGGAGUGAGGUGCUUAAAAAAAACACCUAUGAAAAAAAGUUGUGAGGGUUUUAGGUGUUUGGUAAACUAAAAAAAAAGUUUAUUUUGGAAGCUGCUGUGAGAAUAAGCUAAAAUAAAAGGAAAAAGCUGAAGCUGCUAUUUGCAGCUUUGGAAAACUGGUUUUUUUUUCAAAAUACACAGAGCUACAGUGCUCCUUUAAUGAAAAUACCCACUAUGAGAUUUUUUUUUUUGCAAAAGCACUUUUACAAAAAAAGUUUACCAAACACUCUGCUAAUUUAUUUCACAGCCGCUUAUUCUCACAGCAAUUUUUUCAAAGCACAGCAAUACCAAACCAGCCCUAAGAUUGCUAAGUACUAUUACACAUUGCCAAAUGACAGAACUUACAAGCCUAUGGUUGCUGAUAGUGAUUUUUGGACUCUAGCUACUGUAUUGCCCCUAAAUAGAGUGGUACUGGUGUACAUUGUUGAUGAUGACCAACUGAUCAAUUCAGCCCCAAACAUUGAAAUUCAAGCUUCAGCAAACCCUUUCGACAUUCCUCACAUGUCAGCCCCGAACAUCGAAAUUCAAGCUUCAACAAACUCUUUUGACAUUCCUCACAUGUAUGAUCCUUUAGGUAUAUUUGAGGGAUUUUUGGAGCAAGCUUAUGAAGGAGAUUGGGAACAAGACAAUCUUGUUGAGGUAGGUAUGCAUAACAUGGAAAAUGAAGAGAAAGAUGGCAAUGGCAAUUCGGAAGAUUCAGAUUAUCGAGACUCAGACUAUGAACAAAGUGAUGUCGAUGACAACUUAUUUGACGACAAUGUAGAGAAAACUAAAGGGAAAUAUACCAAUGGAAAAUGCAAUGGAAAUAGGUAAGCAUCACGUAAUACUGAACCCUUCCCUGAUUUAGGAUUUGGAGAUGUUGAAACAGACUACGAAGAUUCGGAUGGCUUUAGAAGUGGUUCUAGCUCAUCAUCUGAAGGUGAACAACCAAUGAAGCGGAAAAGUAAGAAUAAAAUGCCCAAACUCAUUCCUUUCAGAAGUGAUUUGAAUAUCAAGAACCCACAAUUUAGAACUGGAAUGAUAUUUUCCAAUAGAAAGGAGUUCAGACAAGCAGUGACAUAUUAUGGUUGUGUGAAUGAAAGACAAAUAAGAUUCCCAAUAAGAGAGCGUUAUAAAGUUCAGGGUAAGCGUUCAAAUGAGGGAUGCCCAUGGGUGAUUUAUGCAAGCAAAAUAGAUGGGAGCUCUGCACUUAUAGUGAAGACACUCAAUGAUGUCCAUACAUGCCCGAGAAAGGAAAAGCUUAGACUACACACCUCAACUUGGUUAUCACAUAGGUAUGCUGAGGAUUUGCUUGACAAUCUUAAAUGGGAUGUGUCAAAAUUCCAACAAACUGUUCAUAAACAAUACAAUUUGCACGUAACACUGGCUCAACUUUAUAAAGCACGGUCAUUGGCAGCUGAGAAGAAUGAAGGAGCUUAUGUGGAGCAAUAUGCAAGGUUAUGGGAUUGUUGUGAGAAGCUCAAGCGAAGAAAUCCUGGCAGUACAAUUUUGGUGAAGACUAAAAUGGAAUGAGGAAGGGCUAGGUUUCAGAGGUUGUAUGUAUGCUUUCCAGCAUUGAAAAAGGCUUUUUGGAAGGUUGUAGGCCAAUGGUGGGAUUGGAUGGAUGCCAUAUUAAAGGUCCACAUCCAGGUUGUUGUGCUAGGAUAGCACCAAACCCGUUGGAACCAACUCAAGCUAACUCACAAGAAAUUUAUCAAAUGAAAUGCAAGAACAAAAUAUUAAAGACACCAAGAUUUUAACGAGGUUCCUCAACAGUCAGUGUAACUGGAGUACGUCUUUGGAGCAGUAAGAGCUCACCCAAUAAUCCACUAUCAACCAAAUGAGAGUUUACAAAGUGUUGGCAAUCUCACAACCCAAAUAACCCAAUACACCCAAUAACUCUCACUCACCAAAGAAACAAAUAGAGAGGGAAAUAUAGUGAAUAAUUUCCUCUCUAUACAAAGCUCAAAGCUAAUACACAAAUACAACUUUGAUUGAGUAAGUACCAACAAAGAAAGAAAUCACCUUUCUUUCUUCUCUUUCUGCUCUCAGUUUUCUGCUCUCUGCAGCUCUCUUUGCUCUCUCAAAGAUGGGCUACUAAAACUGAAAAUUAGUGCACUCAUCCUCUUCUCUUUUCUUCUCCGAAACCAAACAUAUUAUUGCUUUGAAAAAGCCACAAACAAGCCAUAAAACAAGGAAACAUAAUCAUGUUGUCCUUUCUUUUUUUUUCUUUAUAAUUUUUUAUAGCCAAAAGUUGGCCACUUGGCCACAUACUCCAACAAUCUCCACCUUGGCCAAGUUCCGAAAAAAAAGCCAUGAUAAGCCAACCAACACAAUAACACACAACAUCACUCCCAAACACUAGCAAGAGAACAACUCAUGCCGAGCCAAAUGCUCCAAAACUCCUACUGCUCAACGCCUUCUUUAUAUAGGCAUAAUGUGAGCCAAGUUCAAACAAUGAACAAAUUUGGCUACACCAACAACCUUAGUUAACAUAUCAGCGGGGUUGUCUUUAGUUGGAAUCUUCUGGAUAAUGAUUUCCCCUUCACCAACAAUUUCACGAACAAAGUGAUAACGCACAUUUAUGUGCUUGGUCCUCGCAUGAUGAACCUGAUACUUAGCCAAAUAAAUGGCACUCUGACUAUCACAAUGUACCUUCACCUGCUUCUGAUCAACCCCCAAAUCUCUAAUCAGCCCAUGUAUCCAAAUGGCCUCAUUUAUAGCUUCAGCAACUGCCAUAUAUUCAGCCUCUGUAGUAGACAAGGCAACAGACGACUGCAAAAUGGACCUCCAACAAACUGGUCCUUUAGCCAUAGUAAACACAUAGCCUGUAGUAGACUUCCUUCCAUCCAGAUCACCUGCAUAAUCUGAAUCAACAUAACCAACUGCAAAAUGACCAAUACCAGAGUCAUCCCUCUCAAAGCAUAAACCAACAUCUCGAGUACCAUGGAGAUAUCUCAAUAUCCACUUAGCUGCUUGCCAAUGCUCUUUACCUGGAUUAUGCAUAUAUCGACUCACCAUGCCAACUGCAGCAAUAUCCGGUCUAGAGCAUACCAUUCCAUACAUCAAACUACCAACCAAAUUUGCAUAUGGUAUAUUUUUUAUUUGCAGCUUCUCUUUAUCAGUUUUAGGACACUGUAGAGAACUCAAUUUAAAAUGAGGAGCCAAAGGGGUACUAACCGGUUUGGUUGAAUCAUGAACUCCAAACUUCCGAAUCAACUUCUCAAGGUAUUGUCUUUGAUUCAAACUGACCAAACCCUUCUCUCUAUCUCUAGUGAUCUCCAUGAUCAGGCAUUGCAUUCUCUUAUGGUUGUCACGAAAUCGAAUUUUAUAUAGGCUCUGUUAUAUGAGAAACAGGUUGAGAAAUCGAAUUUUAAUUAGGGCAAAAGGCAAAUUUAAUGACACACCCACACCCCGAAAUCCCCAAAUAUUAGGAUAGGCACGUGUUGAUCGACACCCCAGGGUGACAAGGCCAUUUUAAACAUGCAUGCAAAUUAAAUUAUAUAAUUAGAAAGAAAUAUGCCAAUGCAAGAACAUGUUCAGAGCAUACAACUAAUUAAGAAUAAUGUGAAAGAAUUAUUAUAAAAAGGUACGAACAAAGGAAUAGGUCAUACACUGAGAAGACUCGAAGAUAUCUAUGCAGAAAUGCCCUGACGCUGAGAUCGAAUGCCGCAACUCUAACUCCUAAAGGGGCCACAAAACAAAGGGUGAGUGGACCAAAGUUUAUAAUACUAAUACUAAUAAUAAGAAAACCAUUUUCUUUCUGAACAUACUAACCCCCUGUUUUGAAAACACAUAUAUAGUACUACAUAGUAGGUUUUCCGAAAACUCUAACAUGCCAUGAAAACAUUCGUAAAAUAUGUACGUAUAAAACAAUGCUCAAUAAAUUUGAUAUCGCCGCCCGAAGGCAAAUCCGUAAAUCUCAUCAAUGAUGUACUCACUAGGGGUAUCAUAGUCUCCCUAAGGCAUAACAUAUCCAUCACCCAAAGGUGAAGUUGUACGACUCUGGGAUAUGCCAAAGAAGAAACAUAUACAUGUAACAUCACUCACUGACACUAGCUGUGGUUAGUGAAGUUGUCCGACACUGGUUUCGUCAAUGAAGCUGGGAGUAUGACAUAAAUAUCCUCAACUGUGUCCUAUGGCCAUAGACGUCUACAUACCCGUGUUGUGUGGAUGUGUUGUAUGAUAACCCACUAGAUAAGCAUCGAAAACAUAUCUCAAAAACUCGUAUCAAAUCACCGGAGCUCAAAAGCUUAAAGCAUCAUCGCAUAAAUCCAUAAUAAAACAUAUGCGUAAAUCCGUAUAAUUUCAUAUAUGAAAAUCCAAUCAUUCCUAAUCUUUCGUAAAAUGUAAACUCGAUAAAUCAUAAAUAAUGCAUAAAACGUUAAAUCAUGAAAUCAUGCUUUUUGUGAAUUUGCGCCUAGUAUUUUAUAAAAACAUGCAAGUUAAGAAGGGCUCCACUCACAUAUAUUUUGUUGCACGGGAACCGCUAGAACUAGAGAGGAAGGUGUCACUUCCCACCGACCACCUAAACAUAAAUAGAGAUCAUUUAAUAAAACUCUACUAAAAUGGUCGAAUUUGGGAAAACAGACAGCAGAUUCGAAUUCGGCACGUCGAAAACCCUAAGGAGGGACCUCGGGUUCUUCCAUCCCACCCCACGUGCCGCCGCACUAGCCGCCAUGGGACGGUGGCCCAAAAGGCCACGCACCGCCGCAUGUGGCAGUUUCCAGCAACAAAAACCCAAUUUUCCAACCAACUCCAAAAAUUACCAAAUUUUACAGGAAUGUAGAGCUCAUCAAGGGGAAGAACUUUCAUACAUGGGUCGAAGUCCAAUUCGGCUGAGAAACUCCUGAAAACACCCUCGAUCCGUCGGAAACCUUAAAAAUAGGUGUACUUCAAUUCGCCAUCUCUGUUACUCCGCUACCUCCAAACUGGUUUGGGGUUUGUUCAUGACCUUAAGAGAAGUCUUUUGGUGGUGGUCAUCGAUGGUGAAGGUUGCUGGAGUGACAGAUCACCCAGGUGGUGUCCUCGAAGCCGUCGAUGCGAGAUCCACGAAACCUAGGCCAAAAUCUAUCGACUAUUAAGUAUGUAUGCUUGCAAGAUUAAAUGAAAACCUCCAAAACGUAUGGAGUUUAAUUGAAUUCUAAUCACCACCACCACCCUCACAUAAUUAGGUCAAAAGGCGAAUUUAGGAGGGCUCCUUUCAAUCAUUUUGUACCCUUGCAUAUUAUUGUGAUUCGAUGAAGCUUCCCGUUAAAUGAACUGCACCAAAUAAGGGAGAUCUUCUCUUGAUCUCUAUAUUCGAAGCUGAUAAACAUAGAGAUCCAGAGUACUCAUUUUAAAUCAUACGGUUCUCAUUAGCUCAUUCUACUGGUUUUCUUUACACAAACCACGAGUUCAGAUCUCACUCUCUUUAACUACCUGGAUAUCCGAGUUCUUGAACUUCAAAAACAAAAAUCUGGAGAAGAUGUUGACUCCAAAUAGGGUAGCUUUUCUACUGUGCAUGUAGCUAGCCCAAAAAAUAAGGGAAACCCAACCCCACCCCCCAAAAUAAAAAAUAAAAAAAAACCCACCCACAACAAAAGUACAACUAUAAGUAAAGCUUUAUGAGGGGUUGCUCUAAAAUUGAUUUUAAAAUUAAAGGAAAACUAACGAAAAAUUCAAAAAAAACUUUAGUUUUAAUGAAAAAUGACAAAUAAAUGUGUAGUGAAUAGUACCAGAGAAAGGUAAAAAUGUGAUUUUUUGUUAAAAGUGAACAAUACCGGAGUGUUUCGUUAAAACUCUCUAAAAUUAAAUAGUCUGUCGUUCCAAAAAUUGUUUUGACAAUGUUGCAUUUAAAUAUUGUUUGACAAUAUAACAUUAUCCUACAAAACAUUUGUAUAAAUUAUAAGUUCAAACAAAAGACAUAAUACAGCUUCUUCCCGACUAUUUUAGGUGUAUACUCCAUUGCUGAAAAUUCUACCAUGCUCAUCAUAAUUCUUGCCACACCAGGCAAUUGGGUUAAAUUGCCCUUGACAAAAAAAAUGAUGGUCCAUCGGUGCCAAAUUGGGCAGGCAAUUGGGGGGCUCCAAGAAGCUUGUUGAACUACCCUUGCAACCCAUUGGCAAUAAGUAACGAUGUGCCUGACGUCAAGUAGCAGAAGGCUGGCCCCAACCCCGUACACUGAAGUGAACCAAACAGCUCCAAUUUGGGCACCCCAUAGCUAUUGGAUUUUCAACAGUUUGUUGAUCCGAACCAUUAAAUUUCAAACGAUAAAAGAAAUUUAAAAAGAUGAUGUUGUGCCACGUGGCACUUUGUGGCGUAUUUGAUAUUAAAAUUUUGAAAAAUUCAACAGCCAGGAUUAAUCCCAUGAUAAAAAAUCCAAAAAAAAAAAAAGAAAAAAAAUUAGAAAAAACGUACAACAAAAAAUAUCUAAAAAAACCUUCAAAUUUCACACUUAAACAAAAAUCUAAGCUGAUAUUACUAAUAGAUAAUGACACGUAAUGCGAUGAAAGUGGUUAAAAAUGGAAAGGGAUACUCUCCGGCUCCCUUUCACCAAAUCCACCAAGUUCAAGGAUUCAGAUCAUUGAAAUUGAUCCAACGGCUACAAAUAAGGACCCACUUUAAAAAUUAUAAUAUGUUGGAUCAAAUUUCAAGAAUCGGAUACCCGGACUUGAUGGAUUUGGUGGAAAUGAUCCGGAGUCCUUUCCGUUGAAAAUCUCAUCGCCUCUCCUUUCAGCCCUUCAAGGAAAACCCGCUUCUUGGGUCGUUUUCAACCACAUAAAGCUUCACUCUGUUAUUAGUUUAUGUGUUUAAAAUUGUUGGGGUUUGCAGUUUUGGAUUGAAAUUUGUGUUUUGGGAUUUGUUGGGUGCUCACAUGUGGAAAUUUGGAAAAUUUUAGUUGCGGAUUGUGGGGAACUGACACAGUGGUGGUCCCAUUUCAUGUACUUUGUGUGUUUUUGGUGAAAUACUGAUUAGGAGGGUUGGAUAGUUGGACUGGUUUUAUUUUUUUUGUGAAAUUAGAGUGGGAUCGAUCAAGGUUGAGACUUUUUUAGGUAAGAGUAAUUGUGAAAGUUAUGUUUUAUAAAUUUUUUGGCAAAUUUUGUGACUUGGUGGAUUUGGAAUUUUGGUUAUAUUAGAUAUAUGUGUAAAGAAAAUAGUUGAACUGCAUGAAGCUUGAUGUAAUUCUGCUAUUAAUCAAUGUUGGACUUGGGAAUCCUAGUGAAUAUAGAAGCGAAUCUACGAUUAGUUGAGAAACUUAAAGAAGCUUAAGGGGUAAUGAGGGUUUUAGGUAUUUAGUGACACUAAGGCAAUGCUUGAUGUCUAUUUCAUUUCGGCGUAUCAGAAAUGCUUGAACAAUAAAGAAAGGUGCUCGAAGAGCUACAGUAGUGAACUACUUGGUUUGAUUAGAUUGCUAUGUUAAUCAAAAUGUCUCCUGUAGUAUGUUAUAGGCUUAGGGUGUGUUUGUUUGGACUCAUUGUCUUUCACUAGAUUAGACUGGACUAAGUUUUAGUCCAGUCCUGUGUUUGUUUCCUACCCGGACUAAGUUUAAUGGGAUUAGGAGGGACUCGCCUCGACUGAGUCCCUCGCUAACGGGUCUUCGCGAGCCCCCCAAUUCGGAGAGGAUUGCUAAGCCGCCCUCUAAUCCUGUCAUCUCACUUCUCUUUCACACCUUCGGACAUCAACCGCAGCAACUGCAACUUGCUCCUCGUCCCUUCGCACCUUCACCCUUUCCCUUCUCCUUCCUUGUCGCACCACCUCGUAGCCGUCCAACAUAUAAACAAUAGAUGACGGACCUGUAUCACUGGCGAUGGUCUGAUCAGGUGAGCUUCAUUUUCCUUGCAUUUCAAUGGGUACUUUUUUAAUUUUCCAAAUUCAAUUGCUUUUUGUUCAUUCCUUUCUUUGUUUAUGCAUUUCAAUGGGAUUUUCGAGUUUCUUUAGGGUUUUUGGUGAUUAACUAUAAUCCAACAUUCAUAAUUAUCAAAUUUAGUAUAACGGCACUGGGUCACUGACAGCAGCUUGUUUUUUGGAUAUACUUAUUAAGAAUUUGACAUUAGGGAAUCCAUUCACAGCUUAUGGAUGUUUUCAAUUUUUCUGGUUCUUAUUCACCCUUUUGUGGAGAUCUUAGUAGUGGAUUAGGGAUAUAUCAUGUCCAUGAUGACUGGUAUUGUAUUGGCAGUGACGGGGUAUCUAGUUGGAUUGGAUGUGUUGAACAAUUAUGCGAUGAGCUAAGAUUUAAGAAGAAGCCUCUCUACCUGUUUUGAUCAUACUUGAUCUUUUUCGAGCUUUGUAUUCGAGUAUUUAACCGUUUCUUCAGCCCUUGAGGGUGCCACUUGUUUUCUAGUGAAUAUAUAUUGGAAGCUUCUCUUUGGAAAUUUUUGUGAGUAAUCAUUUUCUGAAGCUUUCAUCAACGGAUUUAUCUUAUUGGAAGGUUCUGCUUGUUGCACAUCACCAUAGAUGUUCUAUUAUUUUGAUCCAAAAGUUUUUCUUCAUUAUUCAGAUACUCUUAUGCAUAUCUUGGACAGUUUAAUCAUUAUAAUUUUAUACAUAUUUGAGUUCACCUAUCAAAAGGAAUAUCAAACAAAUUGAUAUUAACAAAUCCUCGUGGAGCUAGGAGAUCACCAAUUUCGUGUUGAACUUUAAGAUUUUGUUAUAAACCAGGAUACUUGUACAUUUAACUAUAGUGACUUCUAGUUAUCAUGGAGAAUUUAGACUUGUCUACUAUGUUUGUACCAUACUUAGGGCCUCCGUAUUUAGACCUCGUAUAAAUACUCGGGGGACUCAAAUAUAAUUAUGUAAUAAAUGAAGGGGCAAAUAUGUAAUAAGUGAGGAGCCCUUAUUCUAUAAAAGGACUCCUCACUCUCCUCAUUAAGGGGGGUGAAGGUUUAGGCCAUGGGAAGAGAGAAAACAUCUCAGAGAGGGCAAACACAGAAAAUAGGCUAGAGAGCACACUGCCUCUAGCCUUCUUGUAUAUUCACCAUUCAGAGUGAAACAAUAUCAACAUCAGUGUGGACGUAGCCCAAACAUUGGGGUGAACCACGAUACAUCUUGUGUUCUUUACUUUCUUGCAGAUUCACGGUCGGAUUUAUGUUGUUCCAAGACACCUCCGGUUUUGUGCAUCAACAUUUGGCGCCGUUUGUGAGAAACGACACGAAAAGCUAUGUUGGUUCUCUUUCAUUUUUUUCAUCUUACCAUUGUGAAUCUGCACAACCCAAGAACCCAGAACCUCCCUCCUUGGGCUUUUCUAGAAAACUCCUAGCUUUCUCUCUUUCUACUCAUUUUCUUUCUCUAGAGUUUGGCCGAGUUAUCAAUUUCAUCGCAAUUACAAAUGAAUUCAAGGCGAUAAUAAGAGAGAGAAACAUAAACUGUCUCUUCUUCUCCUUCCAUGCGUUUCUUCAUAACCCACCACUUCUAGCCUUUUUCCCUUCCUCGCUCUCAGAAACCCAGAAGAAAAAAUUGCAAUCAUGAGGCUUCAACGGCGGAGGAGGUGGUGGUGGCGUCCUUAAUUUCUACACAAACGGGCGAUCCAUCUCCAUCUCCGUCGCCAUGAACGGCCACAACCCAUCUCAGAACAAUCCCUACCACCGAUCCCAGCUUCCCAACCUGUUUAUGGACCCUACCGCAUCCCAGAUCGCUCACCAAACACAGUUUCAACCACCGCAACCAGUCCCGGAACAAUUCGAAGUUACUGAUAACAUUGAAAGCAUUCCGGUCCGCUGUGGUUUUCAAUCUCAAAGACGAAACUUACCUGCUACUUCAUGGCCUCGGGAUGGAUGCUGUGUUGCUACUGUGGCGAAAGAAUUUUACCCAGACUCUCCCUCUCUGCUCACAUGGCCUAUCUUCCACCAUCUCAGCGGCUGCAGUCCUCAAUUCAAGGUUCACGCCACCAAAUAUUCUGUCUCGCCUCUCACAACUUCAUGCGCCUCCAGAGUUCUUCUCCAGAUUUGCGCUCCAUAGAUUAUUUUCUAUGUCGAUUUCCAUCAGAUUCGCGUCGAUCGUGUCACGAUCUACGCGUUGAUGGUGGUUUGAGAUUGUGAGGUGAUGGUUUGAGCUGUUUUUGAAUUCAGCUGGUUUUACCAGCUCGAGCUUCUAUGUUCGUCGCUCUUCGAUUCGAAUUUAAAGAUUUCGCAGACAGAGCUCUAACCAAAUCGGAAGAGAUUACAAGUAUUCGGCGGCAUUUCAGCAGCUGAUCCAAUUCGAUCUCGUGGUGGCUGAAACAUGUUUAAUCUUAACCAAAGGGUCAUGGUUCAUGGUUGUAAUUUCAUGAGACUGAAGCUUUUAUAUCGUGGGAUUUGGGUUGGGGUUAUGGGUUGAAUUCAGAUGGAUGUAUAAGAUAUCGGGACGAAAGACUCGGUGGAAGGGCCGAAGUGCUGGACCGAUCUUUGUCAUCCGGCCUUUGCCAUGGCAGUCGGACAUGGAUUCUGGACAACUACGGCCGCAUCUAUAUCUCGUCGCCAAAGUUUUGAAAGUUGCAGGAAAUGAAGUGGGAAACAAAAGCAAAAGAAGAAAAGAAUAGAAAAAGGAAAAUGAUGUCUGGAGAUGGAGAAAAUGAUGAGGUUUGUUAUGGGGGAGGCCAUAGUCCACCACUAUCAAGUCUGCCACACUCAAUCAUUCAUUUGCACUCAUGGAAAACAACCACAAAGAUAAGACUCUUAUCUUUACAGCUCUUACCCACUGUCAUUGAUGAAUAUUUUAUUAAGUUGUCUUCUGCAAACUGGAGCAAUUAUUAUAUAGUGAUACUGAUGUGUAAAGAAGGCAACAUGCCAAAAAAAAAUAAAUAAAUAAUGUCGGCAAGCCCAAAAUAGUGGGCUGGAAUGUUAUGUGAAGGGUGAAGGCCCAUAUGCACAAAAAAGCCAGGCCCUAUGGCUUCAAACUCCAACCUCCAUCCCUCCACUUAAGGUUCACCCUUUAUUAUCACCAACUAGGUGAUCAAAAGUACGUCUAGUACUCCAAUAUUAUUCGGCAGCCUGCUGUUAUUAUCAUUAACCAGGUGAUCAAAAGUACAACCCAUCCUUAAAAAAAUCAUACAUGAGCAUCACUCAUGACAAUCACCAUCAUACAUAAGCAUCACUCAUGUCAACAUUCAUGAACAUCACUCAUGUCAACAUCCAUGAGUAUCACUCAUGUCAAUCAACAUAAACAUUCAUGAGCAUCACUCAUGUCAAUUAGCUUCGAAAUCUUCAUUUACAGAGCUCUAGCUUCGAAAGCUUCAUUUAUAGAGCUCCAGCUUCAAAAGCUUCAUUCAUAGAGCUCCAGCUUCGAAAGCUUCAUUUAUAGAGCUCUAGCUUCGAAAGCUUCAUUUACAGAGCUCCAGUUUCGAAAGCUUCAUUUACAGAGCUCCAGCUUCGAAAGCUUCAUUUACAAGAGCUCCAGCUUCGAAAGCUUCAUUUACAAAAUCUCCAACUUCGAAAGCUUCACCUACAAAGCUUCAGUGCAUGGUAUACAAAGACCGCAACCAAGGCAACAUAAGCCACAAACCGAGCAGCCUCGCAACAUGUGCUACUUCUAGUUGAGUAUCAUUUCAGAUUGAGCACCGCCUCAUAUCGAGUAUCAGUUCUAGACGACAUCUAGUUACUUCGGCCCACACAUGGACUGAAUUUCAAGUCUCCAGCCAAAAGACUCUCUUGAUUGAAGACUUGGGGGACUACUGUUUGUACCAUACUUAGGGCCUCCGUAUUUAGACCUCGUAUAAAUACUCGGGGGACUCAAAUGUAAUUAUGUAAUAAAUGAAAGGGCAAAUAUGUAAUAAGUGAGGAGCCCUUAUUCUAUAAAAUGACUCUUCACUCCCCUCAUUAGGGGGUUGAAGGUUUAGGCCAUGGGAAGAGAGAAAACAUCUCAGAGAGGGCAAACACAGAAAAUAGGCUAGAGAGCACACUGCCUCUAGCCUUCUUGUAUAUUCACCAUUCAGAGUGAAACAAUAUCAACAUCAGUGUGGACGUAGCCCAAACAUUGGGGUGAACCACGAUACAUCUUGUGUUCUUUACUUUCUUGCAGAUUCACGGUCAUAUUUAUGUUGUUCCAAGACCCCUCCGAUUUUGUGCAUCAACAUACUAAAACUUGUACAAGUGAUUCAAGCAUGUUUUUGCUCUCGUCAGUAUUAGUUAUUAACUCAUUGGACUCCAUACACAGUUUCUGUGAUGUUUUCUUCCACAAUUUUAUGGUUUGCAAUUCUGCAGAGGUUUCUACUCAGUUUAAUUGUUUUAAUUGUCUCAUUGACCCAUGCUGUUACACGAAAGAGAGAAAUUAUGUGUUUAUCAGAAAUCUGGCUAAACCAGCAAUACAUCACUCAACUUCAUUAGAACAUGACAAAUUUCACCUUAUGGUUCACAGGCCGUACUUCUCUUUGGCAUCGUAGAUACAGUCUUUUCCAUUUAAGUUUAUUCUGAUUUAUUUGCUAGCUUAAAGUGUAGUUGAAUGAUGUUGUGCAUGGCUAUCUGCAGCGCAAUGGGCACUUGGGUUUUCUCCGUAGCAGGGGCUUUGUUAGCGAUUCCAGUGGGGAUAAAAAGGAAACUUUAGCAUUGCUUGUGUUCUUCGGCACAACAUGUACCAUGCUUGACAUUAUAAUGGGAAUCGCUCAGUGUGAAAGAGAACAUGCAGAACGCCAAGCGAAGCUAUUAGAAGCCCAGAUUUCUGCAACUAAUGCUUCAUUUGCUGAGACUGGGGCGGAAACAUAGUCUUGACUCCUAAGCAUAUGCAUCAUAUGCCCAUGUUUGGCUGCUGUCAGUUUUCUCUUCAAAUUUCUUUACUGUAAAAGAUUAAUAGUCGAACCUGUAGAAUGAACCCUUUGCUUGAAUUUUGCCUUCCCCUUUUCAUGGGUUAAUAAUCACACGAAAGUUGUUACUGAUAUAACGUCAGGUUUAACCUCCCUCGCAUGGCACGAUUCCAUGAGUUAAUCAUUCGAAGCAGAGAAUUCUAAUUCCUCUGUUUUUAUUUAUCUUGGAGAUACCUAUAUGAAAAUUACUUUAAAGUUGUUCAGCAGCAAAGGUUAUGACUUAUAAUAUACGAUGUAUAAUCACGAAGAGAAACUGGUGACAGUACUGUUUUCAUUAUCCUGCUUUCUAGUCUGACACUGCACCAAACGCUUCACUAAGCUGGUUCAGCUUAGUCUAGUCUAAGCCAGUCCAGCUUAAUCCCUGAAGCUAGUCCAUUCCGAGACAGUCUGGUACAACAAACGCACCCUUAAAGUUUUACAUUAGUGUUCUUUAGCGACUUGGUUUCAAAAUUUUCGUUCGACUUUCCUUGGUCUGUGAGGCCAAUGGUAGAACAUCAUGGAAAAAUGAAAUUGUUUUGUCUUAAUAUCUCUGGUAAGAGCGAGUACGCAUUCUUAAAGGAAAAAUGAAAUUGUUUGUCAUUCUUUUAAGAUGUUUAAUGUGCUCAUUUCAGUAUGCACUACAAGGGCGAGUGAGCUAUCAUCUGUUUGGAAAUAAAAGCUAUAGACAUGCCCCAUAAGGGUCAAUAGGUCUCAGUUACAUAUCUAACUUGUUUCUCAUGUGUUUUCAUCCUGAAGGUUAGAAAAGAUGGGUGCUCUAGACGCACAGAGAGUGGUUCAUCAACACCAGAGAUGGUGGCUGAUCUCAUGUAUGUGGUUACAUGCUGGAGUUUUCCAUGUGCUUGCCAAUAUGCUGAGUCUUGUAUUCGUUGGAAUUUGGCUUGAGCAAGAAUUUGGAUUUGGUAUGCAUCUGGAUUUUUAGCUUCAUGUAUGUUAUCAUGCAUGUAUGGCCAUAUCCAUAAGUGUUUGUAGUAAAAAGAUAAAGCACACGACAUUAGUUGUAGAAUAAUAAAUUAGUUUACUAGGAAGCAUGCUUUCAAUAUGGUAUUUCUGUUGGUGCUUCUGGUGCACUUUUUGGUUUACUAGGAAGCAUGCUUUCAGAGCCAUAUCAAAUUGGAAAAUGUAUGUAAAUAAGGUAAAUAAAGUUUCUGUAUACUCAAUGAUGCACCUCUUUAUGUGCACGACCCUUUGAUCUUACAGUUUCAGGUUUCUACCCGCAGUUAGCAGCAUUGGUUACUCUCCUUUUCUUCAUCAUAAUACACUUAGCAGUGGAAUUCUACCACACGCGGACAACUUUGCUCAUAUUGGAGGAUUUGUCCCCGGAUUUCUUCUUGGAUUUUUGUAUUGUGGAUCCUCUCUUUGAUACUAUUGAUUGUUGGGUAAGCUCCUCCUCGAUCUCUGAUUUAAUUUUUUAACUUCAUGAACCUAAUCGAUUCCCUGCAUGAGAAUCUGGUAGCCACAGUUGGCGCGUGCACAUUUUUUUCUUUCUUUCUAUCAAAUCAAAGAACUGGAUUUUGUGUAGAUAUGUAGAUAUCAUGUGUCCUGUAAUAUGUCUUCAUUAUUGUCAUUGUGAAUAGUCUCUGUAUCUGCUUGUUUCUGAUUAGAAUGGUUUGGAGAAGGCAUUGUGUUAUUGUUAUCGUUGUUCUCUAUGUAGUACUAAUUGGUCACUUUGUUGAUAGCGGCUUCUACUUUGUUGUUUUGGGUUGUAUGUGCUGGCAGGUUGUUGUUUUGUUAUUGGAAGUAAAGGUUCAUUUUCCUCGUAUCUAAGUAGUAUCAGAAUAUGCAGGCAUUUUCUAACAAACGUCAUGUUUUUUACAGGUGUACUCUUGGCCUGGUUACUCUUUUUCGAGGGGUCAAUCUGAACAAUCAUUGUUCCUGGUGUCAUUAUUUGAGCAGUGUCCCUACGUCAAAAUGGAAUUGCAAGUCACAAAAUAUUUAUUGUUUGGUAAAUUAACUUCCGCCUUAAUAUUUGAUAGAUAGAAGUGCUUGCUUAUUAAUACGAUCAUGGUUGCAUUCAGUCGUUCUAGUUUGGCAUGCCGUUUAAUCUAAUGCCUUCAAGAAACGUAAUUUAAGAAAUGACUCACGAAAUUUUGAGUCAGGAAAUUGCUUUUACAAUGUACUUUGUUAGUACUAUAAAUUGGUUUUGUACUGACAUAUUGUUCUUUAUAUGAAUGUGAGGCUUAGAGAAGUAUAACUGCAUGUUCAAGUUUUGAUUCUCUUGGUAAUGAUUUCAAGGCUUUGGUUUAUGAGUACAUGGAAAAAGGAAGCUUAGAGAAGUGGCUGCAUCCACCGACUGAUAUUGAGGAAGCAAGAGAGGCACCCAAGAGUUUAAAUCUUUUGCAAAGGCACAACAUUUCCAUAGAUGUUGCUUGUGCUCUCAAUUAGUCAAUUAUCUUCAUAAUCACUCCGAAACACCGCCAGUUCAUUGUGAUCUGAAACCAAGUACUGUUCUUUUGGACAACAUGUCGACUGGACAUGUUUCUGACUUUGACUAGCAAGGUUCUCACAACUGACCAGUAUAAAAGCUUCAACAAAUCAGCAAGUUCCGCUGGAAUAACAGGAGCGAUUGGUUAUAUGGUUUUAGGUAAAUAUUCAAAUUCUCUCCACAAUAUCCUUUUUUUUUAAUUUUUAAAUUUUGCAUAAUUCAACUAAACUCCGCCUAUGUAAGUUUAUCUUACAUUGCCGGUCCCAAGCCCGGAUAAAGGAGGAGGGGGAGGGCGUCAGGUAGUCGACAGCCGGCACUCCACGGUUACGUCGAAUCCUUAUGAAAAUGAAUCCAGAACGAAAUCGCGCUAAAGCUAGGGCGUCACCCGUAAGUGGCGCGCUGUGUGGCCCGAGCACAGUGAUAAGUGAGCAAGGGUCGCUGUAUCUCCAUCGGCACCCGGAUGCAGUGGUAAAUGAGUAAGGGGACCAUAGAAACUUCUUUUCGAACGACUCCACUCAAAGUUGUUUGGGAGCAUAUGCUCCUAUCAACUUUACACGGGACACACAAAAGAAGUACUUUGAUCCUAUUAGACAGGAGAGGGUGAAGAAGCUAGGACAGAAGGGUAGAGUUCAAGAGAGUAGAAUGCGUUUAGGAACGUGGAAUAUAGGAACCUUAACUGGAAAAUCUAUGGAAGUAGUGGAAGUUAUGGUGAGGAGAAGGAUAAAUAUUAUGUAUAAGAAACUAAGUGGGAUGGUCUUAAGGCAAAGGAUCUAGAAAACUCAAGAUUUAAACUUUGGUAUUCGGGCACAAAUAGAAUGAGAAACGGUGUUGGCAUCAUCGUGGACAAGACCUUGACACAAAAUGUUGUAGAUGUCAAGAUGGUAGGAGAUAGAAUCAUGGCAAUCAAGAUUGUAAUAGGACAAGAACUUAUCAAUGUGAUUAGUGCGUAUGCACCUCAAGUAGGGUUGGAUACGAGUUUAAAGGAGAAAUUUUGGGAAGACCUUGGAGACUUGGUGCAAGGAAUUGCUCAGACGGAGAAGUUAUUUAUAGGAGGAGAUUUAAAUGGACACGUGGGCAGGGAGACAGGCAACUAUGGAGGUUUUCAUGGUGGCCAUGGUUUUGGGGAGAGAAACGAGGAUGGGGAAGCUAUCUUGGAUUUUGCAAUGGCAUAUGAUCUUUUCUUAGCCAACACCUUCUUUAAGAAGAGAGAAAAACAUGUGAUCACCUACAAGAGCGGGUCAUCAAAAACACAAAUAGAUUUUCUUCUAAUGAGGAAAGGGGAUCGUAUAACUUGUAAGGAUUGCAAAGUUAUAUCGGGGGAGAGCUUGGCUAAUCAACAUCGCUUGUUGGUGAUGGAUGUACAUAUCAAAAGAGUGAGAAAAAAAAAACAAGACUUGGAAAUGCCCAAGGACUAGAUGGUGGAAUCUAAAAGGAAAAAAACAAGUCAUUUUCAAAGAGAAAGUAAUCACUCAGUGUGUGUGGGAUAGAGAGGGGGAAGCUAGCCAAAUGUGGGAUUCUAUGGCUAGUUGUAUCCGAAAAGUAGCAAAAGAGGUAUUAGGAGAGUCCAAGGGCUUUGCUCCACACCAAAAGGAAUCUUGGUGGUGGAAUGAAGAGGUACAAACAAAGGUGAAGGCUAACAAGGAAUGUUGUAAAGCCUUAUACAAGGAUAGGACCGAUGAAAAUGGUGAAAGGUAUAGAAGAGCGAAGCAAGAGGCGAAGAAAGCUGUGAGAGAAGCUAAGUUAGCGGCUUAUGACGAUAUGUAUAAGCGACUAGAUACCAAAGAAGGAAAGUUGGAUAUCUAUAAACUAGCUAGAGCAAGGGAAAAGAAGACAAGGGACCUAAACCAAGUGAGGUGCAUCAAGGAUGAGGAUGGAAAGGUUCUUGCUACAGAGAACGCGGUCAAAGACAGGUGGAGAGGUUAUUUUCAUAGUCUUUUCAAUAAAGGACAUGAAAGGAGUACUUCUUUAGGGGAGUUGAGUUACUCAGAAGAGUGUAGAAACUACUCCUUUUAUCGUCGAAUCAGGAAGGAAGAAGUGGUUGUAGCUUUAAAGAAGAUGAAGCAUAGAAAAGCAGUGGGCUCAGACGAUAUACCGAUAGGUUUAGCAUGGCUCACUGACCUUUUCAAUAGGAUUUUGAAAACGAAGAAGAUGCCAAAUGAGUGGCAAAAGAGCACUUUGGUGCCUAUCUACAAGAAUAAGGGCGACGCACAAAAUUGCAUGAACUAUAGGGGUAUUAAGCUAAUGAGUCAUACAAUGAAGCUCUGGAAGAUAGUCAUUGAGCAUAGAUUGAGGCAAGAGACACGGGUUUCGGACAACCAAUUCGGGUUCAUGCCAGGGCGCUCAACCAUGGAGGUAAUCUAUCUCUACGAAGAUUGACGGAAAGAUAUAGAGAUGGGAAAAAGGAUUUACACAUGGUCUUUAUAGAUUUGGAAAAAGUGUAUGAUAGGGUACCAAGAGACAUUCUUUGGAGGAUUUUAGAGAAGAAAUGAGUACAAGUAGCAUAUAUCCAAGCUAUAAAGGAUAUGUAUGAAGGAGCAAAGACUGCCGUAAGAACUCAUGAAGGACAAACCGAAAGCUUCCCUAUAACUGUAGGAUUACAUCAAGGCUCAUCCUUAAGUCCUUACCUUUUUGCGUUGGUAAUGGAUGAAUUAACAUGACAUAUUCAAGAUGAUAUUCCUUGGUGUAUGCUUUUCACAGACGAUAUAAUGUUGAUAGAUGAAACUUAGGAAGGGGUAAAUAUGAAGCUUAACCUUUGGAGAGAAGUGUUGGAAUCUAAAGGUCUUCGCCUAAGCCGAUCAAAGACAGAAUAUAUGGAGUGCAAGUUCAGUGCAAACGGAGGCCAAAAUGAGUUAGGGGUGAGGAUCGAAGAUCAGGAAAUACCAAAGAGCGAUCGUUUUCGCUACCUAGGAUCUAUCUUGCAAAAGAACGGAGAAUUAGAUGCAGAUCUCAACCAUAGAAUACAAGCUGGAUGGAUGAAGUGGAAGAGUGCAUCCGACGUGUUGUGUAACCGCCGUAUGCCACUGAAGCUCAAGGGAAAAUUUUAUAGGACGGCAAUAAGGUCGGCGAUGCUGUAUGGCACAGAAUGUUGGGCGGGGAAGCAUCAACACGUACACAAAAUGGGUGUAGUGGAGAUGAGGAUGCUUCGGUGGAUGUGUGGGCACACGAGAAAGGAUAAGAUUAGGAAUGAGGAUAUCCGAGGUAAAGUAGGAGUAGCCGAAAUUGAAGGAAAGAUGAGAGAAAAUCGGUUACGGUGGUUUGGACAUGUGCAAAGAAGGCCUACUGACGCUCCGGUUAGAAGAUGCAACUACGGGACAAAUGUUCAGGGUCGAAGGGGUAGAGGAAGGCCUAGGAAAACUUUGGAAGAAACUCUAAGAAAAGACUUAGAGUACUUGGAUCUAACGGAGGACAUGACACAAGACCGAGCAUAAUGGCGUUCUAAGAUUCAUAUAGCCGACCCCACUCAGUGACUUAGAUUUUUCAAGUCUCUAACCGAGAAGUUUUCCUUACUUGGGAAAUUAAGGGAACACUACCUCAACCUACAUGCUCCACUCACAAAGCUUCAACAUACAAGCUUCAACAAAAGAAAAAUUCAAAGAACUUAGUGACGAAGCCUUUGGGGUAUUUAACACAAUACGUUGAAAUGAAGCAAAGCUUAUUUAUUGAUAUCUCCGAUAAGUUACAAAUAUGUACAUAUACAUGAGUCAAAAUAAACAAACAAGAGGGAGCCUUCACAAAGGUUGCUUAGGAGAAGUCUCAGCAGUCGGUAGAGCCACAGAAAGAGAAGGCACCGGAGGGGGAUCAUUCAGAGCCUCAGUACUGGACAGAACCUUAGAAGGAUGAGGCAUCGGAGGUUGAUCAUUUGGAGCUUCAUUAUGCGGUACAUCCCUAGAAGACGAAGGCAAUAAAUGCCUUUGGAACAAACCCACAAACCUCUGAUGAUCACGUAAAUCUGACAAUCAGAUUCCUUCAUCUGGUCAAGCUUCCUCUUCAUGUUUGUAGCAUAGUCAUGUGCGAGCCGGUGCAACUGUUUAUUCUCAUGCUUGAGCCCUCUAAUCUCCUGUUUGAGACUCAUCACUUCAGCCGCCAAUGAUUCAACUUGGCGGGUUCGAGCAAAUAGGCGUUGGGCCAUAUUAGACACAGAACCUGCACACUGAACACUGAGAGCCAGAGAAUCCUUAACAGCCAACUCAUCAGACCGUUUGGAAAGUAGUCUGUUAUCUUUGGGAGUGAGAAGGUUCCUGGCCACCACCGCAGCGGUCAUAUCAUUCUUCAUCACGGAAUCCCCAACGGUAAGAGGACCAGUAGGGGAUAAGAAGGAUGGGCGCCAUAUGUUGUCUGGAGAAGGCGUGGCUGCCUCUUCAACAAGGUUCAAGUCAAAACGACGGUCGGAGGGGCCAGACAUUUUCAAAGGUGUUGAAGAGAGAAGAGGUCAGACAAAUCAAGAUCUUAGAAGUGCAAGAAUGGAGCUUCUACUGGUGGAGAUUCAAGUGUGCUUUGGAACUUAAUGCCAGCCUCUAUAAAAAUCUGCACUCGACGGAGCUUCAGAAAUCGAAGAGGCGCCUGCUCAGAAAUCGAAGAGGCGUUUGCUUUCUCAAAAGCUGGGCUGCUCAGAGACCACGAGGGCCGAUCUCAGAAAUCGAAGAGGGUUUGCUUUCUCAAAAGCUGGGCUGCUCAAAGACCACAAAGGCCAAUCUUAGAAAUCGAAGAGGCGUUUGCUUUCUCAAAAGCUGGGCUGCUCAGAGACCACAAGGGCCGAUCUCAGAAAUCGAAGAGGCACCUGCUUUUUCAGCCUUGUCAGCACCUGUCAUAUGCACACUCAGCUUUGCGGAAAUUACAGGCAUGCUGUCGAAGAUUUCUGGUGAAGUAGAAAGCACGGGUGAAUCCUUACUGUUCAAACAAUCAGCUUCAUGGGUACCACAGAUAACUUUGCCAAAGAAGGGUAAAAGAAGAGUAAAGAAACAACACUAACAAAGUUUAGACACAUAAAUUUUGAAGGUCUAGCUACUAUAUUAUUACCCACAAGGGUAAAGGAACAGCACAACUGCUGGAUAAUUGGAAAGUCCCUGUGUGUCAACCUUUGUGCUCCGUGGCAAGGUAGACUAGCAAACAUGCCCAACCUUUACUCACAUUCGAGAAAACACUCCCAACAAGAUUGCUUGCUCCAAAAUCGAAGAGGCGCCGCCCUCCGAAUCUCGAGAGCCAGACUCCCAACAUGAGUACUUUCUCAAAAAUCGAAGAGACACCACUCUCUGAAUCUCGAGAGCCAGACUCCUAGCAAGAUUGCUUUCUCAAAAAUCGAAGAGGCACCGUUCUCCGAAUCUCGAGAGCCAGAUCCCCGACAGGAUUGCUUGUUCGAAAACCGAAGAGGCACCACUUUCUCAACUUCGAGAGCCAGAUCUCCUUGGAUAAAGCUUGUCUGUAAUCUUCACACGCAACAUCAGCUUUCCAGAUACCACAGACCACUUUUUCAAAGUGCUCUGACAGAGUUAAAACACGUGAAGCUGGCAGCUCCCACUACCGUGCUAUGACCAAGCAGGGUAAAGGAAUAGCAUUACUACUUGUUGUUAGGGAGACUCCUAUAUAUGUCGACCUCCAUCCUCAACGGACAGGCAGACCUGCAAAAAUGCUCAACCCUUCCUCAUAUCUGAGAGGGCACUCCCAACGAAGCCUCUCGAAAUACUCAGCUUUUUUUCCCCCCGAUAAUACCUCUGUAAACAAGCUACACUAGAGCAAGACUAUCUCAUAUCAUCAGGGUUAAAAGCAAGAGUAUCCCAUAUCAUGCUUUUUUCCCUGUCUUUUCCUUUGGCCUUGUUCUUACCUGCAAGACAAGGAGAAAGAGAGCAAUCAGUCAGCACUUGGAAUCAAGCUUCCAGUCAGGAACUGACUGCCUGGAACCCCUUACCUGAUUACUUACUUGACAUUGCUCUCGAGUACUCAUCUUCAACAUCUUAUGCUUCCAAAAAAGAUACCACAUCUGCCUGAGGAACAGAUAUAGGGCAAGUGAGAAGGAAUACAAGGAAGCAUGUGGAGACAAGCGUAACAGAAUAUGUGCCGAUACAUCCACUACUUCGUCAACAGCAAAAGUAUCCCAUAUCAGCAGGGUCGAACGUACUCUAGAUUUGAUGGACUUGUUUUGACCCUCAAAUUCUUCAGUCGGCCUUAUACUCUGGAGGAAACCAGAAAACCCUCCAGCCCAGUUCAAGAAUAAGCCUGUGGAAAGUUACUUCUUCAAAAGCAAAAGUAUCUCAUAUCAUCUCUUCUCCUUUUUCUUCUCUUUAUCCUUCAUGCUGCCUGCAAGAUAAGGAGAAUGAGAACAAUCAGCCGGAACUCGAAAUCAAACUUCUGAUCUGGGACUGAUUGCUUGGAGCUCUGAUUGCUUACCUUGUCUGUCACCUCUUUCAACAGAUCCCUUAGCUCGGCGACUUGGGGGACUCCUACUACAUGGUUUGUAUCGCGCUUGACCAAGCCUGAAACUACAAGUAAGCUUCAAGUGAAAUUGAUACAUUACCUUGUGCAUCUCCACCAGUUAAAGAUACCACCCCUGGAUGGAGGAAGAGUACUUCCAGAGAAGAUGCCACAUCUACCUAUGAGACAGAUAAGGCAAGUGAAGACGAUACCACACUUCGGUACUUAGAAGUUUCGUGAUUACGAGAUCAUUCUCCCACAAUAUUUCCUAAUGUCAUUUGUACUAAAUCAUUCACUUGUACUCACUAAAGGAGAGCUUGAACCUAUGUACUUGUGUAAACCCUUCACAAUUAAUGAGAACUCCUCUAUUCCGUGGACGUAGCCAAUCUGGAUGAACCACGUACAUCUUGUGUUUGCUUUCCUGUCUCUAUCCAUUUACAUACUUAUCCACACUAAUGACCGGAGCAAUCUAGCGAAGAUCACAAACUUAAUACUUUCUGUUGUACCAAAGUCCUCACUGAUUUUGUGCAUCAACAAUCCUUAAGUCCCUACCUUUUUGCGUUGGUAAUGGAUGAGUUAAUAGGACAUAUUCAAGAUGAUAUUCCUUGGUGUAUGCUUUUCGCAAACGAUAUAGUGUUGAUAGAUGAAACUCAGGAAGGGGUAAAUGCGAAGCGUAACCUUUGGAGAGAAGUGUUGGAAUCUAAAUGUUUUCGCCUAAGCCGAUCAAAGACAGAAUAUAUGGAGUGCAAGUUCAGUGCAAAUGGAGGCCAAAAUGAGUUAGGGGGUGAGGAUCGGAGAUCAGGAAAUACCAAAGAGCGACCAUUUUCGCUACCUAGGAUUUAUCUUGCAAAAGAACGGAGAAUUAGAUGCAGAUCUCAACCAUAGAAUACAAGCUGGAUGGAUGAAGUGGAAGAGUGCAUCCGGCGUGUUGUGUGACCGUCGUAGGCCACUGAAGCUCAAGGGAAAAUUUUAUAGGACGGCAAUAAGGCCGGCGAUGCUGUAUGGCACAGAAUGUUGGGCGUUGAAGCAUCAACACGUACACAAAAUGGGUGUAGCGGAGAUGAGGAUGCUUCGUUGGAUGUAUGGGCACACGAGAAAGGAUAAGAUUAGGAAUGAGGAUAUCCGAGGUAAAGUAGGAGUAGCCGAAAUUGAAGGAAAGAUGAUAUAAAAUCGGUUACGGUGGUUUGGACAUGUGCAAAGAAGGCCUACUAACGCUCCGGUUCGAAGAUGUGACUACGGGACAGAGGUUCAGGGCCAAAAGGGUAGAGGAAGACCUAGGAAAACUUUGGAAGAGACCCUAAGAAAAGACUUAGAGUACUUGGAUUUAACGGAGGACAUGACACAAAACCGAGCACAAUGGCGUUCUAGGAUUCAUAUAGCCGACCCUACUUAAUGGAAAAAGGCUUUGUUGUUGUUGCAUAAUUAAACUAUUUUGUUCUUAGUUUGCUAACAAUAUUUUCUUAUAUUUGAAUGGCAGAGUAUGGUAUGGGAAGUGAGGCGUUGAUAACUGGAUAUGUCUACAGUUUUGAAAUUCUCUUGUAGGAGAAGUUUACAAGGAAGAGAACCACUGACAACGUGUUUAAUGGGGACUUAAACCUUCAUGUUACAAUUUUCAAUCAAUGUUCUCGAGUCUUGAGGCCCCCAUGAAGUUUAAAAAUUAAGAAAGCUUGAUCUCACUAGUAACUAUUACAAUUUUUAGAAAGGUUGCAUCCACACCAAGCUUUCUUGCAAUGGUACUUUAGGGGAACUAUAAGAAAAUCAGCAAUCUCACAGUCCAGCCCCUCAAAAAACGUAGACUUCAAAAUUUCCAUUCAUAGCUAGGGUCACCUAGCAAGGUAACUUUCAUAUCGACACCAGCGUGACGUCUGAUGUAACCAAAAAUAGGAUUCCUUGUAUUUGUUUUUUUCAUUUUGGAUGGUUGCCAAAUGUUUCCAGUCAGCUUCUGGAGUCAAGGUGCUUUAAUGGUCUUGGUCCUUGGCGUACGGAAAGUGCCAGACAAUAGGUCCCAGUAGUCCACAAAUUGGGAAUUUGCGUAGAUUGCAGGUAUUUGCGUAGAUUGCAGGUAUUGCGAUUAGACAUUAACUCGUUUAGUGGCAGUAUUCCACACAAUAUAUCAUAUUGCUUCAACCUUAUCCAUGUGAAUUUCUCUCGGAACAAGUUGGUGGGUAAAAUUCCUUCAGAAAUUGGAUUGCUGUCAAAACUGCAAAAAUUUGCAUCAUUCUAUAAUAAUGUAACGGGACAGGUCCCUCAUUCCUUGGGGAACCAUCCCUAGUUCUCUUGGCCAAUUGAAAAAAUUAACCUUCUUGGGAUUGGGGUUAAAUCAGUUGUCUGGUAGCAUCCAAUCCUCCAUUUAUAACCUCUCUUCUCUUGUUACAUUUUCCAUGCCAGGUAACCAACUUCAAGGGAGUAUUCCAUCAGAUAUUGGCAAAAGUCUUCCUAAUCUCGAAAUCUUCAGCGUCGCCUUAAACCAACUCACUGGGUCCAUACCUCCCUCAAUAUUCAACAUCGCAAGUGUUCAAUUAUUUGAAGUUGGGGUUAACAACCUAAUCGGACAGGUACCGAAUCUCCAAAAGCUUCACAACCUCCGGAUUUUCAACAUUCAAUAUAAUAAUAUUGGAAGCGGUAAAGAUGGUGACUUAAGUUUUCUCUCGACCUUGACCAAUGCCACCCAGUUAAAAAGGCUGAUUAUUAGCGACAACAAUUUUGGAGGGACAUUGCCCAUGUCAGUAUGCAAUCUCUCAACCAAACUUGAAAUGUUUUGGGUUCUAAAUAACCAAAUAUAUGGAAGCAUCCCAUCCGGGAUAGGGAAUCUGGUGAGCUUGCUAUCGUUGCGUUGGGGGAAUAAUAGCUUCACAGGUAACAUCCCCUCUGACAUGGGUAAGCUUUCAAACCUUGGAGAAUUAGAUAUUUUCAUGAACAAAUUAUCAGGAAAUAUUCCGUCUUCCUUAAGAAAUUUAACCAAGUUAUUCUAUCUUGCACUGAAUAGAAAUCAUCUUGAGGGUAGCAUUCCUUCAGGUCUGGGGGAAUGCCAUGGGUUGCAAUUGUUGUAUCUUUCUUAUAACCUCCUAAAUGGCACAAUACCCAAACAAGUUUUUAGACUCUCCUCCUUAUCGAUUGCUUUGCACUUGAAUAAUAACCGCUUCACAGGUUCCCUUCCUCUGGAGGUUGGGAAUUUCCAUAGUCUGAGUGAACUGGAUCUUUCUGAUAACAUGUUAUCUGGAGAACUCCCCAGUAGCCUUGGUGGUUGUGAGAGUUUAGAAGUCCUGCAUUUGCAAGGAAACUUCUUCAACGAGUCCAUUCCUUUGUCUAUGAGUUCAGUAAGAGGGAUUCGAGAUCUAGACCUUUCUCGCAAUAAUUUUUCAGGGGAAAUUCCACAUUUUUUAGAAGACCUUAGAAUCCUGAAUAAUCUGAACGUAUCAUUCAAUCAAUUUUGGGG
rnacentral:lncRNA from 1 species